AUGUAUAACUUAUUAAUCAGAGUCCUGUUAUUAUGGUUUGACACUACUGACAUGUUGUGUUGGUAUUUAUUUGUACUUCCCUUGGUUGAAUUAUUUGCUGUCUCCAUGCCAUUCGAUAUGGUGCUACUUGGUUUUUGAUCAUCCAUGACGCUAUAUAUAUGUAAAGGAUGAAUUGAUUGUUUUGGCUUGUAUUCUCACAUUUUAUGAUUGAUCGAUGGAAAGGUCUUCAUGUAUUAAAUUCAACCUCACAAGCGUAAGAUUGACAGAUUGUGGGAAAAUUUUCAGGAAAAGAAACUAGACUUCAUGGAAGCAAUGAAGCUUGAAAUUGAACGUCUGCAGCUGCAUCUUUCUGCAGCUGAAAGGGAUAGAGCUUUAUUGUCAAUUGAAACUGAUCCUGCCUCUAUAAAUCCAAAUGUAUUGCUUGAUGAAUCUUACAUGGGAAGACUGUCGAGUAGCAACCACUCUUGCAUUACUUGGCCAAACUUCCCUAGAAGACAAAAUUGUUGGUGCAAUUGGCCUUGAGAAUAGUGAUGAUAGUGUUUUAGACUUCUGGAAUAUUACUAGAAUCGGAGAGAGUUGUUCUGGUGGCGGGUGCAAGGUUUGUGCAGAAACUAAGGUGCCUGCUCUUGCUUCCUCAACUGCAACAUCUGUUGGAGCUUCACAAUCCCCUUUGUUGUGUUCUCAAUGUGAAAGAAAAGUUUGCAAAGUUUGUUGUGCAGGAAGAGGAGCUCUACUGUUUUCAAAUUAUAAAUCAAGGGAUGUGACCAACUACAAUGGCUUCUCAAGUCAGAGUGGAUGAAGCCAUGGAAGCCAAGUUGAUGUAUCUACCAGUCGUUCACUAACACUGGAUGGCGUUAUCUGUAAACACUGCUGCCAUGAGAUUGUGCCUGAUGCAUUGAUGUUGGACCAUGUUAGGGUCUUGAUUAGCUUGCGAAGAAGUUCCUGUGCAGACAACGCAGUCAUACAAUGCUUUGAAUGAGGUUGUUGGAUCCUGCUUAAAGGAUAGUGUUUCUGAAAGGAUUCAGUCUUCCGAUAACGUGCAAGCUGCUGAAGUCCUUCACCAAUUAUGUGGUGGACAGGAAUCACUUGCUGAAUUUCCAUUUGCUAGCUGUUUGCACUAGGUAUGUUCUUGGUUUGUAUUCAGUUCUCAUCAUGUUAUGUUUUCCUUUUAAAUUUCUUUUCUUGAUUAAAAUUUUUAGAAAUAUGUUUUAGUAUUUGUUCUUAUGAUAUAUGCCCAGAACAUUCAUCCCACUUAUCCAUGAGAAUCCUUGUCUGGUUUGAUUUUCAAUUGAGACAUUUUUGGGAACCCUGAGCAGGUUCCAUAUGCUAAUAAUCUUUGAGGUAAGGUGUUGUAGGAUGCCUUGAGAAGCUAAAAACCUAUUACAAGGAAAAGCUCUUGCAUUGUUUUGUGGAAUCUGUGUUGUGAAAAUAGGUAGAGAAAAAGUUUAUGGAAUAAUUCUCUUAUUUCAUAUGUUCAUGAGACUGUACACAGUCUUUAUAUAGGGAUACAAGAGACUAAGAAAGGAAAGAAAAAAUUAAAGCAGAAUAUUACACACUGAUUUCUAGGAAGCAAUAACUCUAUAUUUACACCAAAUAUACACCUAAAUAUAUAAGGAAAACCAAAUCAAUUUGAUUUGGUCAACCUUUCAACACUCCCCCUCAAGCUGGUCUAAAAAUGUCUUUCAUGGCCAGCUUGCAAACCAAUUUCUCAAAAUGUUUCUUAGGUAGUCCCUUGGUGAGUAUAUCAGCAAUCUGCUCAUUUGUAGGAAUGUAGGGCAUGCAGACCAAACCACUGUCCAGUUUUUCUUUUAUGAAAUGUUUGUCCACUUCAACAUGUUUAGUUCGGUUGUGGAGUACUGGAUUAUGUGCUAUUGCAAUGGCAGAUUUGUUGUCACAAUAUACUUUCAUAGGUAGAGAAUUAUUUGCCUUAAGUUCUUCAAGAACUUUUUUGAUCCAAAAAACCUCACAAAUUCCUAGAGCUACUGCUCUAUAUUCUGCCUCUGCACUACUUCUUGCUACCACAGUUUGUUUCUUGCUGCGCUAAGUGACCAAAUUUCCUCCGACAAAGGUGCAGUAACCCGAAGUGGAUCUUCUAUCGGUUACACUACCAGCCCAGUCAGCAUCAGUGUAGACUUCUACUUGUAGGUGCCCGUUUUUUCUAAACAAAAGACCUUUACCCGGAGAUCCUUUUAAGUAUCUAAGGAUUCUAUAUACAGUUUCAAAGUGUUCUGGUCCUGGAGCAUGCAUAAACUGGCUGACUAAGCUCACUGCAAAGGCUAUGUCCGGGCGUGUAUGUGAAAGGUAGAUUAAUCUACCUACAAGGCGUUGGUACCGAUCUAUGUUGGUCACAUCUUCAAUAUUAGCUGGCUGUAAUUUCAUAUUAGGAUCUAUGGGUGUCUCGGCUGCUUUACAUCCGAGUAAACCUGUCUCUUCAAGCAAAUCAAGAACAUACUUGCGUUGAGACACAACAAUCCCAUCUUUUGAUCUAGCAAACUCCAUGCCCAAAAAAUACUUCAGGUUGCCUAAGUCUUUGAUUUCAAAGUCACGUGCAAGCACUUUCUUUAAUCUGCAAAUCUCAACUAAGUCAUCACCAGUCAAAAUUAUAUCAUCUACAUAUACAAUUAACACGACUAAUUUCCCUUCAAUAGAAUGUUUGUAAAACAUUGUAUGAUCUGCCUGACUUUGGGAGUAGCCGUGUCCCUUUAUAACAUUACCAAAGCGUUCAAACCAUGCUCUAGGAGACUGUUUGAGCCCAUACAAAGACUUAUGUAGUUUACACACUUUACUGUUGCCAUGAUUUCCCUCAAAACCUAGUGGUAAAUCCAUAAAGACUUCUUCUUCUAGCUCCCCAUUCAGAAAAGCAUUUUUAACAUCUAACUGGUAUAGAUUCCAAUCAGAAUGUACAGCCAAUGAGAUAAGGACCCGGAUGGAAUUUAUCUUUGCAACGGGGGCAAAAGUUUCUUGAUAAUCAAUUCCGUAGGUUUGAGUGAAUCCUUUUGCUACAAGCCUUGCCUUAUAUCUCUCAACACUCCCAUCAGCAUUACAUUUAAGUGUAAACACCCACUUUCAACCCACAGUUUUCUUUUCUUUUGGUAAAUCCACAAUCUCCCACGUACCAUUCUUCUUUAGAGCAUUCAUUUCCUCUAAAACUGCUAACUUCCAAUCUGGGUGGUCUAGGGCUUCUUUUAUGGUUUUAGGAAUUGGUAUUUGAGAGAUUUUUGUGGUAAAGGCUCUUUGUUUAUUGGACAACUUUUCAUAGGAAACAUAUCUAGCAAUGGGGUGCUUAGUACAGGUUCGGGUUCCUUUCCUAUGUGCUAUGGGUAAGUCAAGAUCAGGAAAAAAAGUGCUGAAAUGUUUAGGAGAAGAAAUGUUACCUGAAUUUUCUGAGGAAUCAGUGCUUGGAGGCAACGAUUGAGGCUGUAUCGAGUUUAUGAGAGGGUCUUUACUGUUGUGAUGAUACUUUCGAGUAUAAACACGCAGCUCUGGUGGUGGAAUUUUAUCUUGUAGUAUUUCUCCCCCUGUCUCUGGUACAUUAACACUUGGUUCCUGUAGUUCAAGGUUUCCUAGGUUUUCAUUAUUAGAAAUAUCAGUUUUUUGAGUUUGAGUUGGAGUGCCCAGAUCAGGUAAAAACUGAUUAGGCAUAGGUGUAGAAGUAUGCCAAAAAUGAUCUUCACUAUUUUCUUUCUCCCCCUGAAGAGAAUUUUGGCCAAAAAAAGGUUGAUUUUCGAGAAAUAUAACAUCCAUACUGACAUGGAAUUUCUUUGUUUGAGGAUUGAAACAUUUGUAACCUUUUUUAUUAGGUGCAUAGCCCAAGAAAACACAUUUUUCAGAUCUAGGAUCCAAUUUAGAUCUAAGAUGGUUAGGAACAUGAACAAAUACAGUGCACCCAAAGACUCUUAACUGAAUAUUGGAGGUAAUCCUACUAGAAGGAUAUAUAAGUGUGAAGUAUUCUAAAGGUGAUUGAUACUUUAAAACACGGGUAGGCAUCCUAUUAAUCAAAUAACAUGCUGUUAAAACAGCAUCACCCCACAAAUAUUUAGGAACAUGCAUAGAGAGCAUGAUAGCCGACUAACUUCAAGUAAAUGGCGGUUUUUUCGUUCCGCAAUUCCAUUUUGUUGUGGAGUAUCACGACAAGUGGAUGUGUGAAUUAUACCCUUUUCCUUACAAAACACCUCUAGAUAAUUAUUAAAAUAUUCAGUACCAUUAUCUGUAUGGAGUAGACUUAUUUUUGUUUGAAAUUGAUUUUCAACCAUGUUAUAAAAAUCUUUGAAUAACCCCUCAACUUCAGAUUUUUCUCUCAUUAAAUAAACCCAACAAAGCCGAGUAUGAUCAUCUAUGAAUGUUACAAACCAUUUUUUUCCAGUUAAAGUGUUGAUUUUUGAGGGUCCCCAAACAUCACUAUGAAUUAAAUAAAAAGGUUUUGAGGCACGAUAAAUAAGUGCUUUAUAUGAAACUCGAUGACUUUUAGAUAAAAAACAACUUUCACACUGAAAAGUAGUACAAUCAACAUUUUUAAAUAAAUUUGGAAACAAAUAUUUCAAAUAAGGAAAGCUAGGGUGUCCUAGUCUAAGGUGCCAAAGCAUUAUUUGAUCCCUAGCAGAGUUUGAACUAAUACUACUGCUCAAACCUUGAGUUUGUUUAUUCCUUGAUAAGUAGUCAUCAAAAUAGUAAAGACCUUCUCGCAAACUAGCACUGCCAAUCAUCGUCCCCAAGUCCCUGUCCUGAAAUUCACAAUGGGAGUCAAAAAAGACAGCACAACAAUUAGAAUCUUUGGUUAAUUUACUGACAGAUAACAGAUUGCAAGAAAGUUUAGGGACAUGUAGCACAUUUUUAAGCUCAAUGGUUCCAGAGAUUUUUAUUGAUCCUUUUCCAGCUAUGGAAGAUAAGCUUCCAUCAGCAACUCUUACCUUUUUGUUACCAGGGCAAGGAUAAUAGGAAUCAAAUAAACUAGAAAUGCUAGUCAUAUGAUCAGAAGCACCCGAAUCAAUAAUCCAUGGUGCAGUAGUUGAGUGGCUAAAUAGAGCAUUAAUAAUACUACCUGUUUGGGCUAGUGAACCACUAGGAGUACUAGGUGGAGGAUUAGAAGUCAGCAGCUUUAUGAGAUGGUCAAUUUGCUCCUUGCUGAGAUUUUUUUCUAGAUUCUCCACUUCAUUGGCAGACGCACGGCUAUGCUUGCUGUUUUUCCAAUCUGCAGGCUUUCCGUGGAGUUUCCAGCAAGCCUCCCGAGUAUGGCGUGGUUUAUUACAGUAAUCACACCAUACUCGAGGUUUUUGUUGCUGUUGAGUGAUGGAGCGGGUAGCAUUAUCUGCUGUAACAAGGGCAGAUUUUUCCACAGAGACAACGGAGUUCUUUUUUCCCAACAUAACACCUCGACGACUUUCUUCUCUCCUUACUUAAGAGAAAACAUCCUCAAGAGUAGGAAGUGGCUUUCUCCCAAUAAUUCUUCCUCUUACCUCAUCAAAUUCAACAUUGAGCCCAGCCAGGAACUUGAAGAUUCGCUCAUUAUUGACAGUUUGUUUGUGGUGUUUAAAAUCUUCCAUGCUCUCCCACUCGUAGUCGUUGAAUAAGUCCAGAUCUUGCCACAAUCUCUUUAGAGUAUUGAAGUAUUUUGUUAUACUAUAAUCUCCUUGACGGAUAUCUCCAAGAGCAAGCUGCAACUCAUAGAUCUGGGACUGAUUUCCAUAGUCAGAGUACAUCUGACUCACAUUAUCCCAGAGUUCUUUUGCAGUAGAGUAGCACAUAUAAUUUGCACCAAUGUCUUCAUCCAUGGAGUUGACUAACCAUGCCAUAAUCAUGGAGUUUUCGGCAUCCCAAACACCAUAAGAGGGAUCAGAUAUUUCAGGAGCCUUAACAUCUCCGGUAAGAUAACCAAUCUUCCCUCUUCCCCUAAUAUACAUUCUAACCGACUGAGACCAUCUUUGAAAAUUUCCUUCAUUCAGCCGGAUAGUUGUAAUCUGGACAGAAUGAGAUUCAGAAUGGGAAAUUUUUGGUUCUAGUCUUUUUGAGGUGACUGUGGUUUCAGAAGAUUGGUCAGACAUGGUAGGGAAGAGAUCAGAAAGAAAGGGAGCCUAGCUCUGAUACCAUGUGAAAAUAGGUAGAGAAAAAGUUUAUGGAAUAAUUCUCUUAUUUCAUAUGUUCAUGAGACUGUACACAGUCUUUAUAUAGGGAUACAAGAGACUAAGAAAGGAAAGAAAAAAUUAAAGCAGAAUAUUACACAUUGAUUUUUAGGAAGCAAUAACUCUAUAUUUACACCAAAUAUACACCUAAAUAUAUAAGGAAAACCAAAUCAAUUUGAUUUGGUCAACCUUUCAACAUGUGUGCUAGCAAGUCAUGUCUCUAAUAAUUUCAUAGUUUGCUUGAUUGGAAUUUUUUAUCUUGAUAUGGAUUGUUUAUUCUAGAUUCCUUGGUGCUGUAGGUUGAAACAGCAAAAGAUUCAGCACCGAUUUUGUCACUGCUUGCUCCAUUAAAUUCUGGAUCAAGGCACUCAUAUUGGAGAGCUCCACCUUGUACUACUUCUGUUGAAUUUGUUAUUGUUCUCUGUUCUGUUUCUGAUGUCAGUGGGGUUAUCUUGCUUGUUAGUCCUUGCGGCUAUUCUGUGGGUGACACUCCGAUGGUAAGUGCCAUAUUUAUUCCCUUAUUUCCUUGUUGUUCAAUAAAUUUGGUGAUAAGCCAAGUGGCCUUAAUAAUGAAGCCCAGUACCAGGGGUGGUGGGUAAUCGAUAUUCAACUUGUGAAUAUUCCUAAGCAAGCACUGAAUCAACAUAGACCUCGGCAAAAGUUCUCCAUGCUAUUAUAACGAAAGUCAUAUUUUGAAAUGAUUAAAAGAGUCCCUGUGUAGUGCUAUUUCCAAAGAAAUUGCAGCUGGAGGUUUAGUUUCAUGUAGGUUAGUUUCCGAUAAUAAACUUUCCAUUUCAUUAAUUGCUGAUGAAAAAACCAAGUAAGAACAGUUUUGUUGCUCGUCAUUUAUGUAUAUUUUGGUAAACUGUAAUUUUAAAUUCUCAACGAUCUUCCCUUUGUAGGUAAGAAGAUGGUCCACUCACUUGAUAUUUAUGAUUGUAGAUCAGGUUUCUAUUGGUUUGCCUUUAUCAUUCGGAACCCAAGUUUGAUAUUAACAGAGAUCACGUCAAUAAUAUCCUAUUUGGGUAGAUGUGGGUGAGGAUUUAAAAUCAAAUUUGAAAUUGAGGGCAAAGAAGAGAAAAGAAACCGCAAUAAUUAAACAAAAUAUUAGGAACUAUUCUGAUGAGUUUUAAUCUCGAGAGGAACAAUUUUCAAAUGCAAAAUUUAACUGCUAGAGAAAUUGUAGCUUUUUGUCAUUAGUUAAGAGGAAAGAGAAUAAGAACUAUCUGGCCCUUUCCUUCAUGAAUGUGUGUUGAGGUUGCUGUAUUAUUUAGUCAGUAUUUGUAAUUUUCUUCCCUGCAGUGCUCUCUGCCUCCUGAAUUUGCUACUGAGUCCAUAUUUUUCUUUGAGCUGUUGCUUCCUAUUGCUGUUACAGGUACAAAUCUGGGCAAGCAAUAAGAUACACCGGGAGGACAGGUCAUCAAUGGGAAAAUGGGAUGUCCAAUCCCUCAUCACAUCUUCUUCAGAUUUGUAUGGUCCAGAAAAGUCUGCUAGUGUUGAAAAAUUACCUAGGCAUGUAAAAUUUACUUUUAAGAAUCCUGUUAGGUGCCGCAUUGUUUGGAUCACAUUACGUCUUCAGAGACCUGGUUCGGCUUCAGUUAAUUUCGGGAAUGACUUCAGUCUUUUGUCUCUUGAUGAAGAUGAAAACCCCUUUGCACAAGUAGACAGACGUGCUUCAUUUGGAGGAGCAGUUGAAAAUGAACCAUGUAUUCAUGCCAAAAGAAUUCUUGUAGUCGGAAGCCCAGUAAAAAGGGAGGGGCUUACCACAUCACAGAGCUCUGAGCAGCUAAGUAUUAGAAACUGGUUGGAUAGAGCUCCACAAAUGAGUAGAUUCAAGGUAUUAGUUGCUUUCACUCUUUGUUCAUUCAUAAUUCCAGCUUUCUGCUUGAUGCCUUGCCUCUGAUAAACCUCUUUUUUCUCUUCAGGUCCCAAUUGAGGCCGAGAGAUUGAUGGACUACGAUCUCGUCUUGGAACAGUAUCUACCUCCAGCGUCACCUUCGCUUGCCGGAUUCCGUCUAGAUGCUUUCAGUGCAAUAAAACCUAGGGUUACCCAUUCACCUUCCUCAGAUUCAGAUAUCUGGGACAAAUCAGUAACAUUUUUAGAAGACAGGUACAUCUCUCAAGCUGUGUUGUAUUUACAAGUAUCCGCACUCCAGGAACCACAUAACAUGGUAACUAUUGCGGAAUAUCGACUGCCGGAGGCUAGAGCCGGAACGCCAAUGUACUUUGAUUUCCCACGACCGAUACAGUCCCGACGAGUUUCAUUCAAGCUUCUUGGAGAUGUUACAGCAUUUGCAGAUGAACCUUCAGAACAAGAUGAUUCAGGAUUGAGAGCUCCACUUGUGGCCACAGGUUUGUCUUUGUCAAACAGAAUCAAGUUAUAUUAUUAUUGUGAUCCUUAUGAGCUCGGAAAAUGGGCAAGCCUUUCUGGAGUUUGAUCGUUAUUUAUAUGUCAGAGAAAGGGUUUUGGGUUUGAUUUUGAUUUUGAUUUGUAAUUUUUGUCAGUUUAUUGAAAUUUUUUGUUGUAUAAAAGCAGAAUGUAAAGGUAUAAAAAUUCAUUGAUGCUGCAAUGUCUGUGCUUUUGAGAAAGAAAGAAUUCUAUGGCUUUUCUAUGCCAUUGGAUUUUCCACUGCCUGUAAACUUGGGCUGUCGAAUGCUCUGUGAACCUUAAGGGCUAUAAAGUAAUUUUCAAGACUGAAGGAUUUAUUAAUCGAGUUCAAAAGAUUGCAAGUUGGUGAGCGUUGGCAUUUAAAAAAUCAAUUGUUAUUCUCUCAAUAAUCUCUGUCUUCUGCCGACACCCCAUGCUCAGAAACCCAUUGUUCCGACGGACGUGUAACACUUCUAGAAAUUGUUUUGAUCUCUCCUCGUGAAGUGUUUUCUUUUUCGAGUGAAGGUGGUUUUCUACUUGCAUACGUCGGGGGUCUUAUGAUAUGUAAUGUGUGAAAUUUCUUUCUCAUUUUACCAUAAAGAAAAAUGUUGUAAUAAUCUAAAGCUCGAGUCUUAAAUUAUCUUAAAUUUAUAUUUAGAGUGGAGCUAUUCGCAAUCCUACAUUAAAAUUACAAAUAAAAAUAAUUGAAAAUUAAACACUUAUAGAUUUUUUUUACAACAAAUUAUUUAAUUCAUAAUCAAUCCUUUAAAAAAAAAAAUCCAUAUGUUACUUGCUAUCUAACUAAAAUAAAUUUUACAAAUUUAGAAUAAUCUAUUGAUUUCUUUUGAUUUCUUAUUAAUUAAAUAUUUUUAUACAUAAAAUUGCUUUGAAAUUAUAAUUUGAAAUAUGUGUUAUUUCAGCCAAUGAUUAACACUAAAAAACUUAUCACCCAUAUAACUUUUUAAUUUGUGUGUAGGGUAAUAAUAAAAUCAAAAAUAAUUAAAAAAAUAGUACAAUAAUGAGUUUUAACAAUAAAACAAAUCAAAUGAAAAUUGAAAAUUUAGAAAAAAUGUAUCUAAAAAAGGGAACGUUUUUUAAAAUAAAAUGAAUAUAACUAAAAAGGGGUUUUAUGAGAAGAGCAGAGGGGUGCCAAUAGUCCAACUUGUAAUUAAGAAUCUCCCAUUAUAUUGUCAACCAAAAAGACACUUGAAUAAGAAGAAGAAUUUAUCAGUUUGAUUUUAUUUAUAGAUCCAACAUUUCUCAUAUCCUAAACGCCUUUCCGUAUCAAAUUAAAACAGUAGUCGCAAAAUCGUAGUAUUAAAAUCGUAGUGCACAUUCAAUUAACCAACUAAUAGUCUUUGGUAUAAGAUUUUAUAUUAGCUAGCCAAGUAGGUUGUCCAUCCCACUCAGACAUGAACGAAAGCUAAAUUCAUCAAAUGGUGUUAUACUAUUAAAUAUUUUUAUAUUUAAAAUUACUUUGAAAUUAUAAUUUCAAAUUAAAAUAGUAGUAGCAAAAUCGUAGUGCACAUUCAAUUAACCAACUAAUAGUCUAAGAAGCAAAGAGAGGAUUACAAGUUCACAACACCAUUACAAAGGAUUCAAAAUUCCCACACGAAAACAUCAAUGUACAGAUUAUAAACAAUCCGAAUUGGACACAAGAAAAAGCCCUUCAAUGGAUUGCUUUCCUUCCCAAUGCUAUAUACUGUGCAAACUCCGCACUGGCCAAGAAAAUGUUUUCAAUUUAGUGUAUUUUCAAAUUGCUUAUUUUCUCAUAAUAUAAAAAAUAAAAAAGAAUCCUUACAUGUUUCAUCAGCAUGAUUAAAAUCAAAGAAGAAAGCGAAGACGUAAUGUCUCUGACAUAAUAAAAUUACAAAAAUUUCAAGGAAAAAAAAAAGGUUAAAACAUGUAAUCUUCAGAAGCAUAUAAUAAAAGAACACUUCCACAAAUUACUACAAUUUCAUGCAGUAGAGAUUGAAGAGUUGAAUUCCACUAAUUUUAAUAAUGAAAACAACAACAGAGGAUUAACUGAUGCUUUGACUUAUUAGCAGGUUGCUUUGACUUAUUAGUUCUGCAGCUAAGUUAAAUAAAAUAAGCUAUUUUCAAAAGCAAAAUGGAAUACAUAGAUAAAAACAUCAUCUUAAACAAAUCACAAUCUAGAAUUAGAGCAUUUUCGACAUACCUAAGGAACACGAAUACGUGAAAACGGGUGAUUUAUUUGUUAAGGAGUGUUGAUUUGGUCGUCUCUGCAAAUUCUUUAGGGACUCGGUUCCAAUUCCUCUUCAUCAAAACUGUAAUAUAAUUCCCCUUCAUCAGAACUCGAAUCGAUGCAAUAUAAUUCCCCUUCAUCAGAACUCGAAUCAAAUUCACUUGCAGCAGUUCCACUCGCGCUUGGCAAAUCAUCCAAUUUCCAAACUUCGGUAACAAAAUUGAGAGUAAAAGUGUUGGCUUUGAUCUCGCUGGGAUUUGCAUAUACUGGACAUACUCCGCAACGUUUUAUCUUCUGACCCUUUUGGACCUUUAUUAUGUUUCGGUGACACUCAUUGAAGAACUUAAAUGUGGCAGUUGAAUGAUGGUCACCAUCAGGAAAGCCAACAUUCAAGCAAGGUUUAAAACCAAGUAUGACAUGAUCUGAAUCAUGGGGGUCUUGAAUUGAGUGCAAAUUGUAACCCAGAUGAACAUGUUUGGUUUCAGAGAGAGUCUUUAUUUCUAAGUCGGAUCGACAGUAAACGUAAAAAUAACGAAAACGAUCAGAAUAAAGUUGCUUAAAAUCAAGAACAGCACAAAAAGCAAACCCGAUUAAGUUUCUGCAAAAAGAGUGCGGUGGCAGUUGAAUACGUAUCGAAGAUCCUGAACUUUGAUUGCUGAACCAGUCAGGAAUUUCGCUCCCAGGUAAAACAAUUUGGGAUCCCCUGAGUUCAGAAAGUUUCUGCGAAACGACAUUUAAAAAAAGAAAAUUGUAAAAUGAAAACCAUGAUUUCAGAUAUAACAAAGAGGGACAGAGUAAACAAGAGAGGGAAUUUGAUACCUCGUUGUAUGCAUUUUCAUAGCCCAGUCUCAGUGAUGCUGCAAUUGCCAUACGUAGUGAAUCUGCCAAAAUCUUGUUGUUUGCUUUUCCAUCAAGUUUCAAGCAGUUAGUAAACUCAAAACAAAUUGGUUGUGGCGUCACAUAUUCCGGAUGCCAUUCACGAAGGUCAGGAGAGGGUUUGGAUAGCUUUUCGAGUACGGAUGCAUCUAGUUCUUGUACACAUGACGGAAUCUCUGGCAAAGAUUGAAGCCGGUUGCAGUUCAUUGCUUUUAGUGACUGUAGACACAAUGGAAGUUCUGGUAAUGACCGAAGCAUGUUACAAUCCUCCAAGUGAAGAGUUUCUAGACCCAAUGGAAGUGCUGGUAAUGACUGAAGCAUGUUACAACGCCUCAAGUAAAGAGAUUUUAGACACAAUGGAAGUUCUGGUAAUGACUGAAGUAUCUUACAAUCCCUCAAUUCAAGAUAUUUUAGACACAAUGGAAGUUCUGGUAAUGACUGAAGCAUAUUACAAUCCUCCAAGUUAAGAUAACUUAGCCACGACAGUUGCUUGAUACUUGCAGGUAAACUCUCAAAGUUAUUUCCACUUAAAUUGCCAAUGUUAUCCGGCAACUUGUCAAGUAUAGAGCAACCACUUACGGACAAAAAUGAAAGCCCCGGUAGAUUUUCAAAUGGCGAUGGCAGCUCUGUAAUUGCCGUCCAGACUAAAUAGAUGCAAUUUAAAUGUUCCAUUUUCUCCAAGAUUUCUGGGAAACGCUCAAGGUUCAAGCAGCCAAAAAGAAAAAGAUCAACCAAAGAUCUCAAUUUACAGAACCUAGUUGAAAUCCUCUUCAGCCGUUUGCAAUGCCCCAAAUCCAACACUUCAAGAUCAGUUAGGCACUCUAUUGAUGAUGGAACUUCUUCUAUUGCAGACUGGCCUAAGGAUAGCUCUGUGAUUUUCCCAGAAAUCCGUGGAAACUCUUUGAGAUUAACACAAUAGGAGAAAUUAAUAGUUACUGGACAAACAAAAUGAAGAUUGCUUGGAAAAGACCUAAGACUUUUGCAGCCCUCAAAAGACAACGCACUGAGAUACUUGAAAUUCUGGAUAGAUGAGGGAACACAAGCCAAGUUUGUAUAAUCCAAAAGAUUUGUUUCAACAUUUGGGGUUUCUAAUGGGCCUGGCAUCUUAAUGAAAUGUCGAGAAUGAUUGAGGUUAAUAGAUUUUAACUUGAAAGCUUCCUGCAAUAACAGAUAUAUAAAGACUAUAUUAAUUAAAAAGCAACAUUGAAUUCAACAAUUAAUUGCACGUAUGUUUAAAGAAAGAAAAAAAUUAAUGUUUUAGUUUUAGUACAAAACUUACCUUUUCUCCUUCCCAAAGUUGCUCAACUUUACUAAAACGCAAAUUCAGUUCAACAAGGUUCAUUGGCUUGAAAUUUGAUGGCAGUGUCCUUAAUGGAUAUGUGUCCCAAUGAAGAUAUCUCAAUUUUUUAGGAAGAUAAUCUAGGCCAUUUGGAAGCUGCACUUUAGAGUAUGAAAGUUGCUCUUCAAUGCUCAUACUUAGAAACCUUUCAAUCUCAGGUACAUAAAAUUUGAGCAAUCUUAGAUUAGACAUUUUUGUGAAGGCUCCUGGGUCUAAAUUGAUGCCUUUUAUUUUGGACAAAUCCAGAAAUAUGCCUUCAAUUGCAUCGGUCCCCUUAUUAAAAAAAAAAAAAACAAAGAAUGAGUAACCCUAAAACAGAAAAGAAACAUUCGUAAACUUUAUUAACUAAGAGCUUCUUAAACAAAAACAAAUUCUGCAAUCUUUGAUUUUAUUUUUUUAAUAUAUUAAAUAUCUAUAUACGAGAAAAGAAAAUUUUGGGGACCAUUGCAAAAUUAAACUAACCGAAAAAAAAUUCAAAAUUUCUCUAAUUUACAAACCUGUUAUCUUAAUAACUAGAAGUUGAGAAGACAAGGCCUAUUUGAUUGGUAUAAGAUUUCGAUUUGUUUUUUAGUCCAUAGAAUCCAAAAUGUUAGUUCAAAAUUAGGGAAAAAAAAUGAAAGUUAUUUUUUUUCCACUAGUUGUAAUUGUUUCCAAGUCAAAUUGAGAUACGACCCUUUUCGAAAGGAUUUAAUCAUCUUAUAGCCUCCUUAAGAUACAUUUAAGCUAAAAGGAGUGAUUGGAGGCAGAACUAGGUGGGCCAAUCAGUCCCUUUUAUUAGUGACUGUUGCUUAAAAAAAAUUAUACUCUAAAACACACUUACUUUUUUGAAAAAAAAUAUAAUUAUAUUGAAGUAGAACCAGGUGGGCCAAUCCUCAUGGCACUCACUUUGUUCUGACACUCUUCACUAAAUUUGAAGAAAAAUAAAAUUAUACUCUUCACACUCUUAUUCAACAUUCCAAAAUUGAUAAAAUCUAGAGUUUUCUUUAAAAAUUUAAAAUUUGAAGACUUGUUCUCUUGACAUCCUCAGUCAUUAAUUUCACCUAAUUAUGGUUUUUAUGAUUUUGGUUGUUUUGUUCAUAAAACAAUUUUACUAAAGGAUGUUCUCGUAAUAAUAAAAAUUAUAAAAAAAACAUGGGUGUGCUGGUAUGGUUGGGAAAAUACGAGUACAGAACUCCAAACAAAUAAAAGAUUUAUAUAAAAAAAAAUGGAGGAUUCUUACCAUAUUAUGCUUUAGUACGCGGCGGAUUUCCUUAGGAUCCCACAACCUACUACGUCUGCCUGGCACUUCCUCAGAUUCUUGGCGAACAGUCUCUUGGCCCAUUUCUUGCAAUAAAUCAUGCAUUUGCAAGCGGUUAUCUGACACAGUUAUGAGUGACUUGUCGACGAGGACAUCCAGUCUGUGAGACCCAGAAUCAUCAAGUAUCCUUAACACAAAAUCUUUAUCCUCUCCCUCAAGGAAACACGCAAUAUCUAGAAACAUACUCUUCACCCUGGGCGUUAAUUCUUUAAAACUAAUCUUUAAUGUAUCAUAAAUACCAUGAAUAUCAGAUUCACAAAUCCGAUUUAAGUCGUGCAAUACAUUUUCCCAAUGGCUUUUCCUCUUGAGAUACAGGGAGGAACCCAACACUUUAAGAACUAAUGGAUUGCCAUCAGCAUACUCUACAACUCUCCACGAGUCACGUUUGAAAUCUUCAGGACGAUGCUUUUCUUUAAAAGCGAAGUUACAAAAGUGCUCGAAAGCCUCAUCAAAUUUCAAUCCAUUGACCCUAUAUAUUUUCUCCACUCCAAAUUUUUCGAGGACUCGUUUAUCCCUGGUGGUUACAACAAUUCUACUUCCUGGACCAUAUUGAUCAAGCCCUCCAAUCAAACCCUCUAAUUGUUCAUCUUUAUUCACAUCAUCGAGUACAAUCAACACCUUCAUGCGUCGGACCCUCCCUUUAGUAAAUUGUGGAAUAUUGGGACCAGCUACUUCAAGUUUUUCACUUAAUAUUGUCGAAAGCAUUUCCUUUUGUAGGUCUUCUAGGCCACCCUCUGUUUCUGAUUUUCUCCUAACAUUUUUUGCAAAGUAUUUACCAUCAAACUCACCAGCGAAUUGAUCGAAAAUAGCUUCAGCAAGGGUAGUUUUGCCUAUACCGCCCAUACCCCAAAUUCCAACAAUUUGGACAGUAUCCGACAAAUCCAUACACAAAAAUGGUUUAAUCUGCUCAAUUCGUGAAUUUAAUCCAACUAGGCCGUUGGAUGAGUCCGUUGAGACUGUUAUUUUUUCCAACUUCUUCAAAACAUCUUCGACAAUUUUGUUUACAAGUUGCGCAUCAAGCCUAAUAUGAAGGUGCAAAGAUGCAAAAACAUUGAGUCAAAUCGGGCCAAGACAGAAACAGAGAAAAGAUGAAUUAGGAAAGAGAGUUACCUGAAUUUCGUGGAUUCAUGGCCGGCUAGAUGGGAUGUUUCUGUCAGUGCAUCCCUCCACUUCUGAACCAUUUCUUGUUUAUCUUUGAACUGUUUUUUGAGCUCAUCAAAACGGUCUCCAAAUGUUCCGUUUUGAUGCCGCACAUCAGAUGGACUUACUCCAUAGAAGAAUGGAAUAAUAAUUUGGCCGUUUGUGUUCUUGCAUUCAAGAAUCUUGACAAGUUCAUUCAGGCACCAUUUUGAAGAAGCGUAGUCCUUCGAGAAAAUGACCACCGAAAUUUUUGAACCUUGGAUUGCGUUCAAAAGGGCGGGUGAAAUCUCAUCUCCUCGCCUAAGCCCUUCAUCAUCAAUAAAUGUUUUGAUUUUCUUUCCUUCAUACAAUUUAUCAUAGAGAUAGCAAGUAAAGCUCUUACGAGUGUCCUCCCCUCUAAAGUUGAGGAAGACUUCAUAAUUGGCACAAGAAGAAGAGGAAGCCAUGAAGGAAAUUUUAGAAAAUUGGUGACAGAAACAGAGAAUUAAUCUUGAGAGUUGAGAGAGGAGAUGUAAGAAUGAACAUGUGCGAAGAUUCUUGCGAGUACAUAGUAAAUAAUUGAAUGGCUGGAGCUUUCUUAGUUUCCUGGAAAUUUCCUGGAGCUUUCGUAUACAUGAUUUGUCAAGUCAUGAAACAUAAUCAUGAUAAUGGGGCAGACCGAAAAGAAAAGCAACAAUUCAAAUAUUUGAUUCAACCAGUAUAAAAAGGAAGGAAAAGCAAAGAAAGGAAAUGUUGAAAGUAGAGUUAGGGAAUUAUAAAAAGCUGAAGGAAAUUGGAAUUUUGUACAAUUUCUCCAGCGAGGAACUUUCACAGUCGUUACCUCAUUGUUACAGUUUAGAUUAAGAUUUGAGGGUGCAAGCAUUUACCUAGAUUUUACCUCCGCACUAAAUUCUUAAGUUUGAAAAAUUAUGAGACCUUUAUAUUGGAAGAUAUUAUAAUCGAAUCAAAACUUAAAAUUUUAAUAUUGUUAAUCUUUAAUCUUUAAAAAAAAUUACCUUGCCGUUACAAUUUGGAUUAAGAUUUGAAUAAGCAUUUACCUAAAUUUUAUCUCCGCCUGUAAAUUCUUAUGUUUUAAAAAUUAUGAGACCUUUAUAUUGGGAGAUAUUAUAAUCGAAUCAAAAUUUUGAAUUUCAAUAUUAUUAUUCUUUUAAAAAAAAUUUGAGAUAACAGAGUGAUUGAUAAUAGAGAACUUGUCUAGGCAAACACAUGCAUACACAAAAAUGUGAUGGAUUCAAAAAGAAAUUAAAGUGAUAAUGUACGUGGAUCCUUAAAACAAAAAGCGAAAUCGCUUGGUGGCCCAGUAAAAUUAAGACUGAAUAUUUUUUACACGAGAAGUGUAGCUCAUAAAUGGCAAAAGCCAUUUCAUUUCACUUUUACGCGUCAUUGACUUUUGUAACAUGGUGCAUGCAUCGUCAAGUGAGGCAAAAGGGUUUCGAUUACAGUGGGAAAACAUGAACAAGAAUGCAUAAUGAAUAAUUCCUUUGAUAAAGCGAAAAUUAAACACAGAAUAAUCCUAAAAUUUAAACUCUAAUAUCUUAUAAUUUAAUGAUUAAAAAUAAUCCUAAGAGUUCCCAAUUGAAACUUUCAGAGAUAAUAGAAAAUAGCUAUGCUUUAAAAGGCCAAAGAUUAGAGAACAAAGAAGAAUUAGGUAUUGAUAUAAAAAUUAUUAAUUUUUUUGAUUUCAAGCAAAAAUAGUUUCAUAUACCAUUUCGAUUUUGGUAGGGGUGAGGUUUUGAACUUCAAUAGUUUCCUCUAAAAUCAAAAGGUAGUAAUUAAGUUAGAAAGAGCAAAGAAGACUUAUCGGUACCUUAUUGAAGGUAAACAUUAUGGAACUUUCAAUGUCAUUACCCCACUGUUUAAUUUUUAUUGAGAUUUGUGCAAGCAUUUACCUAAAUCUUACCUCUGCCUGUAAAUUCAUAAGUUUUGAAAAUUAUGAGACCUUAUAUCGGGAGAUAUUAUAAUCGAACUAAAACUUAAAAUUUCUUUUCUUUUUUUUUUUUUUUAUCAUAAAAGGGCUCUUAAGAGAGCUAAGGCAACACUAAAUGGGAGUGUGCAACCCCAUGAACAUCAUUAAUCAAUAUGUUUAGCGUAUUUGGAGGAAUAGAUUGAAAGCAAUGUAAACCCAAAGGAAAAGAAAAGCUGUACGAAGUAAGGAAAUCUGCUGCUACAUUGGUUUCUUGGUAGAUAUGAUCCACUUUGAUCAGCCAAUCACGCCGAAGGAGUUCUUCGAUGGCCUGAAUGAGAGUAAAAUGCUCAUUGACGGGAGGGUUUGAGUUAGAGAUUAACUUCAUAACACACAUGCUGUCCACUUCCACGUAAAACUUAAAAUUUCAAUAUUAUUAUUCUUUAAAAAAAAAUUGAGAUAUCAGAGUAAUAUCACAUAGAAAAACUUGCCCACGGACGGUAAGCCAAAAGUCUAGUCAACCACAUGCAUAAAGCUAAGUAGAACAAGAGAACAGAGAAACGCGUGGGUCCCUAAAGAAAAGGCAAGCACAUAAAUGAAAAAGCCAUUACAUAUCUAUUAACACGGUGUGGCAGCAUAUGCACAAUCAAGUGAGGCAAAAGGGAUUCGAUUAUCGUGGCAGAACAUGGACGAGGACGCGUGAUGAAUAAUUCCUUCGUUAAAACCAAAAACAAACGCAGAGAAAACAAUUUCUUAUAUGACAAGAAAUCAAAGUAAUGUGAAGGAACAUGAUGAAGAAAUUGCAGACUGAUCAAUUAUCCCCAUGGACUCCUAUAAAUUCAACCAAAAUAACAAUUCGAAUCUUACCAAAUUCUUGAGUUAAAUUUAUUCAAUGCUUUUAUUUUUUUAGAAAAUUUUUUUCCAAUGCUACUUUUCCUUUUUUGGGGAAAUUAGAACCGCGGCAUGUAUAGAAAACAUUGAGGUGUAAAGCAACAUUAAUUUCAUGGGAUAUGCGUUAUACGCAUAAUAUAUUUUCAGUCCAAAUUCAACUAUACAAAGAGGCUUGAGAACUUAAAAUUAAGCACAAACUAAACAGACGAAGUAAAUACAUGAUUAUGCAACAUAACAUUAAUUCUCUCAAUUGAUAACUGUUUUUGCUACAUGAAUCUUGCACAGUUAAUCCUAAUUGAAGACUAAAAAAGAGCAAUUGGAAGAAGGUUUUGGAAUAGAAUGGUAUACAAUCGAUAUGAUCCUUUUCCAGUAGUCAACGCUAAUUAACUGCAGUUUCUAGACUCCUAAUUAUACUAGCCAUAGCAAACUAUUUAGAAAACUGGUGAUCAAAUUAGAUUUUGAAAGGAAAUAAUGUUCAUUUUCCCUUCGCUGCCUUUUCUUUUCUUUUCUUUUUAUAGCAAAGAAUUAUAUCAUGAAAAGAAUCAAUUUAAUCACCUUUUCCAGCAGCCCAAUUUUUCUUUUAUAAAAUUUGACCACGGAGACAAAGAAGAAUUAUUCAUAACUUCAUCACUAAGGAAAUACUUUUCGGUAUGGCUAGGGUGAGAAAAUGCUUUCCACUAACACUUGUACUUUGUAUUCUUGUAAAUUUUCUUUAAAGUCAAUAAAAACCAUAAGUUCUUUGCAAUAACCAUCUCUUUGAUCAAAAAGUGCCGUAUUCCUUUAGAAUUUAAAACCGGCAAAACCGAAUCAGUGUCUUUGAAGAGACAUAAUGGUCGUAAUUCUUUAAAUGAGUUGGCUAUGGAAAUCCUUAUCCAAGAUUCUUUUAUGCCAUAUUCUUUCGUAAACCAAAAUUCAUUUUGAAAUACUCUAUUGAAAAUGUCAAAUAAAACGGCAUUGAAGGAAGUUUUCAAAGGCAUAAUCCGCACUUGUCAAAGGGAUGAUCUGCACUUGUCAGAGACACGAUCCGCGUCGAACGAAUCGACACAUUUCCUUUCGUAUUCGCAUAUGUAAUCUUUGAAAAAAUGUAGCUUCCGCAUCUAUAAAUAACGCUCAGUGUAUAAUGUUUUAUUCAAGAAAAGAAAACAAAUUUCUUCAUACUCCUUGUCCGAACAUACAGAGACAGUCUCUCAUAACUUCAGCCGAAUACUUAUGAUGAUGAUCAUUUGUGAUUUCAUCAGGCAUAGGGUUGAUGGUGAAAAAUUUUGUAUGUGUGAAGAAUUGAGCUGUGGAUAUAGGGGACUUAAGUGUAAUCGAAAGAGAGUUAUUAGGCCAUAGUGCAGAUUGCAUUCAGUUUAUGGGUCGAUAUGCAAAUAAUUUGUUGACGUGGCGAAAUCUGUUAUGGUCGUUACUAUUGUUUCUGGAAAUUUUCUAGAAACCUCAGCAUAAAAGGGGCUUUUGCAUAGCCUCUGGUGUGCGUGUGAUUUCUCUUUCGUUUCCUCAUCAAAUUCUGUAAUUCUUGCUUUGAUAAAAAGCUUGUAAUCAUUUCUGUAAUGUGUGAUCAGUGCGUAAUCAUUUUGAGCAAUAAAAGCUUGUGGGUUUUUCCUUCAAACAGUGUCGUUUUGGUCAGUUUGUUAGUUUGAUCUGUUGGUGGAAUUUUCUUUGGUUAUUUGUUCUCAAAUUUCAACCGUAUAUAAAGUUUGAACUCUAAUGGCUUAUAAUGUAUUGAUUAAGAAUAAUCCUAAGAGUUCCCGAUUGAAAUUUUUAAUGACUAUUUUUAUUGUUUUGGAUAUACAAAUUGCAUUAAGAAAAAAUAUUGUCAAAUUCAGAGGAUAACGGGAAAUAAUUAUGCUUCAAAAGACCAGAGAUUAGAGAAUAAAGAAGCAUUCAUUACUGACAUACAAAAGAGAAACACUCCAAAAUUGCAAGCAAACUAGUUUCAUAUACUAUUUGGAUUUUGGAAGGGGUGAAGUUUUGAGCUUCAGUUGUUCCUCUAAAUAGCAAAGAAGACUUAUUGGUACCUUACUGAAGCUAACAUUGUGGCACGGUUGUUCAUAUGUAAUGGCUGCUCUGUUAUGGUAGCUUCUCUGUUUUUGCUCACAGUUUUGAACAUGAAUUCUUGCUCAAAUAACCCAUAAUUAAUUAACAUUAAAAUGGCUCGUGAAAUCCCAUAAUAGCUAAUUACGCAACUUUCUCCUCCUCCUCAAUUAUGUCUUCCCCUGCUCGUACAAUAAAUUCAAAAUUCAAUGCCCCGAAAAACAACACAAGAAAUCUUUGAGUUAGUUCGUGACCAGUUUAUAUAUAGUAGCAAUUGAAAAAAGAAAAAGAAGAAAAGAGUUAAUUAUUAUUCAGACCUUCACUUAUUAGGAAGUUUGUUCUGCUAUUGGGUGAGGUCAAGCUCUCAGCAUAUACUUCCACAUGAUACUUUCUAACAUUUUCUUGAAAGCCAUCAAUCAUAAAAUCUUCAUACUUUUUUCCAUCCUUUGGAUCAAUGAGUACAAAUUUCUCAUCUAAAACAGACAAAAUAAAAUCACUGUCCUUCAUGGAACAUAAUGGCUGCAAUGCCUGAACUGAAUUGGCUAAUGAAACAUAGUCUUCUUUUCUUUCUCGACAUGGAACAUAGUCUUCUUUUCUUUCUCGACACAUGUCUCUGUACUUUUCUCUCUCUACUGAUCCACACUUUUUCAUACUUCUAACUAUCAUUUUGUUUUUUUUUUUUGAGUUGUGAUUUAUUCAAUUAUUUUGUAUUUUUAAUGACAAUUAUUUAAUAUUUAGUUAGUGUUGAUAUUGAUUAGUGAUUGAAAGUGUAUUUUAGAAGACUUCCGGUCUCUUGAAAAAAGGAAAAAUGGAGAAGAAGAAGAAGUGUUCUUGAUUUUUUUGUAGGCAUUAAAGUUAAACGGUUUGAAAUGAUAUUUUGUUUUAAUUUCACUCAUUAAUCUCAUUCAGGAUAAAAUUAUAAAUGCAAAUAAAUGGGGUUUCAUAAGUAUUUUUAAUAGUGUUAAAAGGUCUACUAACUAAAUAAACAUGUUUUACCCAAACCAAUCCGAUUAAUAAGUUAUUGGGUUGGGUUGAUCAGGUUAAAAAUCAAAAUUAAAAAUUAAAUAAAUAAAUAAGGCAUAAAAACUAUAUGUUACUUGAAAAUAAAAAGAAUUUCUAAUAGUUAGUUCUAAUGUCCCAUAUCCAAAACAUGCAUAUUAAAUAAAUAUUAUAAGUUAGAAAUAAAAUAUCCAAGAAAUAAUGAAUGAAAUACCAUAUUUUUGUUGAGAAUUAAGAGUGUGAUUUUAAUUUUGAUAUUGGAGUCUAAAGCAAUAGAUAGUACAAUGAAAUCAUGAAUGCUACGUUUAAAUAAUCUCUUUUAUAAAAUAAUAAAAAGAGGUUAAAAAUUAGGUUAGCAUUUAGGGUUUAGCAGUUAAGGAUGAACAUAUUAUUAUUGUUGUUGUUGUUGUUAUUAUUAUUAUUAUUAUUAUUAUUAUUAUUUACAUAUUAAUUAAUCCAACCCAACUCAAUUAUUAACGAAUUUGAAAAAAAAUGACCAAAUUAAUCCACAAUAAUUCAUUCAACUCGUCUAAAUUAGAUUAGAUUGAAUUUGAUUUGCUACACCUACAUUGAGCAACAAACCUCAACGCGAUUCUAUGAGCUCUUUGAUUGUUUAUAAAAUUGAUUUAGAGUACAUAAUGGAGUGUAUCGACAAUGAAAGUGCAAAACAAAUUAUUGUAUACAUUAAAAUCUGCAAAACAAUGAAUUAUAUGUACGAACGAGUGCAAACACAUUUUUCAAUAAGAAGUUAAAAGAUAUUUAUGCAUGAAAAAGCAUACGUUUGUAGUUACUCUAAAUUUUUUAAAAAAAAUUUACAUUUAGAUCCCUAAAAUUUACGUAUAAGUACAAAAGUUUCAAAUAUUGUCUAUUAUUUUUUAACAUAUGCCUAUUCCUUGUGGAUAAUUCUGUCUCAUCACUAAUGUUGUUUCUUGCUUACAAAAAACAAAUGUCAUCUCCUUUUACAAUUUUUAUAGCGUCUCAAAAUAGACAAUGGGGGGAUUUUGAAUUUUUUAAGUCUCAAGAUAGUCUCUAAUCUUGUGAGAAAGAUUUUCUUUCAAUAAUUUGGAGGUAAAGAUAACAUAAUUUUUUGGAUAGUGUGCAUGUGUAUUUAAUUAAUAAUUUUUUAAAAAAAUACAUCAAAUAUUAAUAUCCAUGACAUAAUUUAGUUCUUAAUUUUUUUUAAAUACAUCAAAAACAUAAUUUUUUUUAACAACUUAUAGGCAUGACAAAUUUCAAGAUAUAAAUAUCAGUCAAAAUAAGUGAAAGAAAUAAUGGUGCCAAUUCUAAUUUCUUAACUAAAUUAAUUAGUGCAUGAGCCCCGAAUACGACACGAGAGUUUGAUGGGCUAACUUGGCACAAGAACGUGAAUAAAUAAUUGAUUUAAGAAAUAAUUCAACGAAAAAUAUAAUUGAUAAGAAUUCAGUAUUGAAAUGAGUUUUUUUGUGAAACACUGAAUUAAUGAUUAUUAAGCAAGAACAAUAAAAAAAUAAAUAUUAAUCAUUGAUAAGUUUCAACAAAAACUUAACACAAUCCUCAAUCCUCAUUCAAAUGAUAAAUGUCAUUCAUAUAUUCAUUAUAAAUCAACAACAAAGGUUAUAAAUGUUUAGAAAUUCUAGAGGGAAGGAAGCUAUCGCCGGACAAUCAACAACUAAAUUUGAUGUAAUUGUGGCACGAGAUGGAAUAUGGAAACUACACCAUAAUUUCAAAUGCCGCCAUAGACAUUGACUUAUCAUAAUAACAAUGAUCUAAUUAAAAUAAAAACAAAGUUUAUGGGCAUUUAUUAUUUUGCCAUUCCUCAUUUGCAAAUAGGGAUAUAAUUAUAAUUUUACCUAGUCAAAGCAAUCGGUAGUUUUCUUCAUUAUAGGAGUGAAGUAAAAACAUUUAGAUUUCAAUGUAUGUACGGAAAAAUUUGUCUUUAAAAAUACUUUCUUAAUGUGUGUAUGCAUAUUGAAAUACUCAAACCAAUUUUGGUUAUAUAUAAUUAAACAAAUUUUAAAAUAUGAAAAAUAUAAUGUAGUUAUAGUGGAUAAACAAUAAGUGAGCACAAUAUAAUUAAUCAAAUAUUAUGCCAUCAAAAGUUAAUUUUAGAAAUUCCAAAUCCAAUAGCCAACACAAUUCUUUUUUUUUUAAAAAAGUUGACACAAUUAAUAAAAUUAGCGACAUGAAUUUCACGCCAUUGAUAAUCAGCAAUUAGUAUUACUUUCUAAACUUGCUUCAACUGGUCGUUGAUGUCCGGGUCACCAAAAGUAUAAGCGAUAAUAAGGGGCAUUGGGCAAGAGUGAUGAAUGUUUAGUCGGUGCAUUUGAUUGAUAGAUAUAUAAAGGGCCGAAACUUGAGAUUAUAUUACUUUUACAAAUUUUAAUCCAAUCACAUAUUUACUGAAAACAAAAUGAGUUAGGAUACUUUAUUUAGAACCCACAUUUUAAUAAGGCUUCAUUUGAUGUAGUUUUUCAAACAGUGAUUAUUUGAGUAAAGUUUCCUCAAUAGAGUUUUUAUCAAAUAAAUUUUAUUUAUUUGGUUGUCGAUAAGAACUUUUAUUAAAAAUUAUAAAAUUAUUUAAAUAAACAUAUUUUUUAAAAUUACAUUAUAAAAAGAAUUAAAUAAAGUUAUAAAAGUAAAAUAUAUUUUAGAUAUUUUAAUAUUUAAGAAAAAAAUUUUGAAUCUCUACUUUCAGAAGCUCAAAUUUUUAGUUUUUAGUUGUAGAGACAAAAUAUCUUAUUUAAUCUUUAAAAGUUCUGCUAAAAACAAUCAAAUAACUAUAAAAUUUUUAAUAAGAGUAUAUAAAAUUAAAUAAGCAUUUAUUAAUAAUCACUUUAGUGUACUUAUCUAAUGACCAUAAGUGUUUAUUUAAUCUCAUAAGUUCUUAUUUAAUCUCAUGAGCUCUUUUCAAUUUUUUUUGUUGUUUGCUUUUUUUAGUAGAGUUUUUGAAAAUUAAAUAAACUAUUUUGUCUCUAUUAGGAAAAACUCAAAUUUUAGGUUUUUGUGAGUAAAUGUUUAAAUUUUUUUUAAAAUAUUAAAAUAUUAAAGUAAAAGUUGUAGAGACAAAAUAUCUUAUUUAAUGUUUAAAAGUUCUGCUAAAAAUAAUCAAAUAACUACAAAAAUUUUAAUAAGAGCAUAUAAAAUUAAAUAAGCAUUUAUUAAUAGUCACUUUAGUAUACUUAUCUAAUGACCAUAAGUGUUUAUUUAAUCUAAUGAGCUCUUUUUAAUUUUGUUUGUUUGUUUUUUUAGUAGAGUUUUUGAAAAUUAAAUAAACUAUUUUGUCUCUAUUAGGAAAAACUUAAAAUUUAGGUUUUUGUGAGUAAAUGUUUAAAUUUUUUUUAAAAUAUUAAAAUAUCUUUUCUUUAUUUCAUAAUCUUAUUUCAUUCUUCACAACAUAACUUUAAAUAACUCACCUAUUAAAAUAAUUUCACAAUUUAUAAUAAAAAUUUUAAUUGACAAUCAAAUAACAAAUUUUUUUUUAUAAAAACUCUAAUAAUAAAAAUUCUACUUAAAUAAAUUAUAUUUGAAAAGGUAUACCAAACGAACCUAACAUAAAAACAAAAAUUUUUACAUCCACACAAUUAAGCUUAAAACAAUUUCAAAUGAAUUUUAGACUACUCAAAGUACAAUACGUACCAAGUUUGGUAACUUAUUGGGGUCCGCUUGUAAUACAGCGUCUGUAUCUCAUACAGCCAAAUUUAAUAAUUUAUUAAGAAAAAGGGCAACCAUUAGAUAGAAGUAGAUACAUCCAACGGUUAAAAUGUUUGAUUACUCAUUUUGGCGACCGGAUAUGCCAGUUAUUAUUUCAUCAAUUAACUUACCUAAAAAAUCACAGCCGUUGGAUUGAGAUGCCUCUCUUUCCCUCAAAAUAACAGCCUUCGUAUUCUCUCUGCUAUUGUUUUCUCCUACAUCCAGAAUUUUGGAUGAAUGAACUUGGUAUUCAACAAUAUUCACCACCCAUCACAGCAAAGAGCAAAGAUGUAGUCAAAGGAGUGCCAUUUAUUCAGGCUAACUCGAUCUGUCACUCUCGCUUCAAUUCGUCACUCAUUUUCUCGCGCUCAGCUUCAAUCUAUCACUCUCAGCUUCAGUUCGUCACUCACAGCUUCAAUUUUUCACUGUCGUGAAUCAUCUCUCUUGCUGUAUCUCUCUCUUAUGUCUUCCAAUAAUUUCGGUGAGCUCUCUCUCUAAUUUAAUAUAUGAUUAAAAAUCUUAUCAUCUUAUCAUGUCAUUUAAAUAUGCUUGAAGUUUCAAUUUAGUUUAUGAAUAUUACUUGAAAUUUCAGUUUCAAUAAUUUGAUUUUGCAAUUGAGAAAUUAUUACUUGAAAUAUUGAGAUGAUUUCUAGGGAUUGAUAAUUGAAUGAUAAUUGCUAAGGCUUGUCAUUUUUUGUUUUUGAACAGAUAGAGUUACAAUUAAGUCAUACUGCAAUAUUUUAUCUUGAGAUUCUAUUAUUCACAAAAAGAAAAAAAUCAUAAAUUGAAAAAAAAAAAAAAGAGGUUACGAGCAUCAAGCAACUGCAAGUAAUGGGGUUUGUUUUGAUGAGCUGCGAAUUGGGGCCUGUCAUUUUCUUGAAGUAUCUUCAAUAUAAGUGGAAGGAGAUUUCUUCUCUCCAAAAAAUUAUUGUAUAUUUCCUUUUAAAUUCUAGAUUCGCAUGUAGCUGAUUUUUUAUGUUUGAAGGAUUUUAUUAAAGAAUGUGCUGCUGCUAGUGGCAUGAAUUAAUGUAGUCUCGCUAGUAUUCGUGAUUUGGGGUAAGGAUCGAAUUGAACAAUUAUAUUUCUAUUAUUCUUAUAUUCGAAUCCAGUGAUAUUGUGGUGGUUUUAUGAUAAUAUUCAAUUGUUUUGUGCCUCAAAUCAGCCAAUGAGUUGGGUAUGUGCUGGGUAUAUGCCGUAUGGGCUUGUUGUUGAAUUUGCUUGACCUUGGAUGUGAUUCUUGCCGUGUUUAUAAGAAAUAGACACAGGUCUUUGUGUGGUAAUAGAAUUGUCUAAGGUGCCUUACAAUAAAUUUAAGAGUCUUAAGUAACUAUGCUUUGUAACCUUAAACCUUUAUUUGUACGACUUGGUGUUCUUGGUUGUGAAAGAAUGUUAAAUGUUGACCUAUUUUCAUCGGUGAAGAUAAAUGAAGUUAGGGAAGGUUUGUAAUCACUAUAACCCUGACAAUUUUUUUGGUGGGCCGUGAUAAUUUUAUUCAUGGCAUGUACUUUGUUUUUAUCAGAAGGCCCUGUUUGCUUGUAGUCUCAAAUCUAGGGUAAUAUUUUAAAUAAGUUCUGCAAUAUAUGUUUUGCUAUUUUUCUUUUUUGUUUUUAUUUUAAUUAGUUUUAGUAUUACUUGGAGGGGAAUUCUGAUCUGCUGAAGUUUAUCAAGCUGGUGCAGUGGUGCAGCAAGCAGACCUUUAUCUUAAUCUUAUGAUUGUGCUAAGUGGAAUUUUGUGUAAGUUACAACAAUAUAAUUUUUUAAAGAGCUGACAAGACGCUCUCUCUUUUUUUUGGAAUGUUGAGCAAAACUUUUCUUUCUUAUUAGGUGUUUAUAAUAAUUCAUAGCAUGGGUUUUGUCAUAUUGGUUUCAAUGCAUUGAUUUGAUCUUGGUUACAACCCAUCAGCCCUUACUCCUCAUUCCCAGCAGCUUUUAAUGCCUUUUUUUUAAGCAUUGUACUUUGUUUCAUGAUGAAAUUUGUUUAUAUGACGCAAAGUUGAGGACACGGUAAUAGUCAUUAUUUUAAUUUAUGCAACAAAGAUCAUUAUCCAUUAAAUUUUAUGUUGUUGAAAUAUUUAGAUUUUGUAAAUUUUGUUGUAAGAAAUGAGGGCUCUUGAUCCCAUCCCUUUAUUAUAUACAAUUUUUUUUCACUCUGUCAUUCAUUUAUUGUGUGUUAGAGGUAUUAGUCAUGUGCAAAAGUAAAGAUCUUUAUUUUGUUAUUUUUGUCAUCUUGUGCUUCAUUGGUAUAAAUGAGGAAAAAAAAGAAUAAAAUAAAAUAAAAUUAUAGUUUGUGCAUGAAUUCCACCAUAUAUGAAAUGUUUAAUAGAUUAAAAAGUAAGGAGUACACAGUGACUUUGAAUAGCAGGUGGGGGAACUCAUUUUGUUUUAAAAAAAAUUAAUACAUAUUGAUAGAAUAAUUAUCCUUCACUUAAUUAUUUAAAAAUUUUAUUUUGGAAGAAUACAAAUGGACAGUCACCAAUGAAAGCGUAAACGACUACCAGGGGGCUUACAGAAAAAAUUGCUCCUAUUCUAAAAGUAGAUGGUCAGGACAAAGUUCCAACAACUUCAACUUAUGGAUUUGUCUCUUACUUGUAAGGUAAUCUCUUCUUGUAGGGUGUUUAAUUGAAUUAAAAACAGAAUAUUAUUUGCAUUAUAGAGUACAGGCAUAAAUUCAUUAUCUAUGUCAGUUCAUUCAUGAUUUUACUCCAAAUGGAGUAAUAGAUCACCAUUAAUUUAUUGAUACAUCGUCCAUGUUUGUUUUCGUCUUCAAUUUUUAUAUUACAAUAUCUAAUCUAUUUAGUAUUCGUAAAAAAACAUACGAGAAAAAGUUGGAAAAACACUUUAGGGGUGAUUGUGUACACUUUCGUAUGGCACAAAUAGCGUUAGGCUUUGUUUUUUAAGUGGACGACGUGUCCAUUUUUUGUGUUACAUCUUACUCAUUAAUAUAUUUUUGAGUUUCUUAUGGAAAAAAAAUUGAAAAAACACUUUAAGUGAAAAAAAUUUGUAUUUCAAUUUAUAUGUAACAGUGAAUUGGAAAAUAAAUUCUACCAAUAAUUAAAAGAAUACUUUUCUUUUAAUUAUUAAAAAGAUAAGGUAGUUACUCAUUACCCAUAUAAAUGGACAGUUUUAAUUUGUUCCAUAUCUAUACAACAGAAGAGCUUCAGACACGGUUUGCAGCGUUCCACGAUCACUUCCAUUCUAAGCAGCAGCGUCUUCCGUCUUUUUGCACACCAACAGCAGAUUCUAGAUGGCCAGAAGCUCAUCUGCCGCACUCUCGGGAUUUCGCUGCCAUCCUCAUCUUCAUCUCCACUACCUCCUCAGUGAUUAUCCCCUGGUUUUAUGCUCAGAAAUUAUGAUUAUUAUGUAUCUUGUUUUCAGAUUUGUCAAUACUUGUUAUAUUUUGAUUAUGCAUUAUGGACAUUUUUCAUAAGAUAGCUUAAUUUUGUGGUUUGUGUUGACGAUUUCCAUGUAUGGAUGUUUGGAUAGGUAAUUUCGCCUUCCAUGCAUUCUUCAUUCCUGCAUCCUGUGGGAGAAAAUUGGAAAAAGUGGUUUUUGAUGAGAAACGGGGAGAAGGAUGAGAUAUAUAUUUUUGAAGUGUCACAUUAUUUCAAAAACAAACCCCAAAUUUAAUUUCUCUUACCGAUCAUGAGUUAAAAUAUAAAAAUUAACGUUUACUCAUCACACUGUUAUAAGUAUCAAAGCAUUACUUAUAGAAAAAUUAUCGUCACCUAUCCUACAUUUGUGAUUGAAUAGUGGCACAAUUUUAAUUGGGAUAUUUAACAUUACUCUUUGUAAUUGUUUGGUCUUAUUUGAAGUUUGUAAAUUUUUCAUAACUAUGACUUCAACAGCAUAUUUCAGGUUGCAUUUAAUCGUUGCUAUAAUUAGGUACUUUGAAAUAAUUUAUUGGCCACGAUUACAGUCAUUGUUAUUAGUCACCCCUCUUUUUUCUCUUUUGGCCAACCAGCUCUUGGAUAUUUGGGAACCGAUGACAAUAGUUGGGAAAUUAUGUAAUAUUGGUGUGUUUGCGAAAUAAAUCAAGAGAUUUGCCUUGCCGAAGUUAAAAGAGAUAUUGUGGCCUGAAUUUUUUUUUUUUUUCUCUAGGGGCCAUGGCUCUCAAGGACAAGGCAUGAAUCAUGCAUUAUAAUUGCUCGAAAGGGUUAGUAAAAUAGCAAUCUAAAAUACCCAAGUUGGAUCUGCUGUUGAAUCACAAAAAGAACAUAAUUGGGAUAUGAAGUCAUGGUUGCAAGUGUUGGACCCUUAGGUUACGUUUGGCACGUAGGAUUGGAUUGAACUAAUUACUAAAAUUGGAUUGAAUUAUAUUCGAUUGGAUUAAACUGGAUUAUAUUAUAUAGUUCUAUGGUUAGUACAAUAUCGGAUUAAACUAUGUUAAAUUAUAUUUAAAUAAUAUUAAAUAGCAUUUAAGUUGGUAUUUUAAUAUUAAUAUCAAUUAUUCAUGAAAUUUCAUAAUCAUAAUUAAAAUAAAUUUAAAAAACAAUUACCAGGAAAAUUAAAUAUAUUGUAAAUAAGUUACUGGGUAGUCAUAAUACAGUAAACAAAUGAACAUAGAUAAAAAAAUUAAAUUUUAAAUAAUUUUUAUCAAAUUUUAAAAAAAAAUUAUAUAAAAUCAAUUAUUUAAUGGUAUUAUUAAUUUUCAUGAUUAUUUUUAAUAGUAUAUAACAAUGAUUAUUAAAUUUAAUACAAUCAAAUAAUGCAAUAAAUAAUUAAACAUUUAAUUUUAUCAAUAAAUUACUAAAUAUACAAGUGGUGAAAAUUUAAUCUCCAGAGUUAGUACAAGUAAAGGUAUUAAUUUAAUUAGAUCAUAGAUAAUAAAUAAAAAUAAGUUUUAAGUAAAUCAUAUUAAAAAUUAAUUAAUUAAUUAAUACUAGGUGUAAAUAAAAAAAAUGAUAUAAAUAAAAAUCUCAUAAAUGGACAACUUUUUUCUUUAAUCUUAUCCCAACUAAACCCAUGCGUAAAUUAGGAUUAUCAAUUCCAUGAUUUUAGGAUUAAAUUUAAAUUACUACCCCCUUAAUCCAAUCCAACUAAGCUUGCCAAACAUUGGAUAAAUAUUUAAUUCCAAAAUUAGUCUAAUCCCAUACUUAAUCCUAGAAUCCAAACAUGGCAUUAGCACCUUAUAUAACAAAGUGUCACUGAAAUACAGCAAAACGUUAUAAACAAGAACUUAUUUCUGUACAAAAUGUUAUUUACUUUUUGUGAACUUCCAAAUACCUACUAUAUGAUUUGCAAACCCUACAAAAGUCUACCUUGCAUGCUCUUUCUAACGUGAAAUUUGAUUUUUAUUAAAUUUUUGAUGUGUUCACUAAUAAAUAAUUGGAAUCUAAAAAAAUUAGAAAAAAAUAGAAUUAGAAUGAGCUACAAUAAAAAUGAGGAAUAACAAAAAAAAUGAUAUUUGUUGAGAUGAAUGAAACACAAUUGAAAUACUCUAUAUCGCUCUUAAUAUGUUCACUUUGUGAACAUAAAUUAGAAUUAGUUGUUAUAACUUAGUAAUUUAUCCUCAAUCAAUUAUUAUCAUUAUUACUAUUUGUUAUAAUAAUUGUAAUUAUUAUUUUUGAUAAUUUUAAUACUAAGAAAAUUAUUGUUAGGGGUGGAAACACCAUAUAGAGAAGGAACAAUUAAAUUUAUAAAAUUUAGUGGGGAUAAAAUAGUCACUUAAGACAGCAAGCGUCUCCCAUUCUCACCUCCACGAGCAUGAAAACACUAGUAAUCAUUCUUAAAUUUUGAUGGAAUCUGUUGCUUUUAUUCUAAUAACGAACGCAAAACCUAUGGAAUUAGUUGGAAUAACGAAUGCAAAACCUCUGGAAUUACAAUUGAAAUACGUCAACCCAAAAUGGAGAAAGCACAACUAAAAUUAGAGACCUACAAAACCAAAAAUAAACUUAUAGAAAACAAACCCGGUACCUAAUCUCAAUAAUUGGAAUCUCAACCAGUUAAUGGAAAUAUUCAACUCAAAAUUAGGGAAAAAUUAGAUGAAACACGUGAACCAUUGAGAGAGAAAGUAUGACGAAAAUUAGAAACUCAUUUAACGAAAAAUAAUAUUUACUUGGAAUCUAACCCAUGAUACUGGUACCUAAGGAACUUUAUAGGAAUAUGAAACGCAAAACCAGUGGACCAAUAAGUUGAAACAUGUGAACCAAAAAAUGAAAAACUAUAACCAAAUCUUGAGACUAAUCAAACCAAGCAAAAGUAAUAUUGAUAUUUAACCCAUAUAAUUGGAAUUUUACCAAAUUAGUUGGAAUAACGAAUGUAGAACUUGUGGAAUUACAAUUGAAAUACAUCAACAAAAAAUGGAGAAAGCACAACCAAAAUUAGAGACCUACAAAACCAAAAAUAAAUUUAUAGAAAAUAAAUUUGGUACCUAACCACAAUAAUUGGAAUCUCAACCAGUUAAUGAGAAUUCUCAACGCAAAACUAUAGGAAAAAUUAGCUGAAACACAUGAACCAUUAAGAGAGAAAUUAGAACGAAAACUUGGAACUUAUCCAACGAAGAAUGCUCGUGACUUGGAAUCUAACAACAAAUAUUGGUACUUGACUAAUUUAGUAGGAAUAUCAAAUGCAAAACUCAUUGACCAAUAAGUUGAAACAUGUAAACCAAAAGAUGAAAAAGUAUAACCAAAACCUGAGAAUAAUCAAACCAAGAAAAAGUAAUAUUGAUUUUUAACCCAUAUAAUUGGAAUUUUACCAACUUAAUUGGAAUAACGAAUGCAAAACCUGUGGAUUUACAAUUGAUAUACGUCAACCCAAAAUGGAGAAAGCACAACCAAAAUUAGGGACCUACAAAACCAAAAAUAAAGUUAUAGAAAACAAACCUGGUACCUAACCUCAGUAAUUGGAAUCACAACCAGUUAAUAGGAAUAUUCAAUGCAAAAUUGGGGAAAAAAUUAGAUGAAACACGUGAACCAUUAAGAGAGAAAGAACAACGAAAACUAGGAACUUAUCCAACAAAGAAUGAUAGUUACUUGGAAUCUAACAGUAAAUAUUGGUACUCGACGAAUUUAAUAGGAAUAUCAAACGCAAAAAUAGUGGACCAAUAAGUUGAAACAUGUGAACCUAUAGAUGGAAAAGAAUUACCAAAAUUUGUAACUAAUCAAACCAAAAAAAGUAAUAUAGAUAUCUAACCCAUAUAAUUGGAAUCUCGACAAAUUAGUUGAAAUAUUAAACAAAAAACUAGUGGAAUAAUAGUUGAAACACAUGAACCAAAUGUGGAGAAAGUUUAACCAAAUUUUGAAACUUAUCCAAUGAAGAAUGCUAGUUACGUGGAAUCUAACAACAAAUAUUGGUACUCGACGAAUUUAAUAGGAAUAUCAAACGCAAAAAUAGUGGACCAAUAAGUUGAAACAUGUGAACCUAUAGAUGGAAAAAUAUUACCAAAAUUUGGAACUAAUCAAACCAAAAAAAGUAAUAUCGAUAUCUAACCCAUAUAAUUGGAAUCUUGACAAAUUAGUUGAAAUAUUAAACGAAAAACUAGUAGAAUAAUAGUUGAAACACAUGAACCAAAUGUGGAGAAAGUUUAACCGAAUUUUGAAACUUAUCCAACGAAGAAUGCUAGUUAUUUGGAAUCUAACAACAAAUAUUGGUACUCGAUGAAUUUAGUAGGAAUAUCAAACGCAAAAAUAGUGGACCAAUAAGUUGAAACAUGUGAAUCUAUAGAUGGAAAAGCAUUACCAAAAUUUGGAACUAAUCAAACCAAAAAAAGUAAUAUCGAUAUCUAACCCAUAUAAUUGGAAUCUCGACAAAUUAGUUGAAAUAUUAAACUAAAAAUUAGUGGAAUAAUAGUUGAAACACAUGAACCAAAUAUGGAGAAAGUUUAACCAAAUUUUGAAACUUAUCCAACGGAGAAUGCUAGUUACUUGGAAUCUAACAAAAAAUAUUGGUACUCGACGAAUUUAGUAGGAAUAUCAAACGCAAAAAUAGUGGACCAAUAAGUUGAAACAUGUGAACCUAUUGAUGGAAAAGCAUUGCCAAAAUUUGGAACUAAUAAAACCAAAAAAAGUAAUAUCGAUAUCUAACCCAUAUAAUUGGAAUCUUGACAAAUUAGUUGAAAUAUUAAAUGAAAAACUAGUAGAAUAAUAGUUGAAACACAUGAACCAAAUGUGGAGAAAGUUUAACCGAAUUUUGAAACUUAUCUAACGAAAAAUAAAUUUAAUUGGAAUUUAACCCAAAAUAUUAGUGUUUAACGAGUUUAGUGGGAAUAUUAAACAUAAAACUAGUGGAUCGGAAAAUGGAGAUAAGCAAACCAAUUAGUGAGAAAGUUGAAUCAAAAUUAGGUAUAUGUGAAAUUAACUUGGAAUGUCACCUAAUAUAUUGAUAUUUAACCAAAAGAAUCGAGACAUGCUCAUUUUAAUUUUUUUAAACUUUUGUUGCAAUUAAAAAUAAUUUUUUCACUUAAAUAUUGUUUGUGUUAAAUAUUUACAAAAUUUCCUUAAUUUUUCCUGUUUCAUUUUAUUUUUUCUACAUUAAAAAUAAUUUUUUAAAAAUUAUUAAAUGAACAACCGGUAAAAUACCGGUUGUUCAAGUUUCCUUUUUACUGUUGAAGGGGCUGUAUUUUAUACAGCACUGUACUAUAGGAAGACUCAACUUAUUGACAUCUUCUCAUAUAACCUUCGAUCAAGUCGAUUCUGACCUGACGACUAAUUGGUACAUCACCGUUGUUCUCUAUACUCGCAUGCAUCGGAUCACAAAUCUCACUCCAAUUGUCGUCUUUCUUCGCCGUUUUAGCGCAUACUUCUUGAAUUUCCCGCAUUUCGUUCCCUCCUGUUACAAGUCUCCGGUCAGGUCAGUGAUUGAAUUUCCCGCAUCUCUAUCCCUCCCGUUUUCUCGCGUCGUUUCACUUCAAUUUCUCGUGUCUCCUUUCAGUUUAAGUGAUUGAAUCAAUUUUAUCGCAGUCAUAAGAGAAAUUAAGUAAUGCUCUUGGAUUUAAAAUUUUUUUGCUUUCGACUUUAGAUCUCGAAAGUCAAACUCUGCUACGAAUCCAUAGAUUCUCAAUGCUCAUAAUCUUAUUUGUGUUUGACCAGGUAACUGGAUCGUGAAAUUCGUCGUUUUGUAUCAAUUCAAGCUUUCGCGAGCUCAUGGAAUCACCUGGUGAGUUGUGGUGAAACGUUAUCGUUUCAAUUUUCGCUUAAUUCUUUAUUGCAUAUUUUUUUCUCUAAUGUUUCAGUUUAAUUUAGAAAAGAAAGAGGCCCCAAAAAGAGAGAGAGAGAGAGACUCUACCAUACUCAAUUCCUUGCUCAUUCUGAUUUGGCCUGAAUGUUGGCAUUGACUAUUAUUUGUUUUCAUUUCGAUUUAAUUCUCAUUUAGACAGUCUUUACUAACGGUCAAUAAUAGUUUAAGGAAAAUGAUCAUAGGGAUUCUGCAAUAAUCUUUCUGCAUUGUUCAAGUUAGUAGACAAUGAAUAGGAUGUUUAUGUUUACCUCAUUUUGAACCCUGAGGGCUUCGUUGAGUAGUUGAUUCAACAUAUCCAGCAACGGUUGAUGUGAGAACAGAAUGCCACUUAGAUAGGCUUAAACUGAUUUUGGAGGUUUGUAUUGGUUCUAUUGUACGUCUUGCUUACAAAUUUUUAAUUUUUAAUUUUGUAUAAUAUGCUCUUUGUUGGUAAAUCUCAUUUGACUUAGAAGAGAUAGUUUUAUCCCAACAGUGGGAUAAAUCAUUGAGAUGCAUGGCAGUGUGAAUAUAGUAGACAAAAUCAUUGAGACACAUGGUGGUGUGAACAUAGUAAACUUUGUCAAACACAGCUAAGAUAAACAAAUUGUUUCAUUAGCCUUUACCUUAUCUGCUGUGAUGAUUCAAAUUAAUGCUGUUUGGUAGGUUGCAAAAAACGAAAUGAGCUGUCUGUUCGUAUUAUUUAGUCAGAUCUAUUGCAAUAAGUUGAAGUUCAUUGUCACAUGGGUUGGGAGUAGCGUGGGCUGUGAGUAGUAGAAUGGAUUUAUGGAGUUGAUACAAGUGCCCAUAAUCUAUCAUGUCAUUCUAGGAUUAAAUGGAUUGCACAUUACUGUAAAGAUGGAGGUUAAAUUUAUAUAAUUCGGAUUGAUUGUAAAAUGGGAGGCAGAGAUGAGUUAGAAAAAGAAUGACCUGUGUCCUUUUUGAGCUGUUUCUAAAUCUCCCUGGUGUGCUUCAUGCUUAACACGUGUCUUUCCAAAUAAUUUUGCUUAACCUGUGCUUGUCUACUUCUUGUGCUAUUCUGUGCCUGGUCCUGAGCUGUGUUGGUAGAUUGACAUAAUUUUGCUCUGCUAAAUGUAUAACUUAUUAAUCAGAGUCCUGUUAUUAUGGUUUGACACUACUGACAUAUUGUGUUGGUAUUUAUUUGUACUUCCCUUGGUUGAAUUAUUUGCUGUCUCCAUGCAAUUCGAUAUGGUGCUACUUGGUUUUUGAUCAUCCAUGACGCUAUAUAUAUGUAAAGGAUGAAUUGAUUGUUUUGGCUUGUAUUCUCACAUUUUAUGAUUGAUCGAUGGAAAGGUUUUCAUGCAUUAAAUUCAACCUCACAAGCGUAAGAUUGACAGAUUGUGGGCAAAUUUUCAGGAAAAGAAACUAGACUUCAUGGAAGCAAUGAAGCUUGAAAUUGAACGUCUGCAGCUGAAUCUUUCUGCAGCUGAAAGGGAUAGAACUUUAUUGUCAAUUGGAACUGAUCCUGCCUCUAUAAAUCCAAAUGUAUUGCUUGAUGAAUCUUACAUGGGAAGACUGUGUCGAGUAGCAAACACUCUUGCAUUACUUGGCCAAGCUUCCCUAGAAGAGAAAAUUGUUGGUGCAAUUGGCCUUGAGAAUAGUGGUGAUAGUGUUUUAGACUUCUGGAAUAUUACUAGAAUCGGAGAGAGUUGUUCUGGUGGUGGGUGCGAGGUUUGUGCAGAAACUAAGGUGCCUGCUCUUGCUUCCUCAACUGCAACAUCUGUUGGAUCUUCACAAUCCCCUUUGUUGUGUUCUCAAUGUGAAAGAAAAGUUUGCAAAGUUUGUUGUGCAGGAAGAGGAGCUCUACUGUUUUCAAAUUAUAAAUCAAGGGAUGUGACCAACUACAAUGGCUUCUCAAGUCAGAGUGGAUCAAGCCAUGGAAGCCAAGUUGAUGUAGCUACCAGUCGUUCACUAACACUGGAUGGCGUUAUCUGUAAACACUGUUGCCAUGAGAUGGUGCUUGAUGCAUUGAUGUUGGACUAUGUUAGGGUCUUGAUUAGGUUGCGAAGAAGUUCCUGUGCAGACAACGCAGCAUACAAUGCUUUGAAUGAGGUUGUUGGAUCCUGCUUAAAGGAUAGUCUUUCUGAGAGGAUUCAGUCUUCCGAUAAUGCGCAAGCAGCUAAAGUCCUGCACCAAUUAUGUGGUGGACAGGAAGCACUUGCUGAAUUUCCAUUUGCUAGCUUUUUGCACUCGGUAUGUUCUUGGUUUGUAUUCAGUUCUCAUCAUAUUAUGUUUUCCUUUUAAAUUUCAUUUCUUGAUUAAAAUUUUUAGAAAUGUGUUUUAGCAUUUAUUCUUAUGAUAUAUGCCCGGAACAUUCAUCCCACUUAUCCAUGAGAAUCCUUGUCUGGUUUGAUUUUCAAUUGAGACAUUUUUGGGAACCCUGCGCAGGUUCCAUAUGCUAAUAAUCUUUGAGGUAAGGUGUUGUAGGAUGCCUUGAGAAGCUAAAAACCCAUUACAAGGAAAAGGUCUUGCAUUGUUUUGUGCAAUCUGUGUGCGAGCUAGUCAUGUCUCUAAUAAUUUCAUAGUUUGCUUGAUUGGAAUUUUUUAUCUUGAUAUGGAUUGUUUAUUCUAGAUUCCUUGGUGCCACUGUAGGUUGAAACAGCAAAAGAUUCAGCACCGAUUUUGUCACUGCUUGCUCCAUUAAAUUCUGGAUCAAGGCACUCAUAUUGGAGAGCUCCACCUAGUACUACUUCUGUUGAAUUUGUUAUUGUUCUCGGUUCUGUUUCUGAUGUCAGUGGGGUUAUCUUGCUUGUUAGUCCUUGCGGCUAUUCUGUGGCUGACACUCCGAUGGUAAGUGCCAUAUUUAUUCCCUUAUUUCCUUGUUGUUCAAUAAAUUUGGUGAUAAGCCAAGUGGCCUUAAUAAUGAAGCCCAGUACCAGGGUUGGUGGGUAAUAGAUAUUCAACUUGUGAAUAUUCCUAAGCAAACACUGAAUCAACAUAUACCUCGGCUAAAGUUCUCUAUGCUAUUAUAACAAAAGUCAUAUUUUGAAAUGAUUAAAAGAGUCCCUGUGUAGUGCCAUUUCCAAAGAAAUUGCAGCUGGGGGUUUAGUUUCAUGUAGGUUAGUUUCCGAUAAUAAACUUUCUAUUUCAUUAAUUGCUGAUGAAAAAACCAAGUAAGAACAGUUUUGUUGCUCGUCAUUUUUGUAUAUUUUGGUAAACUGUAAUUUUAAAUUCUCAACGAUCUUCCCUUUGUAGGUAAGAAGAUGGUCCACUCACUUGAUAUUUAUGAUUGUAGAUCAGGUUUCUAUUGGUUUGCCUUUAUCAUUUAGAACCCAUGUUUGAUAUUAACAGAGAUCACGUCAAUAAUAUCCUAUUUGGGUAGAUGUGGGUGAGGAUUUAAAAUCAAAUUUGAAAUUGAGGGGAAAGAAGAGAAAAGGAACCACAAUAAUUAAACAAAAUAAUAGGAACUAUUCUGAUGAGUUUUAAUCUCGAGAGGAACAAUUUUCAAAUGCACUGCUAGAGAAAUUGUAGCUUUUUGUCAUUAGUUAAAAGGAAAAAGAAUAAGAACUAUCCGGCCCUUUCCUUCAUGAAUGUGUGUUGAGGUUGCUGUAUUAUUUAGUCAGUAUUUGUAAUUUUCUUCCCUGCAGUGCUCUCUGCCUCCUGAAUUUGCUUCCUAUUGCUGUUACAGGUGCAAAUCUGGGCAAGCAAUAAGAUACACCAGGAGGAAAGGUCAUCAAUGGGAAAAUGGGAUGUCCAAUCCCUCAUCACAUCUUCUUCAGAUUUGUAUGGUCCAGAAAAGUCUGCUAGUGUUGAAAAAUUACCUAGGCAUGUAAAAUUUACUUUUAAGAAUCCUGUUAGGUGCCGCAUUAUUUGGAUCACAUUACGUCUUCAGAGACCUGGUUCGGCUUCAGUUAAUUUCGGGAAGGACCUCAGUCUUUUGUCUCUUGAUGAAGAUGAAAACCCCUUUGCACAAGUAGACAGACGUGCUUCAUUUGGAGGAGCAGUUGAAAAUGAACCAUGUAUUCAUGCCAAAAGAAUUCUUGUAGUCGGAAGCCCAGUAAAAAGGGAGGGGCUUACCACAUCACAGAGCUCUGAGCAGCUAAGUAUUAGAAACUGGUUGGAUAGAGCUCCACAAAUGAGUAGAUUCAAGGUAUUAGUUGCUUUCACUCUUUGUUCAUUCAUAAUUCCAGCUUUCUGCUUCACUGAUAAACCUCUUUUUUCUCUUCAGGUCCCAAUUGAGGCCGAGAGAUUGAUGGACUACGAUCUCGUCUUGGAACAGUAUCUACCUCCAGCGUCACCUUCGCUUGCCGGAUUCUGUCUAGACGCUUUCAGUGCAAUAAAACCUAGGGUUACCCAUUCACCUUCCUCAGAUUCAGAUAUCUGGGACAAAUCAGUAACAUUUUUAGAAGACAGGUACAUCUCUCAAGCUGUAUUGUAUUUACAAGUAUCCGCACUCCAGGAACCACAUAACAUGGUAACUAUUGCGGAAUAUCGACUGCCGGAGGCUAGAGCCGGAACGCCAAUGUACUUUGAAUUCCCACGACCGAUACAGUCCCGACGAGUUUCAUUCAAGCUUCUUGGAGAUGUUACAGCAUUUGCAGAUGAACCUUCAGAACAAGAUGAUUCAGGAUUGAGAGCUCCACUUGUGGCCACAGGUUUGUCUUUGUCAAACAGAAUCAAGUUAUAUUAUUAUUGUGAUCCUUAUGAGCUUGGAAAAUGGGCAAGCCUUUCUGGAGUUUGAUCGUUAUUUAUAUGUCAGAGAAAGAGUUUUGGGUUUGAUUUUGAUUUUGAUUUGUAAUUUUUGUCAGUUUAUUGAAAUUUUUUUGUUGUAUAAAAGCAGAAUGUAAAGGUAUAAAAAUUCAUUGAUGCUGCAAUGUCUGUGCUUUUGAGAAAGAAGAAUUCAAUGUCUUUUCUAUGCCAUUGGAUUUUCCCACUGCUUGUAAACUUGGGCUGUCGAGUGCUCUGUGAACCUUAAGGGCUAUAAAGUAAUUUUUUAGACUGAAGGAUUUAUUAAUCGAGUUCAAAAGAUUGCAAGUUGGUGAGCGUUGGCAUUUAAAAAUCAAUUGUUAUUCUCUCAAUAAUCUCUCUCUUCUGCCGACACCCCAAGCUCAGAAACCCAUUGUUCCGACGGACGUGUAACACUUCCAGAAAUUAGCCUUUUCUUCUAUAUGAAGGUUGAUCUCUCCUCGUGAAGUGAAGGUGGUUUUCCAAUUACAUACGUCGGGGGUCUUAUGAUAUCUAAUGUGUGAAAUUUCUUUCUCAUUUUACCAUAAAGAAAAGUUCUGUAAUGAUCUAAAGUUGGGAGUCUUAAAUUAUCUUAAAUUUAUAUUUAGAGUGGAGUUAUUGGCACCCUACAUUAUUCUUACAAAAUUCUAUUUUAAAUAAAAUUAUAAUUAAAGACAAUUGAAAAUUAUAGAUUUUUUUACAGCAAAUUACUUAAGUCAUAAUUAAUCCUUAAAAAAAAAUCUAUAUGUUACUUCUUAUUUAAUUAAAAUAAAUUGUACAAAUUUAAAAUAAUUUAUUGUUUUCUUUUGAUUUUUUAUUGAUUAAAUAUUUUUAUACUUAAAAUUACUUUGAAAUUAUAAUUUAAAAUAUGUGUUAUAUGCAAUAGUUCGAUUUACCGAACCACAAAGGGAGCCAAUGUGGUUUUGCCAAAAUCACAUACUGUAGCAUAAUAACAGAUAUUAUUAUUGUAUAAUAGAUGGGUUUAGAAAAAUUGAAGAACCAAGUAAGUUAUUUGAAAAAUGUCGAUUCUCGUACCAAACCCAUGUUUUAUGCCAAUUGUUUUUGGAUUGGAGUGCAGGCAUUAACAAUGAUGGAGAUGGAGGAACUGUAGCAUUAGUCAUAUGAAGAGUACGUGUCAGGUUUGAUUUUCAUGUGAUUUGGUUAGUGACGACGAAAACGACGACGUCGUAGUUGAAAAGCGUUUGAAUUAAUGUUGCGUUAAAAAAAAAAUUUAACUUGUUCCACUAAUUAAGUCAACAUUACUGAUGUCUUAUCACCCUCGGCCAACUUAACAAUUGGUGUCCUUUGGACAAUUAAAUAUGAUUUAUUCAAAAAAAAUAAAACUAUUAAAUAUUAAAAAUUAGGUCCAUUAAUAAUAAUAAUAAUAAUACUAAGAAUUAAGAAGAUCUAAUUACAUAUCAAAAUGACUCAAACAAAUUAAUUAAUUUCAUAUUAGCUAGCCAAGUAGGUUGUCCAUCCCACUCAGACAUGCACGAAAGCUAAAUUCAUCAAAUGAAUUACUUAAGGAGUAUUUGAUAAUUUUGAAAUUAUAAUUUCAAAUUAAAAUAGUAGUAGCAAAAUCGUAGUGCACAUUCAAUUAACCAACUAAUAGUCUAAGAAGCAAAGAGAGGAUUACAAGUUCACAACACCAUUAAAAAGGAUUCAAAAUUCCCACACGAAAACAUCAAUGUACAGAUUAUAAACAAUCCGAAUUGGACACAAGAAAAAACCCUUCAAUGGAUUGCUUGCCUUCCCAAUGCUAUAUACUGUGCAAACUGCGCACUGGCCAAGAAAAUAUUUUCAAUUUAGUGUAUUUUCAAAAUGCUUAUUUUCUCAGAAUAUAAAAAAAAAAAAAACAAAAAAAGAAUUCUUACAUGUUUCAUCAGCAUGAUUAAAAUCAAAGAAGAAAGCGAAGACAUAAUGUCUCUGACAUAAUAAAAUUACAAUUUCAUGCAGCAGAGAUUGAAGAGUUGAAUUCCACUUAUAGACACCGACCUCUUGUUUUGUCUAAUGUUAAUAACGAAAACAACAACAGAGGAUUAACUGAUGCUUUGACUUAUUAUCAGGUUGCAAUGAAUUAUUAACUGAUGCUUUGACUUAUUAGUUCUGCUGCUAAGUUAAAUAAAAUAAGGUAUUUUCAAAAGCAAAAUGGAAUACAUAGAUAAAACAUCAUCUUAAACAAAUCAUAAUCUAGAAUUGGAGACAUACCCAAGGAGAAAGAAUACGUGAAAAUGGGUGAUUCAUUUGUUAAGGAGUGUUGAUUUGGUCGUCUCUGCAAAUUCUUUAGGGACUCGGUUCCAGUUCCUCUUCAUCAAAACUGUAAUAUAAUUCCCCUUCAUCAGAACUCGAAUCGAUGCAAUAAAAUUCCCCUUCAUCAGAACUCGAAUCAAAUUCACUUGCAGCAGUUCCACUCGCGCUUGGCAAAUCAUCCAAUUUCCAAACUUCGGUAGCAAAAUUGAGAGUAAAAGUGUUGGCUUUGGUCUCUCUGGGAUUUGCAUAUACUGGACAUACUCCGCAACGUUUUAGCUUAGUGAAGAACUUAAAUGAGGCAGUUGUAUGAUGGUAACCAUCAGGAAACCCAACAUUCAAGCAAGGUUUAAAACCAAGUAUGACAUGAUCUGAAUCAAGGGAGCCAGUGCACACCAUGAAACCCAGAUCAACAUGUUUGGUUUCAGAGAGAGUCUUUAUUUCUAAGUCGAGUUGAAAGCGGACGUAAAUAUUGCAGCAAUAACAAGAAUGAAGGUGCUUAAAAUCAAGAACAGCACAAAAAGCAAACCCGAUUAAGUUUCUGCAAGAAGACUGCGGUGGCAGUUGAAUACAUAUCGAAGAUCCUGAACUUUGAUUGCUGAACCAGUCAGGAAUUUCGCUUCCAGGUAAAACAAUUAGGGAUCCCCUCAGUUCAGAAAGUUUCUGUGAAAUGACAUUUAAAAAAAAAAAUUGUAAAAUGAAAACCAUGAUUUCAGAUAUAACAAAGAGGGACAGAGUAAACAAGAGAGGGAAUUUGAUACCUCGUUGAUUGCCUUUUCAUAGCCCAGUCUCAGUGAUGCAAUUGCCACAUGCCGAAUUCUUAGUUGUGAAUCUGCCAAAAUCUUGUUGUUUGCUUUUCCAUUCAGUUUCAAGCAGUUAGUAAACCCAAAAUAAAUUGGUUGUGACUCCAGAAGUCCGGUUGCCCAUUGACGAAGGUCAGGAGAGGGUUUCGAUAGCUUUUCUAGUACGGAUGCAUCUAGUUCUUGCAGACAUGACGGAAUCUCUGGCAAAGAUUGAAGCCGGUUGCAGUUCGUUGCAUCUAGUUCUUGUAGACACAAUGGAAGUUCUGGUAAUGACCGAAGCAUGUUACAACCCGUCAAGUGAAGAUAUUUUAGACACAAUGGAAGUGCUGGUAAUGACUGAAGCAUGUUACAACGCCUCAAGUCAAGAGAACACAGCCGCGACAGUUGCUUGAUACUUGCAGGUAAACUCUCAAAGUUAUUUCCACGUAGAUCCAAGCUUUUCAGUGAGGAUAGAUAGGCAAUCUCUUGUGGAAUUUCCAUUACAGCACAGUUCAUUAUGUAUAGAAGUCCCAAAGAAGAUAAACCUAAUAAUAAUGAUCGAGGCAAUGAUACCAAACCUUUGCAGCGAGAGAAAUCAAGAAUUAAAAGUGCGUUUGAAUCUGCAACAGAGGAUGGUAGUUGACUAAUAGCUGAUCCAGCUGCUGAGAUGUGACGCAAAGAUUCUAAAUUGCCAAUGUUAUCCGGCAACUUAUCAAGUUUAGAGCAAUCACUUACGAACAAUUCUUCAAGCCCCGGUAGAUUUUCAAAUGACGAUGGCAGCUCUGUAAUUGCCGUCCCGUCUAAAUUGAUGCGUUUUAAAUGUUCCAUUUUCUCCAAGAUUUCUGGGAAGCGCUCAAGGUUCAAGCAGCCAUUAACAAAAAGAUCAACCAAAGAUCUCAAUUUACAAAACCUAGUUGAAAUCCUCUUCAGCCGUUUGCAAUCCCUCAAAUCCAACACUUCAAGAUCAGUUAGGCACUCUAUUGAUGAUGGAACUUCUUCUAUUGCAGACUGGUCUAAGUAUAGCCGUGUAAUUUUCCCAGAAAUCUGUGGAAACUCUAUGAGAGUAACACAAUAGGAGAAAUUAAUAGUUACUGGACAAACAAAAUGAAGAUUGCUUGGAAAAGACCUAAGACUUUUGCAGCCCUCAAAAGACAGCGCACUGAGAUACUUGAAAUUCUGGAUAGAUGAGGGAACACAAGCCUUUUCUCCUUCCCAAGGUUGCUCAACUUUACUAAAACGCAAAUUCAGUUCAACAAGGUUCUUUGGCUUGAAAUUUGAUGGCAGUAUCCUUAAUGGAUAUGUGUCCCAAUGAAGAUAUCUCAAUUUUUCAGGAAGAUAUUCUAGGCCAUUUGGAAGCUGCACUUCAGAGUAUGAAAGUUGCUCUUCAAUGCUCAUACUUAGAAACCUUUCAAUCUCAUAAAACUUACUUGGAAACCUUUCAAUCUCAUAAAACUUAGGUACAUAAAAUUUGAGCAAUCUCAGAUUAGACAUAUUUGUGAAGGCUCCGGGGUCUAAAUUGAUGCAUUUUAUUUUGGACAAAUCCAGAAAUAUGCCUUCAAUUGCAUCGGUCCCCUUAUAAAAAAAAAAAAACAAAGAAUGAGUAAGCCAAAAAUAAAAAAGCAACAUGCGUAAACUUUAUUAACUAAGAGCUCCUUAAACAAAAACAAAUUCUGCAAUCUUUGAUUUUAUUUUUUUAAUAUAUUAAAUAUCUAUAUGCGAGAAAAGAAAAUUUUGGGGACCAUUGCAAAAUUAAACUAACCGAAAAAAAAUUCAAAAUUUCUCUAAUUUACAAUCCUAUUAUCUUAAUAUCUAGAAGUUGAGAAGAGAGUGCCUAUUUGAUUGGUAUAAGAUUUCGAAAUUUUUUUUUUUUAGUCGAUAGAAUCCAAAAUGUUAGUUCAAAAUUAGGGAAAAAAAUAAAAGUCAUUUUUUUUCCACUAGUUAAAACUGUAUCCAAGUCAAAUUAAGAUACGACCCUUUUUAAAAAGAUUUAACCAUCUUACAGCCUCCUUAAGGUACAUUUAAGCUAAAAGGAGUAAUUUGAGGCAGAACUAGGUGGUCCAAUCAGUCCAUUUUAUUAGUGUCUGUUGCUUAAAAAAUUUAUACUCUAAAACACACUUUUUUGGAAAAAAAAAUAUAAUUACAUUGAAGUAGAAUCAGGUGGGCCAAUCCUCAUGGCACUCACUUUAUUUUGACACUCUUCACUAAAUUUGAAGAAAAAUAAAAUUAUACUCUUCACACUCUUAUUCAACAUUCCAAAAUUGAUAAAAUCUGGAGUUUUCUUUAAAAAUUUAAAAUUUGAAGACUUGUUCUCUUGACACCCUCAGUCAUUAAUUUUACCUAAUUAUGGUUUUUAUGAUUUUGGUUGUUUUGUUCAUAAAAAUGAUUUUACUAAAGGAUGCUCUGGUAAUAAUAAAAUUUAUAAAAAAAAAUGGGUGUGCUGGUAUGAUUGGAAAAAUAUGAGUGCAUAACUCCAAACAAAUAAAAGAUAUAUAAAAUAAAUGGAGGAUUCUUACCUUUUUAUGCUUGAGUACGCGGCGGAUUUCCUUAGGAUCCCACAACCUGCUGCGUUUGCCAGGCUCUUUCUCAGAUUCUUGGCGAACAAUCUGUCGCCCCAUUUCUUGCAAUAAAUCAUGCAUUUGCAAGCAAUUACCUGAUAUUGAUAUGAGUGACUUAUCAAUAAGGACAUCCAGUCCAUCAGACUCAGAAUCAUCAAGAAUCCUUGCCACAAAAUCUUUAUCCUCUCCCUCAAAGAAACACGCAAUAUCUAGAAACAAACUCUUCACCCUAGGAAUUAAUUCAUUAAAACUAAUCUUUAAUAUUUCAUAAAUAUUAUGAAUAUCAGAUUCACAAAUCCGAUUUAAGUCGUGCAAUACAUUUUCCCAAUGGCUUUUCCUCUUGAGGCACAGGGAGGAACCCAACACUUUAAGAACUAAGGGAUUGCCUUUGGCAUACUCUACAACCCUCCGUGAGUGCCAGUUGAGAUUUGUAGGACAAUGAUUUUCUUUAAAAGCGAAGUUACAAAAAUGCUCGAAAGCCUCUUCAAAUUCCAAUCCAUUAACCCUAUGUAUUUUCUUCUCCUCCCCUCUAAAUUUUUCGAGGACUCCUUUAUCCCUGGUGGUUACAACAAUUCUACUUCCUGGACCAAAUUGAUCAAGCUCUCCAAUCAGACCCUCUAAUUGUCCAACUUCAUUCACAUCAUCGAGUACUAUCAACACCUUCAUACGCCAGACCCUCUCUUUAGUAAAAUGUGGAAUAUUGGCACCAGCUACUUCAAGUUUUUCGCUUAAUAUUGUGGAAAGCAUUUCCUUUUGGAGAUGUUCUAAUCCACCUCCUGUUUCAGAAUUUCUCCUAACAUCUGACAUAAAGCAGCUACCAUCAAACUCACCAGUGAAUUGAUCGAAAAUAGCUUCAGCAAGGGUGGUUUUGCCUAUACCGCCCAUGCCCCAAAUUCCAACAAUUUGGACAGUAUCCGACAAAUCCAUACACAAAAAUGGUUUAAUCUGCUCAAUUCGUGAAUUUAAUCCAACUAGGCCAUUGGAUGAGUCCGUUGCGACUGUUAUUUUUUCCAAAUUCUUCAAAACAUCUUCGACAAUUUUGUUUACAAGUUCCGCAUCGUGCCUAAUAUAAAGGUGCAAAGAUGCAAAAACAUUGAGUCAAAUCGGGCCAAGACAGAAACAGAGAUAAGAUGAAUUAGGAAAGAGAGUUACCUGAAUUUCGUGGAUUCGUGGCCAGCAAGACCGGAUGUUUCUCUCAGUGCAUCCCUCCACCUCUGAACCAUUUCUGGCUUCUCUUCGAAGUGUUGUUUCAGCUGAUCAAAACCGUGCUUAAAAAUUCCAGUUUGAUGCCGCACAUCGGAUGGACUUACUCCAUAGAAAACCGGAAUAAUGAUUUGGCGGUUUGUGUGCUUGCAUUCAAGAAUCUUGACAAGUUCAUUCAGGCACCAUUUUGAAGAACCGUAGUCCUUUGAGAAAAUGACCACCGAAAUUUUUGAACCUUGGAUUGCGUUCAAAAGGGCAUCUGAAAUCUCAUCUCCUCGCCUAAGCUUUUCAUCAUCCAUAAAUGUUUUGAUUUUCUUUUUGUCAUACAAAUCAUCAUAGAGAUGGCAAGUAAAGAUCCUACGAGUGUCCUCCCCUCUAAAAUUGAGGAAGACUUCAUAAAUGCAAGAAGAAGAAGAAGAAGAAGAAGCAGCCAUGAAGGAAAUUUUAGAAAAUUGGUGACAGAAACAGAGAAUUAAUCUUGAGAGUUGAGAGAGGAGAUGUAAGAAUGAACAUGUGUGAAGAUUCUUGCAAGCACACAGAAAAUAAUUGAAUGGCUGGAGCUUUCUUAGUUUCCUGGAAAUUUCCUGGAGCUUUCAUAUACAUGAUUUGUCAAGUCAAGAAACAUAAUCAUGAUAAUGGGGCAGACCAGGAAGAAAAGAAAACUUGAUUCAACCAAUAAAGGAAGGAAAAGCAAAGAAAGAAAAUUUGAAAGUAGAUUCAGAGAAUUAUAAAAAGCUAAAGGAAAUUGGAAUUUUGUACAAUUUCUCCAGCGAAAAUUAAGCAUAGAAUAAUCCUAAAAUUUAAACUCUAAUAUCUUAUAAUGUAUUGAUUAAAAAUAAUCCUAAGAGUUCCCAAUUGAAACUUUCAUAAGUAUUUUAAUUGUUUUGGAUAAACAAAUUGUACUAGGAUAAAAAUUUGGCAAAUUCAGAGGAUAAUGGAAAAUAGUUAUGCUUCAAUAGGCCAAAGAUUAGAGAACAAACAAGAAUUAGUUAUUGAUACACAAAAGAGAAACACUCCAAAAUUUCAAGCAAAAAUAGUUUCAUAUACCAUUUCGAUUUUGGAAGGGGUGAGGUUUUGAACUUCAAUAGUUUCCUCUAAAAUUAAAAGGCAGCAAUUAAACUAGAAAGAGCAAUGAAGACUUAUUGGUACUUUAUUGAAGGUAAACAUUAUGAAACUUUCAAUGUCAUUACCUCAUUGUUCAAUUUUUAUUGAGAUUUGUGUAAGCAUUUAGCUAAAUCUUACCUCCGCCUUUAAAUUCAUUAGUUUUGAUUAAUUAUGAGACCUGGGAGAUAUUAUAAUCGAACUAAAACUUAAAAUUUCAAUAUCAUUAUUCUUUAAAAAGAAAUUGAGAUUUCAGAGUAAUAUCACAUAGAAAAACUUGCCCACGGACGGUAAGCCAAAAGUCUAGUCAACCACACGCAUAAAGCUAACUAGAACAAGAGAACAGAGAAACGCGUGGGUCCCUAAAAGAAAAGGCGUGGGUCCCAAAAGUCUAGUCAACCAUACCGAUGAAAAUCACUGAUUAAGAAUAAUAUAUUAUGUGGUUGAAGAUUUCUUUUUAUCAAUCUUCUUUCUACCCAUUAAUUUUCCCACGACUUUCCGGUUUCAUUUCUUGAAUCUCCAUGGAUUAACUUUCAAUAAACCAUAAAAUAAACUAAGGAAUCAUUUUCUCGAACACAGCUAUGAUUUUAAUAAAUGGGCGGACCAUCUAGAAUAGUAUAUAUAAUUCUGUUUAAUUAAUAAGUUGAAAAAACCAUAAAGAGAAAUUCUAAUAUUAUGAGCUUGACACGAAUUCUUCACUAAUUCCAAAACAAGGAGCUGUUUUAUAAGAACUGUGGUUGGAUUAUUAAGUUUUACAAUUUGAAUAUAAAUAAGAAAAUAAAAUCAGUCGCGUCGAUGUUUUCGAUACAUUUCGAUGCUAACUUAAUUAAUUACUUUACUUCAACUUUAUUUCCUGACGGACACUAUAUGGUGGGUCCAAGAUGGGACCUACAAUAAUCAAUCCUAGAAUUUAGUAUGGUUACCAAAUAGCUAGUGUUAUUUUGUGUUUGGUGGAAGAGAUUGAAUAUUUAGUUUUAACAUAACCAUUCAACUAAUUAGAAAAUAAAUAAAGUUAAAUGAAAUGUUUAGAUAUCAAUUUAAAUAUUAAUAUCCGGGAUAUAAAUUAGUUAUAAUAUAGUUCAUUACAUAAAAUUGAUUAAAUUAAUAAUUACACAUGAACAUAGAUGUAUAUGCUUUCCAAUUUCCAAAGUGCUCAAAGCACUUUUCUCACCAAACUUUCCUCUGAAUUUCCCGUAGCUGACUCCAUUGUUUGCGUUUUGUGAAAUUUCUAGGAACUUUUUCUAUUUAGAAUAUUGUACAUUUUUCUUUUCAGCUGAGAUUAAUUUAACUUAUAGAAAAUCUUAUCCUUUUUUUAAUAUUAUUUAAAUAAAAUUUGUCUAUCUUUCAUUUUAUCAGUCUACUUUUUACCCAUUAAUUAAGACUUUUCGAUUUCUUUUUUUCCUGAGGUUUUCAGUGACUAUCUUUCAAUAAACCAUAAAAAUUAAUGAGUCAUUUAUCGAACAAUUAGAUGACCAUAUUUCAAAAUAUCAACUAGAAGUUGCCCUGAAAUAUUUAAUUAAUAGUUGAAGAAUUGUGAUUAGUGUGGGCAUCUACAUAAAAAUUAUAUUAAAACACCGCUAAAAGAUAAAAAUAAAAUAAAAUAGUACAAACAUACACCCAUAGGUUAAAACAAAGAAAAAACACGAACCAAUACACUAAAAUGUUUUAGCUGUAGUUAGUUUUCAGUUUCAUUACUUAAGUCCCACGUGCAUGUCACGUGACUGAGGUCAAAAAAUGAUUGUCAGAUUAAAGUUCAAAGUACGGAGCAGGGUAAUUAAGGAGUGGAGCUAUUGGCACCCCUCCAUUAUUCUUACAAAACCCCACUUUAAAUCAAAUUAUAAUUAAGAAUAAUUGAAAAUUAAACACUUAUAGAUUUCUUUACAACAUGUUUAGUGAUAAAAAAGCACCAGUCGGGCAUGUCCCCAUUUCUUACCCGGGGCCGAAUCUCCUCGGCCGAAUGGUAUGAGUAGACUCUUGGUGAUGUGUUCUAUGUGGAGCACGUAAAACAGACCAGGAACUAGUACCAACCAGAAACGAGUACUGAUCAGAAACAAGCAUGACCAGAAACGCAUACCGACUAGAGACUUGUGGGUCCCUAAAAGAAAAGGCAAGCACAUAAACGAAAAAGCCAUUACAUUUCUAUUUUACAUGUCAUUCCUAAUUUUUGUAACACGGUGUGGCAGCAUAUGCACAAUCAAAUGAGGCAAAAGGGAUUCGACUAUCGUGGCAGAACAUGGACGAGGAUGCGUGAUGAAUAAUUCCUUCGAUAAAACGAAAAACAAAUGCAGAGAAAAGAAUUUCUUAUAUGACAAGAAAUUAAAGUAAUGUGACGGAACAUGAUGAAGAAAUUGCAGAUCGAUCAAUUAUCCCCAUGGACUCCUAUAAAUUCAACCAAAAUAACAAUUCCAAUAUUACCAAAUUCUUGAGUUAAAUUUAUUCAAUGCUUUUUUUUUUUAGAGAAAUUUUUUCCAAUGCUACUUUCCCUUUUUUGGGGAAAUUAGAACUGCGGCAUGUAUAGAAGACAUUGAGGUAUAAAGCAACAUUAAUUUCAUGGGUUAUGCGUUAUACGCAUAAUAUAUUGUCAGUCCAAAUUCAACUAUACAAAGAGGCUUGAGAACUUAAAAUUAAGCACAAACUAAACAGACGAAGUAAAUACAUGAUUAUGCAACAUAACAUUAAUUCUCUUAAUUUAUAACUGUUUUUGCCACAUGAAUCUUGCACAGUUAAUCCUAAUUGAAGACUAAAAAAGAACAAUUGGAACAAGGUUUUGAAAUAGAAUGAUAUACAAUCGAUAUGAUCCAUUUCCAGUCGUCAACGCUAAUUAACUGCAGUUUCUAGACUCCUAAUUAUACUAGCCAUAAGAAACUGUUUAGAAAACUGGUGAUCAGAUUAGAUUUUGAAAAGAAAUAAUUUUCAUUUUCCCUUCGCUACCUUUUUUUUUUAAUUAUUUUUAUACCAAAGAAUUCUAUCAUGAAAAGAAUCAAUUUAAUCACCUUUUCCAGCAGCACAAUUUUUCUUUUAUAAAAUUUGACCACAGAGACAAAGAAGAAUUAUUCAUACCUUCAUCAGUAAGGAAAUACUUUUCAUUAUGGCUAGGGUGAGAAAAGGCUUUCCACAACACUUGUACUUUGUAUUCCUGUAAAUUUUCUUUAAAGUCAAUAAAAACCAUAAGUUCUUUACAAUAACCAUCUCUUUGAUAAAAAAGUGCCGUAUUCCUUUAGAAUUUAAAACCGGAAAAAUUGAAUCAGUGUCUUUGAAGAGACAUAAUGGUCGUAAUUCUUUAAAUGAGUUGGCUAUGGAAAUCCUUAUCCAAGAUUCUUUUACGCCAUAUUCUUUCGUAAACCAAAAUUCAUUUUGGAAUACUCUGUUGAGAAUGUCAAAUAAAACGGCAUUGAAGGAAGUUUUCAAAGGCAGAAUCCGCACUUGUCAAAGGGAUGAUCUGCACUUGUCAAAGACACGAUCCGCGUCGAAUGAAUCGACACAUUUCCUUUCGUAUUCGCAUAUGUAAUCUUUGAAAAAAUGUAGCUUCUGCAUCUAUAAAUAACGCUUAGUGUAUAAUGUUUUAUUCAAGAAAAGAAAACAAGUUUCUUCAUACUCGUCGUCCGAACAUACAGAGACCGUCUCUUAUAACUUCAGCCGAAUACUUAUGAUGAUGAUCAUUUGUGAUUUCAUCAGGCAAAGGGUUGAUGGUGAAAAAAUUUGUAUGUGUGAAGAAUUGAGCUGUGGAUAUAGGGGACUUAAGUGUAAUCGAAAGAGAGUUAUUAGGCCAUAGUGCAGAUUGCAUUCAGUUUAUGAGUCGAUAUGCAAAUAAUUUGUUGACGUGGCGAAAUUUGUUAUGGUCGUUACUAUUGUUUCUGGAAAUUUUCUAGAAACCUCAGCAUAAAAGGGGCUUUUGCAUAGCCUCUGGUGUGCGUGUGAUUUCUCUUUCGUUUCCUCAUCAAAUUCUGUAAUUCUUGCUUUGAUAAAAAGCUUGUAAUCUCUUCUGUAAUGUGUGAUCAGUGCGUAAUCAUUUUGAGCAAUAAGAGCUUGUGGGUUUUUCCUUCAAACAGUGUCGUUUUGGUCAGUUUGUUAGUUUGAUCUGUUGGUGGAAUUUUCUUUGGUUAUUUGUUCUCAAAUUUCAACCGUAUAUAAAGUUUGAACUCUAAUGGCUUAUAAUGUAUUGAUUAAGAAUAAUCCUAAGAGUUCCCGAUUGAAAUUUUUAAUGACUAUUUUUAUUGUUUUGGAUAUACAAAUUGCAUUAAGAAAAAAUAUUGUCAAAUUCAGAGGAUAACGGGAAAUAAUUAUGCUUCAAAAGGCCAGAGAUUAGAGAACAAAGAAGCAUUCAUUACUGAUAAACAAAAGAGAAACACUCCAAAAUUGCAAGCAAACUAGUUUCAUAUACUAUUUGGAUUUUGGAAGGGGUGAAGUUUUGAACUUCAGUUGUUCCUCUAAAAUCAAAAGCAUCAAUUAAGCGUUCUCAAUUAGAAAUAGCAAAGAAGACUUAUUGGUACCUUACUGAAGUUAACAUUGUGGCACGGUUGUUCAUAUGUAAUGGCUGCUCUGUUAUGCUAGCUUCUCUGUUUUUGCUUACAGUUUUGAACAUAAAUUCUUGCUCAAAUAACCCAUAAUUAAAUAACACUAAUAUGGCUCGUGAAGUCCCAUAAUAGCUAAUUACGCAACUUUCUCCUCCUCCUCAAUUAUGUCUUCCCCUGCUCGGACACUAACUUCAAAAUUCAAUGCCCCGAAAAACAACACAAGAAAUCUUUGAGUUAGUUCGUGACCAGUUUAUAUAUAGUAGCAAUUGAAAAAAGAAAAAGAAGAAAAAAGUUAAUUAUUAUUCAGACCUUCACUUAUUAGGAAGUUUGUUCUGCUAUUGGGUGAGAUCAAGCUCUCAGCAUAUACUUCCACAUGAUACUUUCUAACAUUUUCUUGAAAGCCAUCAAUCAUAAAAUCUUCAUACUUUUUUCCAUCCUUUGGAUCAAUAAGUACAAUUUUUUCAUCUAAAACAGACAAAAUAAAAUCACUGUCCUUCAUGGAACACAAUGGCUGCAAUGCCUGAACUGAAUUGGCUAAUGAAAUUUGAGUCCAGGAUUCUCUCAGCCCAUAUUCUUUCAUAAUCCAAAAUUCUUUUCUUUCUCGACAUGGAACAUAGUCUUCUUUUCUUUCUCGACACAUGUCUCUGUACUUUUCUCUCUCUACUGAUCCACACUUUUUCAUACUUCUAACUAUCAUUUUGUUUUUUUUUUUUUUUGAGUUGUGAUUUAUUCAAUUAUUUUGUAUUUUUAAUGACAAUUGUUUAAUAUUUAGUUAGUUUUGAUAUUGAUUAGUGAUUGAAAGUGUAUUUUAGAAGACUUCCGGUCUCUUGAAAAAAGGAAAAAUGGAGAAGAAGAAGAAGUGUUCUUGAUUUUUUUGUAGGCAUUAAAGUUAAACGGUUUGAAAUGAUAUUUUGUUUUUAUUUCACUCAUUAAUCUCAUUCAGGAUAAAAUUAUAAAUGCAAAUAAAUGGGGUUUCAUAAGUAUUUUUAAUAGUGUUAAAAGGUCUACUCACUAAAUAAACAUGUUUUACCCAAACCAAUCCGAUUAAUAAGUUAUUAGGUUGGGUUGAUCAGGUUAAAAAUCAAAAUUAAAAAUUAAAUAAAUAAAAGGCAUAAAAACUAUCUGUUACUUGAAAAUAAAAAGAAUUUCUAAUAGUUAGUUCUAAUGUCCCAUAUCCAAAACAUGCAUAUUGUGAGGUUUGCUGGUGAAUCAAACUCAUCAGAACCAAAUGAUGACGUUUUGGCAAUUGAAGGAGCACUUAAAAGACACGUGAAACGCACGUCUGUUGUCACUUAAGAUUAAAGCUUGAAACGGCAGUUCAACCAUGUCGUUUAAAGGAAGCUUAGAAGUGAUGCACGUGACAGAUGUGUGAAGCAGCUCAUCUCAGUUCGUUAAGUUUGUUAUGCUACGUGUAAGCAAUCAGUUCGAUCUGGGUUUAGCUGGUUAGUUGCUCUGUUAGUUAUAAGAGCAGGCUGAUGAAACGAUUUGGGUUAAGCUUGUGAAUUCAUAUCAGAGAGAGAGAGAUUUCAGUGAAAGGGUUAAGAGUUCUCUGAAAUCUUGUAAACCAUUCUCUGUAAGAAAGAUCCUCCAUUGUUGAAUAAUAAAAGCUCUGCAGAAAACUUUUCCUGUGGAUGUAGAUUGUACCAAUUUGGUACAACUGAACCACGUAAUUGAUUCUUGUGUUGUCUGUGAUUUGUUUGUUUCUUGAUUCUCUAUUCUUUCUAGUUCUUGGGUACAUUGUUUUCACUUGGCUAGAUUCAUUCCUCAAUCUGUGCAUCUUGUAUAGUUCUUUAUCAAAGGUCCUGGGAAGUGUUUUAUUUGUCUUGCAUGUUAUAUAGCAAAUUAAAACACUACACAUAUUAAAUAAUAUAUUAUAAGUUAGAAAUACAAUAUCUAAAGAAAGAAUUAAUGAAAUAACAUAUUCUUGUUGAGAAUUAAGAGUGUGAUUUUAAUUUUGAUAUUGGAGUCUAAAGCAAUAGAUAGUACAAUGAAAUCAUGAAUGCUACGUUUAAAUAAUCUCUUUUAUAAAAUAAUAAAAAGAGGUUAAAAAUUAGGUUAACAUUUAGGGUUUAGCAGUUAAGGAUGAAUAUAUUAUUAUUGUUGUUGUUGUUAUUAUUAUAAUAAUAAUUAUUAUAAUAAUAAUUAUUAUUUAUAUGUUAAUUAAUUCAAUCCAACUUAAUUAUUAAUGAAUUUGAAAAAAUUGACCCAAUUAAUCCACAAUAAUUCAUUCAACUCGUCUAAAUUAGAUUAAGUUGAACUUAAUUUGCUACCCCACAUUGAGCAACAAACCUCAACGUCAUUCUACGAGCUCUUUGAUUGUUUAUAAAAUUGAUUUAGAGUACAUAAAGUGUAUCGACAAUGAAAGUGCAAAACAAAUUAUUGUACAUAUUAAAAUGUGCAAAAACAAUGAAUUAUAUGUACAAACGAGUGCAAACACAUUUUUCAAUAAGAAGUUGGAAGAUAUUUAUGCAUGAAAAAGCCUACGUUUGUAGUUAUUCUAAAUUUUAAAAACAAAAUUUACAUUUAGAUUCCUAAAAUUUACAUAUAAGUAUAAAAGUUUCAAAUAUUGUCUAUUAUUUUUUUAACAUGCCUAUUCCUUGUGGAUAAUUUUGUCUCAUCACUAAUGUUGUUUCUUGCUUACAAAAACCAAAAGCCACCUCCUUUUUGCAAUUUUUAUAGCGUCUCAAAAUAGACAAUAGGGGGAUUUUGAAUUUUUUAAGUCUCAAUAUAGUCUCUAAUCUUGUGAGAAAUAUUUUCUUUCAAUAAUUUGGAGGUAAACAUAACAUAACUUUUUGGACUAAAGCCUAACUCUGCUAAUAAGUAAUUGGUGGUAUCCUUUUCAAGACUUGAGUCUUUAGAUUCGAGUUUUAUAUAGUGUGCAUGUGUAUUUAAUUAAUAUUUUUUUUCAAAAAAAAUUACAUCAAAUACUAAUAUUCAUGACAUAAUUUAGUUCAUAAUUUUUUUAAAUACAUCGAAAAAUAUAAUUUUUUAACAACUUAAAGGCAUGACAAAUUUCAAGAUAUAAAUAUCAGUCAAAAUAAGUGAAAGAAAUAAUGGUGUCAAUUCUAAUUUCUUAACUAAAUUAAUUACUGCAUGAGCCCCGAAUAUGACACGAGAGUUUGAUGGGCUAACUUGGCACAAGAACGUGAAUAGUUAACUCAUUUAAGAAAUAAUUCAACAAAAAAUAUAAUUGAUAAGAAUGCAAUAUUGAAAUGAAUUUUUUACGAAACAUUGAAUUAAUGAUUAUUAAGCAAGAACAAUAAAAAAAUAAAAUAAAAAUAAAGAUUAACCAUUGAUAAGCUUCAACAAGAACUUAACACAACCCUCAAUCCUAAUUCAAAUUAUAAAUGUCAUUCAUAUAUUCAUUAUAAAUCAAUAACAAAGGUUAUAAAUGUUUAGAAAUUCUAGAGGGAAGGAAGCUAUCGCCGGGGAAUCAACAACUAAAAUUGAUGUAAUUGUGGCACGAGAUGGAAUAUGGAAACUACACCAUAAUUUUAAAUGCCGCCAUAGACAUUGACUUAUCUACAAUAACAAUGAUCUAAUUAAAAUAAAAAUAGAGUUUAUGGGCAUUUAUUAUUUUGACAUUCCUCAUUUGCAAAUAGGGAUACAAUUAUAAUUUAUUUAGUCAAAGCAAACAGUAAUUUUCUUCAUUAUAGGAGUGAAGUAAAAACAUUUAGAUUUUAAUGUAUGUAAGGAAAAAUUUAUCUUUAAAAAUACUUUCUUAAUGUGUGUAUGCAUAUUGAAAUACUCAAACCAAUUUUGGUUAUAUAUAAUUAAACAAAUUUUAAAAUAUGAAAAAUAUAAUGUAGUUAUAGUGGAUAAACAAUAAGUGAGCACAAUAUAAUUAAUCAAAUAUUGUGCUAUCAAAAGUUAAUUUUAGAAAUUCCAAAUCCAAUAGCUAACACAAUUCUUUAAAGAAAAAAAAAAGGUUGACACAAUUAAUAAAAUUAGCGACAUGAAUUUCACGCCAUUGAUAAUCAGCAAUUAGUAUUACUUUCUAAACUUGCUUCAACUGGUCGUUGAUGUCCGGGUCACCAAAAGUAUAAGCGAUAAUAAGGGGCAUUGGGCAAGAGUGAUGAAUGUUUAGUGGGUGCAUUUGAUUGAUAGAUAUAUAAAGGGCCGAAACUUGAGAUUAUAUUACUUUUACAAAUUUUAAUCCAAUCACAUAUUUAAUGAAAACAAAAUGAGUUAGGAUACUUUAUUUAAAAUACACAUUUUAAUAAGGCUUCAUUUAAUUAAAUAAAAUUAUAAAAGUAAAAUAUAUUUUAGAUAUUUUAAUAUUUAAGAAAAAAUUUUCAAUCUUUACUUUCAGAAGCUCAAAUUUUUAAUUUUUAGUUGUAGAGACAAAAUAUCUUAUUUAAUGUUUAAAAGUUCUGCUAAAAACAAUCAAAUAACUACAAAAAUUUUAAUAAGAGCAUAUAAAAUUAAAUAAGCAUUUAUUAAUAAUCACUUUAGUGUACUUAUCUAAUAACAAUAAGUGUUUAUUUAAUCUAAUAAGUUUUUAUUUAAUCUAAUGAGCUCUUUUUAAUUUUUUUUUAGUAGAGCUUUUGAAAAUUAAAUAAACUAUUUUGUCUCUAUUAAGAAAAACUUAAAAUUUAGGUUUUUGUAAGUAAAUGUUUAAAUUUUUUUUAAAAAUAUUAAAAUAUUAAAAUAUCUUUUCUUUAUUUCAUAAUCUUAUUUCAUUCUUCACAACAUAACUUUAAAUAACUUACCUAUUAAAAUAAUUUCACAAUUUCUAAUAAAAACUCCGAUUAACAAUCAAGCAAUAAUUUUUUUUUUUUUUUUGUAAAAAUUCUAUUUGUAAAAACUCUAAUAAUAAAAAUUCUACUUAAAUAAAUUUUAUUUGAAAAGGUAUACUAAACGAACCUAAGAUAAAAACAAAAAUUUUUAGAUCCAGACAAUUAAGCUUAAAACAAUUUCAAAUGAAUUUUAGACUAAUCAAAGUACAAUACGUACCAAGUUUGGUAAUUUAUUGACAUCUUCUUAUAUACCUUCGAUCAAGUCGAUUCUCACUUGACGACUAAUUGGUAGUUUGGUACAUCACCGUUGUUCCCUAUACUCGCAUGCAUCCGAUCACAAAUCUCACUCCAAUUGUUGUCUUUCUUCGGCGUUUUAGCGCAUCCUUCUUGAAUUUCUCGCAUUUCGUUCCCUUACAAGUCUCCGGUCAGGUCAGUUCACUUGACGAUUAAUUCGGCAAAUCUUGAAUCUCUUCUCUAUCCCUCUCGUUUUCUCGUGUCUCCUUUCAGUUAAAGCGAUUGAAUCAAUUUUAUCGCAGUCUAAGAGAAAUUAAGUAAUGCUCUUGGAUUUAAAAUUUUUUUGCUUUCGACUUUAGAUCUCGAAAGUCAAACUCUUCUACGAAUCCAUAGAUUCUCAAUGUUUAUAAUCUUAUUUGUGUUUGACCAGGUAACUGGAUCGUGAAAUUCGUCGUUUUGUAUCAAUUCAAGCUUUCGCGAGCUCAUGGAAUCACCUGGUGAGUUGUGGUGAAACGUUACCGUUUCAAUUUUCGCUUAAUUCUUUAUUGCAUAUUUUUUUCUCUAAUAUUUCAGUUUAAUUAGAAAAGAAAGAGGACCCAAAAAGAGAGAGAGAGAGAGAGACUCUACCAUACUCAAUUCCUUGCUCAUUCUGAUUUGGCCUGAAUGUUGGCAUUGACUAUUAUUUGUUUUCAUUUCGAUUUAAUUCUCAUUUAGACAGUCUUUACUAACGGUCAAUAAUAGUUUAAGGAAAAUGAUAAUAGGGAUUCUGCAAUAAUCUUUCUGCAUUGUUCAAGUUAGUAGACAAUGAAUAGGAUGUUUACGUUUACCUCAUUUUGAACCCCGAGGGCUUAGUUGAGUAGUUGAUUGAUUCAAUCUUGCAAUGUGUUCCCACAAGGUUUUGAGUUUGAUUCCUAAUUAUGUGGACCUUAGUUUCGAAUUUGAGUUUGUUAGGUGGGUUGAUGGGGUUUUUGGGUAUUAAAAAGGGAGAAGAAAAAAGUUGCUUGCUUCAUUUUGUACAAACCUGUUGACUUUUUAUUUUUUUCUUUUUAUUUUUGUACUAUUUUGUUUUACAGUUGGUGGUUCAAGACAGACAUCUGUUAUUGUUGUAACUUUGGAUACUGGUGAAGUAUAUAUUGUAACCAGCUUGUAUUCUAGGACUGACACUCAAGUGAUAUAUAUUGAUCCAACUACUGGUGCACUUCGCUACCAUGGGAAAUGGGGCUAUGAUGUUUUUGGAUCUGAAAAUGAAGCAGUAGAUUACAUAACAAAUGGAUCACGAUGGAUGUGCAAGAGUACAACUUUUGCCAAGGCGAUAUUGGGUUAUACUGCCCUGGGAAGCUUUGGGCUGCUUCUUGUUGCCACAAGGUUAACUGCCAGCAUUCCAAAUCUUCCUGGUGGAGGAACUGUAUGCACGGUUACAGAGAGCCAAUGGAUCAAAAUUCCACUUCAAAAUCCUCAACCCCAGGGUAAAGGAGAAGUAAAGAAUGUUCAAGAGUUGCCUGAUCUUGACAUUGAUGGGAAGCACUACUUUUGUGAGACAAGAGAUAUCACUCGACCUUUCCCCAGCCGCAUGCCUUUGCAAAAUCCUGACGAGGAAUUUGUUUGGAAUGAAUGGCUUUCGAUGCCUUUUAAAAGCAUUGGUUUACCUCAGCAUUGUGUCAUUCUUCUGCAGGUUUUGCUUCAUACUCGGUAUCUUCAAAAUUUAUGCUCAUUAAACUUCUUUCAUUCCCCACCCUCUCACUAUCCCUCCACCUAAUUUUGUUUCCAAAAGUUUGUUUGAUAGUCUAUUGCCACUAUAUGUAAAUGUAUCAUUUCCAUUCUGAGCAUGAUAUUUUAUUCAUCAUCACUUGUUAUUCUAAUCUUUAGAUGAAAGAAUAUUUCGUAUUAACAUUUUUCAUGGGCCAGUACCUAUUUUAUGGUCCAUUGUAGAUACUAAAAUGACCAACUUUAUUUCUUGGUCAUAAAAAGUUGCGACAGAAAUUUUAAACAUGUGAAUAUUUAAAUCUGAUAAUUCAUUAAAGAUUUCAACCUAAUAGAUUGAAAACUUAGAUUCAUUCCAUGAAUGAAAGAUAAUAAAGCAUCAGCCGAUGGAAUAUGGGAAAUAGAAACACUUUCCCUUCUAUUAAGAAGAGCCUGCUUCAGAUGAUCCUCAUUUUCUUCAUCCACAGGCCAACCUAGAACAUACCACACCAAGGUAAGAAAGAAAAGGGGUAGCAGGAUUGCCUAGUUUGACAAUUAGCAAAGCCCCAAAUGUUCCUCUUUUACUUUUCUUUUAGAAAGGUAGACAUGUUUGACAGAUUUGGGACAUUGCAUCAUCCCUUUCUGCUGCACAUGGUUGCAAUGUUUUACUUCUCACGUGAAAGCCUAGAAAUCCCAAUCCAAUAAUAAAAGGCCAUUUUAGAGUCAAUGUACAAAAACUUCCUUCCUUGUCUCUAUAUCCUCUUUUACAAUCCAUUCUUAGUUGAAUUGAGAUUAUGCUACAGCUGCUUCUUCAAGUUAACAUUGUUAUGCAAUUCAAUGGUGAUUUACGUGUGUACUUGUCCUAAGCAUGUGAUUUGAAAAUAAUAUGUUAAUAUUGUUUUCACUGGAUAUUAAUGUAUAGGGAUUUGCAGAAUGUCGAAAUUUUGGAAGAUCAGGUCAGCUAGAAGGGGUUGUUGCUCUUAUAGCUCGUCGUAGUAGGCUGCAUCCUGGUACUCGAUACUUGGCUAGGGGGAUUAAUUCUUGUUUUAGUACAGGUAAGAUAAUCUUUAACAUCUCCAGACCUGGAAAUUACAUUUUUGUUGUUGAGAUUCACUUGGUUCUUCUAUACAAUCAAAAAAAUUAAGGAUUUAGUUUUUUUUUUUUUUAAACGGAAUUUUCUUUUCCUUUCAGUACUCUUUGCAUUCUGUGUAUGCUGUUUAUUCUGAUUGUCAUUGAUCUCAUGCCUUUACAAGGAAACAGGUAAUAGUUUCAGUGGUAAAUUCAAGUGGAAUUGGUUUUGAUUCUGUUGUUUAGAAAGAUGGAUUGUAGAACUACAGAACAUUAAUCGUGCCACCUCAUGGCUCAUGCAUGCUUUUGGAGUAUUCUUUACCUGUAGAAUUUUUGUUUUUGUAGUUGACUUGGAAUAUAACUUUACCAUUUUUUUCAAAUAAUAAGAAUCAAUGAGUCUCAUCAAUAUUAAUCAAUAAUGAGCUAAAGAUAUAUAACUUGUGUCUCAGAACUAUAUAUGAUAUGCUUGUGAAGGUGUAUUAUUUUAAGUAGAGAUACCAAAUGCUACAGGGAGAAGCAAAAAAGAACAUUCUCCAGUGAAAACCUUCUGACAGAUUACAUUUUUGGGAUAAAAAAGAAACAUUGAGAUCAUCAGCCACACUUUUUCUUCUUGUACUGUUUAAUUAGUUUAGAGGCCUUUUAGUUGGUUUUGCUUGCCUGGAGGUGUCAUACAGUUCACUUUUUGAAUACCCUGGUUUUCUACAGAUUAGAACUUGGUUUCCUUUCACUCCACAGCUUUUGCUUUCCUACAUCACGUCCUUUGGGAUAAUUGAAUAAUGAAUGAAUGAAAACAAUCAAAUAAUUUCUGACAAUUAGUUAAUAACUUUUAUUUUGUAUGACCCUUUUGAUAUGUGUGGUCCUUUAAUUUACGGUUGAAAUAUAAAUAUGAAAAAAGUCUGCCAAUUAGUUUUACAAAUGACUUUUGUGCCAUAGAAUAUAUAUAUUUUUUUUUUGCCGAAAAACAAAACAAAUUCAUAAACAACAUUGUAUUUCACCAAUUAACAGUGCAAGUGUCAUUAUAGUUUCCACAUAUUAGUUCUGUUUUCGUUAGUUUCAUUUUCAUUCUGUUAUGUAACUGAUGUUUCAUUGCUAUAAAAUUAAUUGUCUGUUUCUCUUCACAACUGUUAUUUUGAAUGAUUUUUUCUGAAUUUUAUAAAGAAUUUGUAUAUGACAGGAAAUGAAGCAGAGUGCGAGCAACUUGUAUGGAUUCCUAAAAGGUCUGGUCAGAGUGUUCCUUUCAAUGCAUACAUCUGGCGGCGAGGGACUAUUCCAAUAUGGUGGGGUGCAGAAUUAAAGCUUACUGCUGCUGAAGCAGAAAUUUAUGUUGCAGAUCGGGAUCCUUAUAAAGGAAGUCUGAAGUAUUAUCAGAGGUUGAGUAAUCGAUAUGAUGCUCGAAACUUUGACUUAGCUGUUGGGGAAAAUCAGAAGAAAAAGCCUUUUAUUCCAAUUGUAUGCAUUAACUUGCUUAGGAAUGCGGAAGGGAAAUCAGAAUCUAUUUUAGUUCAGCAUUUUGAGGAAUCUUUGAACUAUGUCAGAUCAACUGGAAAACUUCCUUAUACUCGAAUAAUUUUAAUAAAUUAUGACUGGCAUGCCAGUACAAAAUUAAAAGGUGAACAACUUACAAUUGAAGGAUUAUGGAAGCAUCUAAAAGCACCCACUCAGGCCGUAGGCAUUUCUGAAGGGGACUAUUUGCCAUCACGGCAACGACUUAAUGAUUGCCGAGGUGAAGUCAUCUGCAAUGGUGACUUUGUGGGUGCCUUUUGCUUAAGAUCCCAUCAGAAUGGAGUGAUACGCUUUAACUGUGCAGACUCUCUUGAUCGGACCAAUGCUGCUAGUUAUUUUGGUGCUCUGCAAGUAUUUGUGGAGCAAUGUAGGCGGCUUGGGUUCUCCCUUGACAGUGAUUUUGCAUAUGGCUAUCAGUCAGCUAAUAACUAUGGUGGAUAUACUGCUCCUUUGCCACGAGGAUGGGAGAAACGAGCUGAUGCAGUGACAGGAAAAACAUAUUAUAUCGAUCACAACACUAGGACCACAACAUGGAUUCAUCCAUGCCCAGACAAACCUUGGAAGAGAUUUGAUAUGACAUUUGAGGAGUUCAAGCAAUCAACAAUUUUAUCACCAGUGUCUCAGCUAGCAGAUCUUUUUCUGCUUUCUGGUGAUAUCCAUGCAACCCUUUAUACUGGUUCAAAAGCAAUGCAUAGCCAAAUUCUUAAUAUAUUCAAUGAAGAACCAGGAAAGUUCAAACAAUUUUCUGCAGCACAAAAUAUGAAAAUUACCCUGCAGAGAAGAUACAAAAAUGCAGUUGUCGAUAGCUCUCGUCAGAAACAGCUGGAGAUGUUUCUUGGAUUGAGGCUUUUCAAGCAUCUUCCAUCUGUUUCAGUUCAACCUCUACAUGUAUGAUACUGUAGAACUUCAGAUUACCUAUUCAUACAAUCUGAGUUCAAUGAUUAUCAAUUUUCAUGAGGGAUGGAGACAAUAUUACACUAGCUACUUGUUUCUAACCUAAGCAUCCCUAACUUCUGCACAUAAAUAAAUGAUGCGCAAAGCAUACCAUAGCUAUAUCAAUGCCCAUUUCCUGUUUGAUGUUGACCAAUAAUGUUUGGAAGUUAGCUAUUGCAUGGUAAGAUGAUUUGAAGCUUCAUUUAAAGCUUCUAAGCCAGAGCUUCUAAGUCAUCUGGCUUAGAGAAUUUAAAUGUCCUCCAAAAGUCUGGAAUCACUGUUGCAUCUCAGCCUGAUUGAUAUUUGUUAUUGUUAACUUGGAAAUAUUUUGUUAAUCUUUCGGAUUGAACAACGUCGUGCUAUGAUCAUUAUUCAAGAAAUGACCUCAAGAACUUGUUGCAGUUGAGUGAUUUUUUGGUAAUGAUGAAAAUUAUUCAUGUUUAGGAACAGCUCUUUAGGGGAAAAGCAUAUAUGGGCUGGCUGGCCCUUUUUGGUGUAUUUGAUGAACCAUUUCAUAUCAUGCUGGUAACUGCAGGUUCUUUCUCGACCAUCUGGUUUCUUUCUCAAGCCAGUUCCCAACAUGUUCCCAAGUUCUGAUGGUGGAGCUAGUCUUCUAAGCUUCAAAAGAAAAGACAUGAUCUGGGUAUGGGUUGCAGCUAAACUUAGUCCUUUGUAGCAUUCCUAAUUCUCUGAUUGUCUUUUCUUUGUAGCAUUCUUAAUUCUCUGAUUGUCUUUUCUGUCCUUAAUGGAAUUCAUGCAUUUUUGGUUCUUUAGGUAUGUCCACAAGGCACAGAUGUGGUUGAACUUUUCAUCUACCUUGGUGAACCUUGUCAUGUCUGUCAGCUUCUUCUCACCAUAUCCCAUGGUGCAGAUGAUUCAACAUAUCCAGCAACAGUUGAUGUGAGAACAGGACGCCACUUAGAUGGGCUUAAACUGAUUUUGGAGGUUUGUAUUGGUUCUAUUGUACACCUUGCUUACAAAUUUUUUAUUUUUAAUUUUUAAUUUUGUAUGAUAUGCUCUUUGUUGGUAAAUUUCAUUUGACUUAGAAGAGAUAGUUUUAUCCCAACAGUGGGAUACAUCAUUGAGAUGCAUGGCAGAGUGAAUAUAGUAGACAAAAUCAUUGAGACCCAUGGUGGUGUGAACAUAGUAAACUUUGUCAAACACAGCUAAGAUGAGCAAAUUGUUUCAUUAGCCUUUAUCUUAUCUGCUGUGAUGAUUCAAAUUAAUGCUGUUUGGUAGGUUGCAAAAAAACGAAAUGAGCUGACUGUUCGUAUUAUUUAGUCAGAUCUCUAGCAAUAAGUUGAAGUUCAUUGUCACAUGGGUUGGGAGUAUCGUGGGCUGUGAGUAGUAGAAUGGAUUUAUGGAGUUGAUACAAGUGCCCACAAUCUCUCAUGUCAUUCUAGGAUUAAAUGGAUUGCACAUUACUGUAAAAAUGGAGGUUAAAUUUAUAUAAUUCGGAUUGAUUGUAAAAUGGAAGACAGAGAUGAGUUAGAAAAAGAAUGACCCGUGUCCUUUUUGAGCUGUUUCUAAAUGUCCCUGGUGUGCCUCAUGCUUAACACGUGCCUUUCCAAAUAAUUUUGCUUAACCUGUGCUUGUCUACUUCUUGUGCUAUUCUGUGCCUGGUCCUGAGCUGUAUUGGUAGAUUGACAUCCAGCUUGAACUUUUAGGUAUAUCUUUUGUACAUAAAUUCUGAAUACCCAUGGACUUAGCGUGAUAUAAAGUCAAGGAUCCAUUUAGCUGAGUCCUUCAAGUUUUGUUAGUAUGUCUUCGGAUUAUAAAUAUGUAACAAAAUGAGGUGUAGAAUACAUUUAAAAAGAAAAGGAUAAAAAAACAAAAGAAAUGAAAAGAGGUGUUUAGAAGUAAUAGCUAAACUAGAUACACUCUCACUAAUUAGCGAUUCUGAUGAACAGUGCCCAUAGCUUCUUUUAUACCUUGAAGUUGCAGAAAUUGAUUCUUGGUGAAUUAAGUCACUUACAGACAUAACUUUUUCUUCCAUCUAAUUUUUAUUAGGUUAGAUAGGAGAAGACUUGUUUCAGGGUGUCCUGACCCUAGUAUUAGUUUUCUUGUCAGAUUUUUCAUGAAAAUUUACAAUGCACGUGACAUACAACUUCUAGUAAUCCUAGGACUUUGUUCACAGGGUGCUUCUAUUCCUCGUUGUGGAAAUGGGACAAACCUUUUGAUACCUUUACCAGGAUCAGUUAGUGCUGAGGAUAUGGCUAUUACUGGAGCUGGUGCACGACUUCAUGAUCAAGAUGCACCAACCCUUCCACUGUUGUAUGAUUUUGAAGAAUUAGAGGGAGAAUUGGAUUUUCUUACUCGUUUUGUGGCAGUUACCUUUUAUCCUGCUAUUUCUGGAACAAGUUCCAUGACUCUUGGUGAGGUAGAAAAUAUUUUCAUAAAAUGUUAAUUGAUUUAUCUACGCACUUUAUUCUUAAAUUAGUAUUUUAGACCAUGAGCUUUGUGGAGUGGGUUUGCUGUAACUGCUGCUGGUGACAACAUAAUUGUUAAUAUUAUUACAGAUAGAGAUUCUUGGAGUUUCUCUUCCAUGGAGGGGGGUAUUCAAUAAUGAAGGCCCUGGUGCUAGAUUAAUUGAGCUUGGCAAAAAGUUUCAGAAGGAAACCGAUCCAUUUUUGUCAAAUUCAGUUACAAAUACGGUUCUGUUUUCCAAUGAAAAUGUGUCAACAUCAAUGCAAACAGAAGCUGCUUCCAAUCCUUGGGUUGACCUGUUGUCUGGAGGGGACACAUUUUCUGAUCCUCUUUCAGAGCCGUUUUCUAACCCUCUUUCUGAGCCGUUCUCUGAUCCUCUUUCUGAGUCGUUCUCUGAUCCUCUUUCUGAGCCAGUGACAAGAAAUGUUGCAUCUGGAGGGGCUGAUUUGCUUGAUUUCUUGGACCAGCCUAUAGUUGAAGAUCAUGGUGUGGAAACUUAUAAAAGAUCUUCAACACAGGAUGGCUGUUCUCUGGCUAGUGGUGCCCAGCAGUACAUAAGCUGUCUAAAAUCCCUUGCAGGGCCACGCGAGGUAUAGUACUGCUCUCUUGUGUUUUUUGCAGCUCUACAUCUUAGUAACCUCAUCUUUUUAAUGGAGUAAAUUCUAGAAGUUCAACAAAUUUUGCUUUGCUAAAUGUAUAACUUAUUAAUCAGAGUCCUGUUAUUAUGGUUUGACACUACUGACAUAUUGUGUUGGUAAUUUAUUUGUACGUCCCUUGGUUGAAUUAUUUGCUGUCUCCAUGCCAUUCGAUAUGGUGCUACUUGGUUUUUGAUCAUCCAUGACACUAUAUAUAUAUAUAUGUAAAGGAUGAAUUGAUUGUUUUGGCUUGUAUUCUCACAUUUUAUGAUUGAUCGAUGGAAAGGUCUUCCUGUAUUAAAUUCAACCUCACAAGCAUAAGAUUGACAAAUUCUGGGCAAAUUUUCAGGAAAAGAAACUAGACUUCAUGGAAGCAAUGAAGCUUGAAAUUGAACGUCUGCAGCUGAAUCUUUCUGCAGCUGAAAGGGAUAGAGCUUUAUUGUCAAUUGGAACUGAUCCUGCCUCUAUAAAUCCAAAUGUAUUGCUUGAUGAAUCUUACAUGGGAAGACUGUGUCGAGUAGCAAACACUCUUGCAUUACUUGGCCAAGCUUCCCUAGAAGACAAAAUUGUUGGUGCAAUUGGCCUUGAGAAUAGUGAUGAUAGUGUUUUAGACUUCUGGAAUAUUACUAGAAUCGGAGAGAGUUGUUCUGGUGGUGGGUGCGAGGUUCGUGCCGAAACUAAGGUGCCUGCUCUUGCUUCCUCAACUGCAACAUCUGUUGGAUCUUCACAAUCCCCUUUGUUGUGUUCUCAAUGUGAAAGAAAAGUUUGCAAAGUUUGUUGUGCAGGAAGAGGAGCUCUACUGUUUUCAAAUUAUAAAUCAAGGGAUGUGACCAACUACAAUGGCUUCUCAAGUCAGAGUGGAUCAAGCCAUGGAAGCCAAGUUGAUGUAUCUACCAGUCGUUCACUAACACUGGAUGGCGUUAUCUGUAAACACUGCUGCCAUGAGAUUGUGCUUGAUGCAUUGAUGUUGGACUAUGUUAGGGUCUUGAUUAGCUUGCGAAGAAGUUCCCGUGCAGACAACGCAGCAUACAAUGCUUUGAAUGAGGUUGUUGGAUCCUGCUUAAAGGAUAGUCUUUCUGAGAGGAUUCAGUCUUCCGAUAACGUGCAAGCAGCUGAAGUCCUUCACCAAUUAUGUGGUGGACAGGAAGCACUUGCUGAAUUUCCAUUUGCUAGCUUUUUGCACUCGGUAUGUUCUUGGUUUGUAUUCAGUUCUCAUCAUAUUAUGUUUUCCUUUUAAAUUUCUUUUCUUGAUUAAAAUUUUUAGAAAUAUGUUUUAGCAUUUAUUCUUAUGAUAUAUGCCCAGAACAUUCAUCCCACUUAUCCAUGAGAAUCCUUGUCUGGUUUGAUUUUCAAUUGAGACAUUUUUGGGAACCCUGAGCAGGUUCCAUAUGCUAAUAAUCUUUGAGGUAAGGUGUUGUAGGAUGCCUUGAGAAGCUAAAAACCUAUUACAAGUAAAAGCUCUUGCAUUGUUUUGUGCAAUCUGUGUGCGAGCAAGUCAUGUCUCUAAUAAUUUCAUAGUUUGCUUGAUUGGAAUUUUUUAUCUUGAUAUGGAUUGUUUAUUCUAGAUUCCUUGGUGCCACUGUAGGUUGAAACAGCAAAAGAUUCAGCACCGAUUUUGUCACUGCUUGCUCCAUUAAAUUCUGGAUCAAGGCACUCAUAUUGGAGAGCUCCACCUAGUAUUACUUCUGUUGAAUUUGUUAUUGUUCUCGGUUCUGUUUCUGAUGUCAGUGGGGUUAUCUUGCUUGUUAGUCCUUGCGGCUAUUCUGUGGCUGACACUCCGAUGGUAAGUGCCAUAUUUAUUCCCUUAUUUCCUUGUUGUUCAAUAAAUUUGGUGAUAAGCCAAGUGGCCUUAAUAAUGAAGCCCAGUACCAGGGGUGGUGGGUAAUAGAUAUUCAACUUGUGAAUAUUCCUAAGCAAACACUGAAUCAACAUAUACCUCGGCAAAAGUUCUCUAUGCUAUGAUAAUGGAAGUCAUAUUUUGAAAUGAUUAAAAGAGUCCCUGUGUAGUGCCAUUUCCAACGAAAUUGCAGCUGGGGGUUUAGUUUCAUGUAGGUUAGUUUCCGAUAAUAAACUUUCCAUUUCAUUAAUUGCUGAUGAAAAAACCAAGUAAGAACAGUUUUGUUGCUCAUCAUUUUUGUAUAUUUUGGUAAACUGUAAUUUUAAAUUCUCAACGAUCUUCCCUUUGUAGGUAAGAAGAUGGUCCACUCACUUGAUAUUUAUGAUUGUAGAUCAGGUUUCUAUUGGUUUGCCUUUAUCAUUUGGAACCCAUGUUUGAUAUUAACAGAGAUCACAUCAAUAAUAUCCUAUUUGGGUAGAUGUGGGUGAGGAUUUAAAAUCAAAUUUGAAAUUGAGGGGAAAGAAGAGAAAAGGAACCACAAUAAUUAAACAAAAUAAUAGGAACUAUUCUGAUGAGUUUUAAUCUCGAGAGGAACAAUUUUCAAAUGCACUGCUAGAGAAAUUGUAGCUUUUUGUCAUUAGUUAAAAGGAAAAAGAAUAAGAACUAUCCGGCCCUUUCCUUCAUGAAUGUGUGUUGAGGUUGCUGUAUUAUUUAGUCAGUAUUUGUAAUUUUCUUCCCUGCAGUGCUCUCUGCCUCCUGAAUUUGCUUCCUAUUGCUGUUACAGGUGCAAAUCUGGGCAAGCAAUAAGAUACACCGGGAGGAAAGGUCAUCAAUGGGAAAAUGGGAUGUCCAAUCCCUCACCACAUCUUCUUCAGAUUUGUAUGGUCCAGAAAAGUCUGCUAGUGUUGAAAAAUUACCUAGGCAUGUAAAAUUUACGUUUAAGAAUCCUGUUAGGUGCCGCAUUAUUUGGAUCACAUUACGUCUUCAGAGACCUGGUUCGGCUUCAGUUAAUUUCGGGAAGGACCUCAGUCUUUUGUCUCUUGAUGAAGAUGAAAACCCCUUUGCACAAGUAGACAGACGUGCUUCAUUUGGAGGAGCAGUUGAAAAUGAACCAUGUAUUCAUGCCAAAAGAAUUCUUGUAGUCGGAAGCCCAGUAAAAAGGGAGGGGCUUACCACAUCACAGAGCUCUGAGCAGCUAAGUAUUAGAAACUGGUUGGAUAGAGCUCCACAAAUGAGUAGAUUCAAGGUAUUAGUUGCUUUCACUCUUUGUUCAUUCAUAAUUCCAGCUUUCUGCUUCACUGAUAAACCUCUUUUUUCUCUUCAGGUCCCAAUUGAGGCCGAGAGAUUGAUGGACUACGAUCUCGUCUUGGAACAGUAUCUACCUCCAGUGUCACCUUCACUUGCUGGAUUCCGUCUAGACGCUUUCAGUGCAAUAAAACCUAGGGUUACCCAUUCACCUUCCUCAGAUUCAGAUAUCUGGGACAAAUCAGUAACAUUUUUAGAAGAUAGGUACAUCUCUCAAGCUGUGUUGUAUUUACAAGUAUCCGCACUCCAGGAACCACAUAACAUGGUAACUAUUGCGGAAUAUCGACUGCCGGAGGCUAGAGCCGGAACGCCAAUGUACUUUGAUUUCCCACGACCGAUACAGUCCCGACGAGUUUCAUUCAAGCUUCUUGGAGAUGUUACAGCAUUUGCAGAUGAACCUUCAGAACAAGAUGAUUCAGGAUUGAGAGCUCUACUUGUGGCCACAGGUUUGUCUUUGUCAAACAGAAUCAAGUUAUAUUAUUAUUGUGAUCCUUAUGAGCUCGGAAAAUGGGCAAGCCUUUCUGGAGUUUGAUCAUUAUUUAUAUGUCAGAGAAAGAGUUUUGGGUUUGAUUUUGAUUUUGAUUUGCAUUUUUUGUCAGUUUAUUGAAAUUUUUUCGUGGUAUAAAAUCAGAAUGUAAAGGUAUAAAAAUUCAUUGAUGCUGCAAUGUCUGCUUUUGAGAAAGAAGAAUUCAACGUCUUUUCUAUGCCAUUGUAUUUUCCACUGCUUGUAAACUUGGGCUGUCGAAUGCUCUGUGAACCUUAAGGGCUAAAGUAAUUUUCAAGACUGAAGGAUUUAUUAAUCGAGUUCAAAAGAUUGCAAGUUGGUGAGCGUUGGCAUUUAAAAAUCAAUUGUUAUUCUCUCAAUAAUCUCUCUCUUCUGCCGACACCCCAAGCUCAGAAACCCGUUGUUCCGACGGACGUGUAACACUUCUAGAAAUUAGCAUUUUCUUCUACAUGAAGGUUGGUCUCUCCUCGUGAAGUGUUUUCUUUUUUGAGUGAAGGUGGUUUUCUACUUACAUAUGUCGAGGGUCUUACGAUAUCUAAUGUGUGAAAUUUCUCUCUCAUUUUACCAUAAAGAAAAUGUUUGUAAUGAUCUGAAGCUUGAGUCUUAAAUUAUCUUAAAUUUAUAUUUAGGGUGGAGCUAUUGGCAUCCCUACAUUAUUCUUACAAAAUUCCACUUUAAAUAAAAUUACAAUUAAGAACAAUUAAAAAUUAAACACUUAUAAUUUUUUGUACAGCAAAUUACUUAAUUUAUAAUCAAUUCUUUUAAAAUAUAUAUAUAUAUUUGUUACUUCUUAUCUAACUAAAAUAAAUUGUACAAAUUUAGAAUAAUCUAUUGUUCUUUUUUGAUUUCUUAUUGAUUUAAUAUUUUUAUACUUAAAAUUACUUUGAAAUUAUAAUUUGAAAUAUGUGUUAUUUUAGCCAAUAAUUAACACUUAAAAACUUAUCACCCAUAUAACUUUUUAAUUUGUGUGUAGGGUAAUAAUAAAAUUGAAAAUAAUUAAAAAUAGCACAAUAAUGAGUUUUAACAAUAAAACAAAUCAAAUGAAUAUUUAAAAUUUUAAAAAGUAUAUCUAGAAAAAGAGGUAUUUUCGGAAAUAGUUUGCAUAUAACUAAAAAAAAGUUUUAUGAGGAGAUCAGAUGGGUGCCAAUAGUCCACCUCGUAAUUAAGAAUCUCCCAUUAUAUUGUGAACCAAAAAGACACUUGCAUAAGAAGAAGAAUUUUUCUGUUUGAUUUUAUUUGUGGAUCCAACAUUUCUCAUAUCUUGAGCGCCUUUCCGUAUCAAAUUAAAAUAGUAGUAGCAAAAUUGUAGUGCACAUUCAAUUAAUCAACUAAUAGUCUAAGAAGCAAAGAGAGGAUUACAAGUUCACAACACCAUUACAAAGGAUUCAAAAUUCCCACACGAAAACAUCAAUGUACAGAUAUAAACAAUCCUAAUUGGACACAAGAAAAACCCUUAAAUGGAUUGCUUGCCUUCCCAAUGCUACAUACCCUGCAAACUGCUUACUGGCCAAGAAAAUGUUUUCAAUUUAGUGUAUUUUCAAAAUGCUUAUUUUCUCAUAAUAUUAAAAAAAUAAAAUAAAAAAGAAUUCUUACAUGUUUCAUCAGCAUGAUUAAAAUCAAAGAAGAAAGAGAGACAUAAUGUCUCUGACAUAAUAAAAUUAUAAAAAUUUCAAGAAAAAAAAAGGUUAAAACAUGUAAGGUGGAUGAUUGAAAACAAUUGUAUGAUGGUAACCAUCAUCUUAAACAAAUAAAAUAAGGUAUGUUCAAAAGUAAUAAGGAAUACAUAGACAAAACAUCAUCUUAAACAAAUCAUAAUCUAGAAUUGGAGCAUUUUCGACAUACCUAAGGAGAAAGAAUACGUGAAAAUAGGUGAUUCAUUUGUUAAGGAGUGUUGAUUUGGUCGUCUCUGCAAAUUCUUUAGGGACUCGGUUCCAGUUCCUCUUCAUCAAAACUGUAAUAUAAUUCCCCUUCAUCAGAACUCGAAUCAAAUUCACUUGCAGCAGUUCCACUCGCGCUUGGCAAAUCAUCCAAUUUCCAAACUUCGGUACCAAAAUUGAGAGUAAAAGUGUUGGCUUUGAUCUCGCUGCGAUUUGCAUAUACCGGACAUACUCCGUAACGUUUUAUCUUGUGACCCUUUUGGUUUCGGUAACACUCAUUGAAGAACUUAAGUGAGACAGUUGUAUGAUGGUAACCAUCAGGAAAGCCAACAUUCAAGCAAGGUUUAAAACAAAGUAUGACAUGAUCUGAAUCAAGGGAGUAUUUAGAAUAGGUAGAAAAACCCAGAUCAACAUAUUUGGUUUCAGAGAGAGUCUUUAUUUCUAAGUCGGAUUGAAAGAUGACGUACCAAUCGCACUUGCAACGAGAACAAACUUUCUUAGAAUCAAGAACAGCACAAAAAGCAAACCCGAUUAAGUUUCCGCAAAAAGAUUGCGGUGGCAGUUGAAUACAUAUCGAAGAUUCUGAACUUUGAUGGCUGAACCAGUCAGGAAUUUCGCUCCCAGGUAAAACAAUUAGGGAUCCCCAGAGUUCAGAAAGUUUCUGUGAAAUGACAUUUAAAAAAAGAAAAUUGUAAAUUGAAAACCAUGAUUUCAGAUAUAACAAAGAGGGACAGAGUAAACAAGAGAGGGAAUUUGAUACCUCGUUGAUUGCCUUUUCAUAGCCCAAUCUCAGUGAUGCAAUUGCCAUAUGCCGAAUUCUUAGUCGUGAAUCUGCCAAAAUCUUGUUGUUUGCUUUUCCAUCAAGUUUCAAGCAGUUAGUAAACUCAAAACAAAUUGCUGCUGACUCCAGAGAUUGAAUAAGGUCAGGAGAGGGUUUCGAUAACUUUUCGAGUACGGAUGCAUCUAGUUCUUGUAGACAUGACGGAAUCUCUGGCAAAGAUUGAAGCCGCUUGCAGUUCCUUGCUUUUAGUGAUUGUAGACACAAUGGAAGUUCUGGUAAUGACCGAAGCAUGUUACAACCCGUCAAGUCAAGAGAUUCAAGACACAAUGGAAGUUCUGGUAAUGACUGAAGCAUCUUACAACGCUCCAAGUGAAGAGACCUCAGCCGCGACAGUUGCUUGAUACUUGCAGGUAAACUCUCAAAGUUAUUUCCACUUAGAUGCAAGCCUGUCAGUGAGGAUAGACAGGCAAUCUCUUGUGGAAUUUCCAUUACAGCACAGUUCCUUAUAUUUAGACGUCCCAAAGAAGAUAAACCUAAUAAUAAUGAUCGAGGCAAUGAUACCAAACCUUUGCAUCUAGAGAACUCAAGAAUUCUAAGUACGUUUGAAUCUGCAACAGAGGAUGGUAGUUGACUAAUAGCUGAUCCAGCUGCACAGAUGUAACGCAAAGAUUUUAAAUUGCCAAUGUUAUCCGGCAACUUAUCAAGUUUAGAGCAAUCUUCUACGAACAAUACUUCAAGUCCCGGUAGAUUUUCAAAUGACGAUGGCAGCUCUGUAAUUGCCGUAUGGCCUAAAUAGAUGCGUUUUAAAUGUUCCAUUUUCUCCAAGAUUUCUGGGAAACGCUCAAGGUUCACGCAGCCAUUAAGAAAAAGAUCAACCAACGAUCUCAAUUUACAAAACCCAGUUGAAAUCAUCUUCAGCCGUUUGCAAUCCCUCAAAUCCAACACUAUAAGAUCAGUUAGGCACUCUAUUGAUGAUGGAACUUCUUCUAUUGCAGACUGGAUUAAGUAUAGCCGUGUAAUUUUCCCAGAAAUCUGUGGAAACUCUACGAGAUUAACACAAUAGGAGAAAUUAAUAGUUACUGGACAAACAAAAUGAAGAUUGGUUGGAAAAGACCUAAGACUUUUGCAGCCCAUAAAAUCCAACCUACUGAGAUACUUGAAAUUCUGGAUAGAUGAGGGAACACAAGCCUUUUCUCCUUCCCAAAGUUGCUCAACUUUACUUAAACGCAAAUUCAGUUGAACGAGGUUCUUUGGCUUGAAAUUUGAUGGCAGUGUCCUUAAUGGAUAUGUGUCCCAAUGAAGAUAUCUCAAUUUUUUAGGAAGAUAAUCUAGACCAUUUGGAAGCUGCACUUUAGAGUAUGAAAGUUGCUCUUCAAUGAUCAUACUUAGAAACCUUUCAAUCCCAUAAAACUUAGGUACAUAAAAUUUGAGCAAUCUCAUACUAGACAUAUUUGUGAAGGUUCCGGGGUCUAAAUUAAUGCCUUUUAUUUUGGACAAAUCCAGAAAUAUGCCUUCAAUUGCAUCGGUCCCCUUAUUAAAAAAAAAACAAAGAAUGAGUAAUCCUAAAACAGAAAAGAAACAUUCGUAAACUUUAUUAACUAAGAGCUCCUUAAACAAAAACAAAUUCUGCAAUCUUUGAUUUUAUUUUUUUAAUAUAUUAAAUAUCUAUAUGCGAGAAAAGAAAAUUUUGGGGGCCAUUGCAAAAUUAAACUAACCGAAAAAAAAAAUUCAAAAUUUCUCUAAUUUACAAACCUGUUAUCUUAAUAUCUAGAAGUUGAGAAGACAAGGCCUAUUUGAUUGGUAUAAGAUUUCAAUUUUUUUUUUUUUUUUUUUUUUUUUUUGUCGAUAGAAUCCAAAAUGUUAGUUCAAAAUUAGGGAAAAAAAUGAAAGUCAUUUUUUUUUCCACUAGCUGUAAUUGUAUCCAAGUCAAAUUGAGAUACAACCCUUUUUGAAAGAAUUUAACCAUCUUACAACCUCCUUAAGGUACAUUUAAGAUAAAAGGAGUGAUUGGAGGCAGAACUAGGUGGGCCAAUCAGUCCAUUUUAUUAGCGACUGUUGCUUAAAAAAAAUUAUACUCUAAAACACACUUACAUUUUUGAAAAAAUAUAUAAUUAUAUUGAAGUAGAACCAGGUGGGCCAACCCUCAUGGCACUCACUUUGUUCUGACACUUUUCACUAAAUUUGAAGAAAAAUAAAAUUAUACUCUUCACACUCUUAUUCAACAUUCCAAAUUUGAUAAAAUCGGGAGUUUUCUUUAAAAAUUUAAAAUUUGAAGACUUGUUCUCUUGACACCCUCAGUCAUUAAUUUUACCUAAUUAUGGGUUUUAUGAUUUUGGUUGUUUUGUUCAUAAAAAUGCUUUUACUAAAGGAUGUUCUGGUAAUAAUAAAAUUUAUAAAAAAAACAUGGGUGUGCUGGUAUGGUUGGAAAAAUAUGAGUGCAUAACUCCAAACAAAUAAAAGAUAUAUAUAAAAAAAAAUGGAGGAUUCUUACCUUAUUAUGCUUGAGUACGCGGCGGAUUUCCUUAGGAUCCCACAACCUGCUGCGUUUGCCUGGCUCUUUCUCAGAUUCUUGGCGAACAAUCCGUCGCCCCAUUUCUUGCAAUAAAAUCAUGCAUUUGCAAGCAAUUCCCUGAUACUGAUAUGAGUGACUUAUCAAUAAGGACAUUCACGUCAUUCAGUCCAUAAGACUUAGAAUCAUCAAGUAUCCUUAUCACAAAAUCUUUAUCCUCUCCCUCAAAGAAACAAGCAAUAUCUAGAAAUACACUCUUGACAUUGGGCGUUAAUUCAUUAAAACUAAUCUUUAAUAUAUCAUACAUAUUAUGAAUAUCAGAUUCACAAAUCCGAUUUAAGUCGUCCAAUACGUUUCCCCAAUGGCUUUUCCUCUUGAGGGAGGAACCCAACACUUUAAGAACUAAUGGAUUGCCAUCAGCAUACUUUACAACUCUCCGUGACUCACGUUUGAAAUCUUCAGGACAAUGCUUUUCUUUAAAAGCGAAGUUACAAAAAUGCUCGAAAGCCUCAUCAAAUUUCAAUCCAUUAACCCUAUAUAUUUUCUCCACUGGAAACGUCUCGAGGACAUGUUUAUUCCUAGUGGUGAUGACAAUUCUACUUCCUGGACCAUACUGAUCAAGCCCUCCAAUCAAACCCUCUAAUUGUCCAUCUUUACUCACAUCAUCAAGCACAAUCAACACCUUCAUGCGUCGGACCCUCUCUUUAGUAAAUUGUGGAAUAUUGGGACCAUCUACUUUAAGUUUUUCUCUUAAUAUCCUUGAAAGAAUUUGCUUUUGUAGAUCUUCUAAUCCAUCCCCUCGUUCUAUAUUUCUCCUAACAUCUGACAUAAAGCACCUACCUUCAAACUCUCUGGAGAAUUGAUUGAAAAUAGCUGUGGCAAGGGUGGUUUUGCCUAUACCACCCAUGCCCCAAAUUCCAACAAUUUGGACAGUAUCCCACAAAUCCAUGCACAGAAAUGGUUUAAUCUGCUCAAUUCGUGAAUUUAAUCCAACUAGGCCAUUGGAUGAGUCCGUUGAGACUGUUAUUUUUUCCAUCUUCUUCAAAACAUCUUCGACAAUUUUGCUUACAAGUUGCGCAUCAUGCCUAAUAUGAAGGUGCAAAGAUGCAAAAACAUUGAGUCAAAUCGGGCCAACACAGAAACAGAGAUAAGAUGAAUUAGGAAAGAGAGUUACCUGAAUUUCGUGGAUUCGUGGCCAGCUAGAUGGGAUGUUUCUUUCAGUGCAUCCCUCCACUUCUGAACCAUUUCUGGCUUCUCUUUGAACUGUUGUUCGAGCUUAUCAAAACCGUGCCCAAAAAUUCCAGCUUGAUGCCGAACAUCGGACGGACUUACGCUAUAGAAAACUGGAAUAACGAUUUGGCCGUUUGUGUGCUUGCAUUCAAGAAUCUUGACAAGUUCAUUCAGGCACCAUUUUGAAGAAGCGUAGUCCUUUGAGAAAAUGACGACCGAAAUUUUCGAACCUUCGAUUGCGUUCAAAAGAGCAGGUGAAAUCUCAUCUCCUCGCCUAAGCUCUUCAUCAUCAAUAAACGUUUUGAUUUUCGUUCUUUCAUUCAAAUUAUAAUAGAGAUGGCAUGUAAAGCUCACGCGAGUGUCCUCUCCUCUGAAACUGAGGAAUACAUCAUAAUUGCAACAAGAAGAAGAGGAAGCCAUGAAGGAAAUUUUAGAAAUUUGGUGACAGAAACAGAGAAUUAAUCUUGAGAGUUGAGAGGGGAUAUGUAAGAAUGAAAAUGCGUAAAUAGUAAAUGAUUGAAUUAAUCUGGCGAGUAAAUAGUAAAUAAUUGAAUGGCCGGAGCUUUCUUAGUUUCCUGGAAAUUUCCUGGAGCUUUCGUAUACAUGAUUUGUCAAGUCAAGAAACAUAAUCAUGAUAAUGGGGCAGACCAGGAAGGAAAGAAAAUUUGAUCCAACCAAUAAAGGAAGGAAAAGUAAAGAAAGAAAAUUUGAAAGUAGAUUCAGAGAAUUAUAAAAAGCUAAAGGAUAUUGGAAUUUUGUACAAUUUCUCUAUUACAGUUUGGAUUAAGAUUUGAGCAAGCGGCCAAAACUACAUUGCGUCAGGGCUUUGGUGCCACACUCGUUUGUCUGUUAGUAGCAUUGGAUUUGAUCUGACGGCUGCAGAAGAGACACAAACAUAAAGAGGAGUAACCUGAGGAAAAGGUAAUAAGCCGGUUACCUGCAGAAAAUAAGUGCAUGAUAAAAUAACACAAGUAAUGAACACAAUGGAAGCGUAUAUGCAAGUAAUGGUUGGAAACAACUUGCUGGAAGCGUGCAAGUAUUGGUUGGGCACAGACCGACAUUAAAUUUCGCAAAUAGUGUCUGAAACAUUUGCAAAUACUUAAUUCAAAACGUCAAUAAAUGCUGGAAAAAAUACAUAUUUUUUUAUUUUUUAUUAAGAAUACAUUUAAAAAAAGAAUAAUUAUUAAUGGUACAUAUUUGUAACAAUUAUACCAAAAACAAUUAUCCAUAUAUUUAAAAAAAAUGUUAACAAUACAUAUUUUUUAGAAGUAUACAUAUUAUAUCAUAAAAAAAUUGAGUUGGAGCUUCGACAAGUAGAUCUUAAAAAACUAAGGUUGAAUUUUGGAGGAGCAGAUUCGGUCGUGGAGUAACAUUUGUUUAUUAUUAUUAAUUUAUUUUGGUAGUCCUAGUGAAACAUCGUUGUUUCACAUAGAUGAUGUCGCAGUUUGAUAGACGGGAUGACAUGUGAUUUUUUAUCAAAUAUAUCGGGCCACAUGGCAUUUUUGACUAGGUGAAUGGAGUGACAUGUUAAUUUUUUUUUUUUUUAAUCAAAGGUUCUUCUAUCUUAGAAGACUAGAUUAGCCUUAUGAUGUCAAGACUUGGAAACGACAACUAACUGACUAGUGGAUAGCAGACACAUGUUGUCAACUUAGGGUAUACAAGGAUACAUGUUAAAAGUAUUGUAGUAUAUGUGAUACAAGUGUCAUGGAAGGCUAUAUGAGUGAUAAUUACUCAUUAAACUAUAAGUUGCAAUAAUUUAACACAACAAGUGCCAAUUAAAAUGUAAUAAUUUAAAAAAAAUUAGGUAUUCUCCGUCUGUCUCCCUCUCAAUCAAUGUGUCCUACUUUGAAUGUUAAUAUUUAUUAUCAAACAUAAAAAAAUUCUAAAAUAUUAAAAAAAAAAAACAGAGUCUUCUAGGCACAUAAAUUAGAGUAGUUUCGUGAACAAAGAACUUGAGAAAGAUAAUGGUGGCACUCUCUUAGAAGGAAUCUAUGGGGUUAAUGUUUUCUUCCCUAUGUCUAUUUUAUGUAUCUUAGUUUCAAAAACAAGAUGUACACAAUUAGGGGUUGGUUAAUGCAGUUAAAACGGUGGAAAAAGGCUUAUAGAAAUAAAAUAUAAUUGUAAUGCAGUGUUUGGUAUGAAUAAGUAAACUAAAAAUAAGACAAUUGGGUAUACGAAUUUAUAAUGCGAUAAUAAUAUUUUUUCCCUAAGACGACCCGUAGGGUAAGAUUAUAGACUAAAUUGUUGUGUUAUGUUAAUGAUACGAUAUAAAAGUGUUGUUUUAGAAGCUGUAAAAGUUAGUUAAUGUGAAAUUUGUUUUUAAAGGUAAUUGUCUUGUAACCCCUUGUUUUUAAGGGUAAGAUUAUAGACGCAAUUUGUUUGUUUUGAAAAAAAGUCCCUUAUGUUGAGCUGGACUUUUUUUCGUCUUCACAAGUCCCUUUUGCCGAGCUGGAAUUUUUCUGACAGAGUCUCCGUUUGUUCCCAUAAUAGCGGCGAGAAUCUGGCCGAGCCUCGAUGAUAGCUCGUUGCUACGACACGUGACUGUGUCCAUUGAGUCUCUAUUCGAAAUCCAAAUGUCGACGACAACGGCCGCCUCCACUAACGGUUCUCAAAUCACGCCGUGCGUUGAUGACGUGGCGGUGGCAAUUAACAACAAUAACUUCAACUCGAAGGAGAGAUUCAACGACCGUGAUUUUUUGUUGAAGCAGUCGUAUUCGUUUGGAUUCGAGCGGAGUCUUGCAUCGAAGAGGAUGGUGAUGGAGGCGGUAAUGGCGUUGCCGUGGAAGUACAAGAGGGGGAGUUACUGGAGCAAACAGUCGUCUCCGUUUGGCUCAUUGACGAAGUCUAGAGUCUUCUGGAGCAAAGGAUUAUAUACUUAUCCUCUUUGUUUUCCUUUUACUGAUACUGUAGCUUUAGCCGAUUACCCAUUUUCCAAGUGUUAAACAUGAGCCGUUGUUACCUUUCUUUACUAUCUAAAUGGUCAUUCGCAAAAGGACAAAUGACUAGGGUAUCAAACCCCUUACGCAAUGUAGCUGGACCCUUAGCAAAGCAUUCACCUAAAUCUUACCUCCGCUGUAAAUUCUUAAGUUUUGAAAAUUAUGAGACCUUUAUAUUGGGAGAUAUUAUAAUCAAAUGAAAAGUUAAAAUUUUAAUAUUGUUAAUAAAUGACAAAGCCAUUUCAUUUCUCUUUUACAUGUUAUUAAUUUUUGUAACACGGGGUGGCAACAUAAGCAUAAUCAAGUAAAGCAAAAGGGUUUCAAAUUAUGGUGGUAAAACGUGAAGAAGGAUGCCAACUGAAUAAUUCCUUCCACAAAACGAAAAAUAAUCACAGAAAAAGGAAUCUCUUAUAAAAUGUUUGCGUAUUUUUUAUAAGGUUUGAAACUUUAGGUGGUCGGUAAAUGAUUUCUUAAUUGAAUAAUAUAUAAAAAAGCUAAUUAUUUAUAAUUUUAAAUAAUCUGAAUUUGUAUGUUAGAAAUUUCAUCUCUUUUAUUUUUGAGAAUUUUUCAUAAAGAAUAGAGAACAUAAUGUUAACAUUUAAAGUAACACAUCUCAAUCGUCGAAAUUAUUUUUCUAUUAAAUCCAACGAUAACGAAUUAAUGUCAGAAAAGGACAAAAUUAGUGGUGGCUUGCAAUAAUUGCAAGGUAGCUUUUGUAAAGACAGAAAUGUGAUGGAUUCAAAAAGAAAUUGAAGUGAUAAUGUACGUGGAUCCUUAAAAUAAAAAGCCGAAUCGCUUGGUGGCCCAGUAAAAUUACGAUUUGAAUUUUUUUUUUUUUUUUUUUUACACAAUGUGUCAAGCACAUAAAUGACGAAAGCCAUUUCAUUUCCCUUUCACACGUCAUUAACUUUUGUAACACGGUGUGUUCAUCGUCAAGUGAGGCAAAAGGGUUUCCAUUACAGUGGGAAAACAUGAACAAGAAUGCAUAAUGAAUAAUUCCUUCGAUAAAGCGAAAAUUAAACAUAAAAUAAUCCUAAAAUUUAAACUCUAAUAUCCUUCGAUAAUGUAUUGAUUAAAAAUAAUCCUAAGAGUUUCCAAUUGAAACUUCCGUAAGUAUUUUUAUUGUUUUGGAUAAACAAAUUGCACUAGGAUAAAAAUUUGGUAAAUUCAGAGGAUAAUAGAAAAUAGCUAUGGUUCAAUAGGCCAAAGAUUAGAGAACAAACAAGAAUUAGUUAUUGAUAUACAAAAGAGAAACACUCCAAAAUUUCAAGCAAAAAUAGUUUCAUAUACCAUUUCGAUUUUGGAAGGGGUGAGGUUUUGAAAUUCAAUAGUUUCCUCUAAAAUCAAAAGGCAGCAAUUAAGUUAGAAAGAGCAAAGAAGACUUAUUGGUACCUUAUUGAAGCUGAACAUUAUGGAACUUUCAAUGUCAUUACCUCACUGUUCAAUUUUUAUUGAGAUUUGUGCAAGCAUUUACCUAAAUUUUACCUCCGCCUGUAAAUUCAUAAGUUUUGAAAAUUUUGAGACGUUAUAUUGGGAGAUAUUAUAAUCGAACUAAAACUUAAAAUUUCAAUAUUAUUAUUCUUUGAAAAAAAAAUGAGAUAUCAGAGUAAUAUCACAUAGAAUGGUAAGCCAAAAGUCUAAUCAACCACAUGCAUAAAGCUAACUAGAACAAGUGAACAGAGAAACGCGUGGGUCCCUAAAAGAAAAGGCAAGCACAUAAAGAAAACGGAAAACAAACGCCAGAGAAAAGAAUUUCUUAUAUGCCUUGAUAUUGAUUAAUAUUCAGCGAUAGCUUAAUGCUUACCAUCAAGCAACUUUGAAAGCAGGAAGCUAUAUAUGACAAGAAAUCAAAGUAAUGUGAAGGAACAUGAUGAUGAAAUUGCAGGCCAGCACAAAAACACCCAUACCCCUGAUUUGUUUAAAUGUACACGAAGACCUUAAGGUUUGGUAAAAGAAAAUUGAAUUUAUAUUGUAUUAUAAUACAAUUUUUUUUAAACCAUCAAUGAUAAAAUCUUCUUACUUUUUUCCAUCCUUUGGAUCAAUAAGUACAAAUUUCUCAUCUAAAUCUUCAUACUUUUUACAAAUGACUUUUGUGCCAUAGAUUUUUUUUUUCUUUUUUUGGUUUUGCCGAAAAAACAAAACAAAUUCAUAAACAACAUUGUAUUUCACCAAUUAACAGUGCAAGUGUCAUUAUAGUUUCCACAUUUUAGUUCUGUUUUUUUUAGUUUCAUUUUCUUUCUGUUAUGUAACUGAUGUUUCAUUGCUAUAAAAUUAAUUGUCUGUUUCUCUUCACAACUGUUAUUUUGAAUGAUUUUUUCUGAAUUUUAUAAACAAUUUGUAUAUGACAGGAAAUGAAGCAGAGUGCGAGCAACUUGUAUGGAUUCCUAAAAGGUCUGGUCAGAGUGUUCCUUUCAAUGCAUACAUCUGGCGGCGAGGGACUAUUCCAAUAUGGUGGGGUGCAGAAUUAAAGCUUACUGCUGCUGAAGCAGAAAUUUAUGUUGCAGAUCGGGAUCCUUAUAAAGGAAGUCUGCAGUAUUAUCAGAGGUUGAGUAAUCGAUAUGAUGCUCGAAACUUUGACUUAGCUGUUGGGGAAAAUCAGAAGAAAAAGCCUUUUAUUCCAAUUGUAUGCAUUAACUUGCUUAGGAAUGCGGAAGGGAAAUCAGAAUCUAUUUUAGUUCAGCAUUUUGAGGAAUCUUUGAACUAUGUCAGAUCAACUGGAAAACUUCCUUAUACUCGAAUUAUUUUAAUAAAUUAUGACUGGCAUGCCAGUACAAAAUUAAAAGGUGAACAACUUACAAUUGAAGGAUUAUGGAAGCAUCUAAAAGCACCCACUCAGGCCGUAGGCAUUUCUGAAGGGGACUAUUUGCCAUCACGGCAACGACUUAAUGAUUGCCGAGGUGAAGUCAUCUGCAAUGAUGACUUUGUGGGUGCCUUUUGCUUAAGAUCCCAUCAGAAUGGAGUGAUACGCUUUAACUGUGCAGACUCUCUUGAUCGGACCAAUGCUGCUAGUUAUUUUGGUGCUCUGCAAGUAUUUGUGGAGCAAUGUAGGCGGCUUGGGGUCUCCCUUGACAGUGAUUUUGCAUAUGGCUAUCAGUCAGCUAAUAACUAUGGUGGAUAUACUGCUCCUUUGCCACGAGGAUGGGAGAAACGAGCUGAUGCAGUGACAGGAAAAACAUAUUAUAUCGAUCACAACACUAGGACCACAACAUGGAUUCAUCCAUGCCCAGACAAACCUUGGAAGAGAUUUGAUAUGACAUUUGAGGAGUUCAAGCAUUCAACAAUUUUAUCACCAGUGUCUCAGCUAGCAGAUCUUUUUCUGCUUUCUGGUGAUAUCCAUGCAACCCUUUAUACUGGUUCAAAAGCAAUGCAUAGCCAAAUUCUUAAUAUAUUCAAUGAAGAACCAGGAAAGUUCAAACAAUUUUCUGCAGCACAAAAUAUGAAAAUUACUCUGCAGAGAAGAUACAAAAAUGCAGUUGUCGAUAGCUCUCGUCAGAAACAGCUGGAGAUGUUUCUUGGAUUUAGGCUGUUCAGUUCAUUUUUUUGUGGUAGAAAUGUCGUCAUUUUAAAUUUAGUGUAUUUUCAAAAAGCUUAUUUUCUCAGAAUAUAAAAAAUAAAAAAAUAAAAAAAGAAUUCUUACAUGUUUCAUCAGCAUGAUUAAAAUCGAAGAAGAAAGCGAGACAUAAUGUCUCUGACAUAAUAAAAUUACAAAAAUUUCAAGGAAAAAAAAGAAGUUAAAACAUGUAAUCUUCAGAAGCAUAUAAUAAAAGAGCACUUCCACAAAUUACUACAAUUUCAUGCAGUAGAGAUUGAAGAGUUGAAUUCCACUUAUAGACACCGACCUCUUGUUUUGUCUAAUGUUAAAAUUACAACCUCUUGCUUUGACUUAUUAGCAGGUUUCAAAAGUAAUAAGGAAUACAUAGAUAAAACAUCAUCUUAAACAAAUCACAAUCUAGAAUUAGAGCAUUUUCGACAUACCUAAGGACCACGAAUACGUGAAAACGGGUGACUCAUUUGUUAAGAAGUGUUGAUUUGAUCGGCUCUGCAAAUUCUCUUGGGACUCGGUUCCAAUUCCUCUUCAUCCGAAGUUCCACUCGCGCUUGGAAAAUCAUCCAAUUUCCAAACUUCGGUAGCAAAAUUGAGAGUAAAAGUGUUGGCUUUGAUCUCGCUGGGAUUUGCAUAUACUGGACAUACUCCGUAACGUUUUAUCUUGCAAUCCUUUUGGCUUCGGUAACACUUAUUGAAGAACUUAAGUGAGACAGUUGUAUGAUGGUAACCAUCGGGAAAGCCAACAUUCAAGCAAGGUUUAAAACCAAGUAUGACAUGAUCGGAAUCAAGGGAGUAUCUAGUGGGCAAAUCGAAACCCAGAUCAACAUGUUUGGUUUCAGAGAGAGUCUUUAUUUCUAAGUCGAAUUGACGGUAGAAGUAAAAAUCACACAUACAACGAGAAUAAACUUUCUUAAAAUCAAGAACAGCACAAAAAGCAAACCCGAUUAAGUUUCUGAAAAAAGAGUGCGGUGGCAGUUGAAUAUAUAUCGAAGAUCCUGAACUUUGAUUGCUGAACCAGUCAGGAAUUUCGCCCCCAGGUAAAACAAUUAGGGAUCCCCUGAGUUCUGAAAGUUUCUGUGAAAUGACAUUUAAAAAAAGAAAAUUGUAAAAUGAAAACCAUGAUUUCAGAUAGGGAUAUUAUCAUUUUUCCACCAAAGGUAUUCUGACACAUCAUGUCAGUACCACGGUUUGGUAAAACUAUCAAUUUACCACCAAACGUUUAAACUGUUAGGAUUUUCCCACUAUUCCGUUAAAACUCAGUUAAUAUGUAACGGAAAAUUUCUAAAAAGUCAAUUUUACCCCUGGAGCAUAAAAGACCAUAUAAUUAACUUUUUAUGAAUUUUGUAAUUAAAUCAUCAUUUGUUGUUCUUCCUUCUUAAAGGACAAAAAUUACCCUUUAUAAAUUUUAUAAAAUUGGCCGUGUAGUGCUAGGUACUUCAUAAAUUAAUUUAAUUUUUAAAGGGCAAAUUUAUUUAUUAAAUUGAUGAGCUCAAGACAAUUUAUUCUACUACUAAAAAUCAAUUUAUGAAAGGGAAAAAAAAAAGAAUGUGCAAACGAAGUAAUUUAAUCUUUGAUAUGAUGAUAAUAAUUUUACACAAAAAAUUAAAUAAAUAAAUUUUCCCUUUAAAAAUUAAAUAAAUUAAAUCAAUUUAUGAAGUACCAAAUACCACACGGUCAAUUUUACAAAAUUCAUAAAUGGUAAUUUUUGUCGUUUAAGAAUAAAGAAUAACAAAUGAUGAUUUAAUUACAAAAUUCAUAAAAGGUUAAUUAUAUGGUCUUUUAUGCUCAGGGGUAAAAUUGACCUUUUAGGAAUUUUCCGUUAGAUAUUAACUGAGUUUUAACGGAAUGGUGGGAAAAUGCUAACAGUUUAAACGUUUGGUGGUAAAUUGAUAGUUUUACCAAACCGUGGUACUGACAUGAUGUGUCAGAAUACCUUAGGUGGGAAAAUGAUAAUAUCCCUUUCAGAUAUAACAAAGAGGGACAGAGUAAACAAGAGAGGGAAUUUGAUACCUCGUUGAUUGCCUUUUCAUAGCCCAGUCUCAGUGAUGCAAUUGCCAUAUGCCGAAUUCUUAGUUGUGAAUCUGCCAAAAUCUUGUUGUUUGCUUUUCCAUUCAGUUUCAAGCAGUUAGUAAACCCAAAAUAAAUUGGUUGUGACUCCAGACAUCCCGGUGCCCAUUGACGAAGGUCAGGAGAGGGUUUCGAUAGCUUUUCGAGUACGGAUGCAUCUAGUUCUUGUAGACAUGACGGAAUCUCUGGCAAAGAUUGGAGCCGGUUGCAGUUCCUUGCAUUUAGUGAUUGUAGACACAAUGAAAGUUCUGGUAAUGACCGAAGCAUGUUACAAUCCUCCAAGUUAAGAUAUUUUAGACACAAUGGAAGUUCUGGUAUUGACCGAAGCAUGUUACAACCCGUCAAGGCAAGAGAUUCUAGACACAAUGGAAGUGCUGGUAAUGACUGAAGCAUCUUACAAUCCGUCAAGUCAAGAGAUGUUAGGCACAAUGGAAGUUCUGGUAAUGACUGAAGCAUCUUACAAUUCUUCAAGUCAAGAGAACUCAACUGCGACAGUUGCUUGAUACUUGCAGGUAAACUCUCAAAGUUAUUUCCACUUAGAUGCAAGCCUGUCAGUGAGGAUAGACAGGCAAUCUCUUGUGGAAUUUCCAUUACAGCACAGUCACUUAUAUCUAGAAGUCCCAAAGAAGAUAAACCUAAUAAUAAUGAUCGAGGCAAUGAUGCCAAACCUUUGCAGCUAGAGAAAGAAAGAAUUCCAAGUACGUUUGAAUCUGUAACAGAGGAUGGUAGUUGACUAAUAGCUGAUUUAGCUGCUGAGAUGUAAUACAAAGAUUCUAAAUUGCCAAUGUUAUCCGGCAACUUAUCAAGUUUAGAGCAACCAUUUAUGAACAAUGAUUCAAGCCCCGGUAGAUUUUCAAAUGACGAUGGCAGCUCUGUAAUUGCCGUCCGGUCUAAAUAGAUGCGUUUUAAAUGUUCCAUUUUCUCCAAGAUUUCUGGGAAACGCUCAAGAUUCAAGCAGCCAAGAAGAAUAAGCCGAACCAAAGAUCUCAAUUUACAAAACCUAGUUGAAAUCCUCUUCAGCCGUUUGCAACCCAUCAAAUCCAACACUUCAAGAUCAGUUAGGCACUCUAUUGAUGAUGGAACUUCUUCUAUUGCAGACUGGUCUAAGUAUAGCCGUGUAAUUUUCCCAGAAAUCUGUGGAAACUCUAUGAGAUUAACACAAGAGGAGAAAUUAAUAGUUACUGGACAAACAAAAUGAAGAUUGCUUGGAAAAGACCUAAGACUUUUGCAGCCCUUAAAAGACAACGCACUGAGAAACUUGAAAUUCUGGAUAGAUGAGGGAACACAAGCCUUUUCUCCUUCCCAAGGUUGCUCAACUUUACUAAAACGCAAAUUCAGUUCAACAAGGUUCUUUGGCUUGAAAUUUGAUGGCAGUGUCCUUAAUGGAUAUGUGUCCCAAUGAAGAUAUCUCAAUUUUUUAGGAAGAUAAUAUAGGCCUUUUGGAAGCUGCACUUUAGAGUAUGAAAGUUGCUCUUCAAUACUCAUACUUAGAAGCUUUUCAAUCCCAUAAAACUUAGGUACAUAAAAUUUGAGCAAUCUCAUAUUAGACAUAUUUGUGAAGGCUCCGGGGUCUAAAUUGAUGCCUUUUAUUUUGGACAAAUCCAAAAAUAUGCCUUCAAUUGCAUCAAUCCCCUUAUAUAAAAAAAAAAAAAACAAAGAAUGGGUAAGCUUAAAACUCAAAAGAAACAUUCGUAAACUUUACUAAGAGCUCCUUAAACAAAAACAAAUUCUGCAAUCUUUGAUUUAAUUUUUUUAAUAUAUUAAAUAUCUAUAUGUGAGAAAAGAAAAUUUUGGGGACCAUUGCAAAAUUCAACUAACUGAAAAAAAAAAUUCAAAAUUUCUCUAAUUUACAAACCUGUUAUCUUAAUAUCUAGAAGUUGAGAAGACAGGGCCUAUUUGAUUGGUAUAAGAUUUCGAUUUUUUUUUAGUCCAUAGAAUCCAAAAUGUUAGUUCAAAAUUAGGGAAAAAAGUCAUUUUUUUCCACCAACUGUAAUUGUAUCCAAGUCAAAUUGAGAUACGACCCUUUUCGAAAGGAUUUAACCAUCUUAUAGCCUCCUUAAGGUACAUUUAAGCUAAAAGGAGUGAUUGGAGGCAGUUCUAGGUGGGCCAAUCAGUCCAUUUUAUUAGUGACGUUUGCUUAAAAAAAAAAAUUAUACUCUAAAACACACUUUUUUUUUUUUAAAAAAAUAUAAUUAUAUUGAAGUAAAACCCGGUGGGCCAAUCCUCAUGGCACUCACUUUGUUCCGACACUCUUCACUAAAUUUGAAGAAAAAUAAAAUUAUACUCUUCACACUCUUAAUCAACAUUCCAAAAUUGAUUAAAUCUGGAGUUUUCUUUAAAAAUUUAAAAUUUGAAGAUUUGUUGUCUUGACACCCUCAGUCAUUAAUUUUACCUAAUUAUGGUUUUUAUGAUUUUGAUUGUUUUGUUCAUAAAAAUGCUUUUACUAAAGGAUGUUCUGGUAAUAAUAAAAUUUAUAAAAAACACAUGGGUGUGCUGGUAUGGUUGGAAAAAUAUGAGUGCAUAACUCCAAACAAAUAAAAGAUAUAUAAAAAAAAGAUGGAGGAUUCUUACCUUAUUAUGCUUUAGUACGCGGCGGAUUUCCUUAGGAUCCCACAACCUACUGCGUCUGCCUGGCUCUUCCUCAGAUUCUUGGCGAACAAUCUCUCGACCCAUUUCUUGCAAUAAAUCAUGCAUUUGCAAGCAGUUAUUUGACACUGUUAUGAGUGACUUGUCCACGAGGGCAUCUAGUUUGUGAGACCCAGAAUCAUCAAGUAUCCUCGACACAAAAUCUUUAUCCUCUCCCUCAAGGAAACACGCAAUAUCUAGAAACAUACUCUUCUGCUUGCGUGUUAAUUCAUUAAAACUAAUCUUUAAUAUAUCAUAAAUAUUAUGAAUAUCAGAUUCACAAAUCCGAUUUAAGUCGUUCAAUACAUUUUCCCAACGGCUUUUAUCCUUGAGGGAGGAACCCAACACUUUAAGAACUAAUGGAUUGCCAUCGGCAUACUCUACAACCCUCUGUGAGUGCCAGUUGAGAUCUUCAGCACAAUGCUUUUCUUUAAAAGCGAAGUUACAAAAAUGCUCGAAAGCCUCAUCAAAUUUCAAUCCAUUGACCCUAUAUAUUUUCUCCACUCCAAAUUUUUCGAGGACUCGUUUAUCCCUAGUGGUUACAACAAUUCUACUUCCUGGACCAUAUUGAUCAAGCCCUCCAAUCAAACCCUCUAAUUGUUCAUCUUUAUUCACAUCAUCAAGUGCAAUCAACACCUUCAUGCGUCGGAGCCUCCCUUUAGUAAAUUGUGGAAUGUUGGGACCAUCUACUUCAAGUUUUUCACUUAAUAUUGUCGAAAGCAUUUCCUUUUGUAGCUCUUCUAGGCCACCCCCUGUUUCUGAUUUUCUCCUAACAUUUUUUGCAAAGUAUUUUCCAUCAAACUCACCAGAGAAUUGAUCGAAAAUAGCUUCAGCAAGGGUGGUUUUGCCUAUACCACCCAUGCCCCAAAUUCCAACAAUUUGGACAGUAUCCCACAAAUCCAUGCACAGCAAUGGUUUAAUCUGCUCAAUUCGUGAAUUUAAUCCAACCAGGCCAUUGGAUGAGUCCGUUGAGACUGUUAUUUUUUCCAACUUCUUCAAAACAUCUUCGACAAUUUUGUUUACAAGUUGCGCAUCAUGCCUAAUAUGAAGGUGCAAAGAUGCAAAAACAUUGAGUCAAAUCGGGCCAACACAGAAACAGAGAUAAGAUGAAUUAGGAAAGAGAGUUACCUGAAUUUUGUGGAUUCGUGGCCAGCUAGAUGGGAUGUUUCUUUCAGUGCAUCCCUCCACUUUUGAACCAUUUCUGGUUUCUCUUUGAGCUGCUGUUCUAGCUUGUAAAAACCGUCCCCAAAAACUCCGGUUUGAUGCCGCACAUCAGAUGGACUUACUUCAUAGAAGACUGGAAUAAUAAUUUGGCCGUUUGUGUUCUUGCAUUCAAGAAUCUUGACAAGUUCAUUUAGGCACCAUUUUGAAGAAGCGUAGUCCUUUGAGAAAAUGACCACCGAAAUUUUUGAACCUUCGAUUGCGUUCAAAAGAGCAGGUGAAAUCUCAUCUCCUCGCCUAAGCUCUUCAUCAUCAAUAAACGUUUUGAUUUUCGUUCUUUCAUUCAAAUUAUAAUAGAGAUGGCAUGUAAAGCUCACGCGAGUGUCCUCUCCUCUGAAACUGAGGAAUACAUCAUAAUUGCAACAAGAAGAAGAGGAAGCCAUGAAGGAAAUUUUAGAAAUUUGGUGACAGAAACAGAGAAUUAAUCUUGAGAGUUGAGAGGGGAUAUGUAAGAAUGAAAAUGCGUAAAUAGUAAAUAAUUGAAUUAAUCUGGCGAGUACAUAGUAAAUAAUUGAAUGGCCGGGGCUUUCUUAGUUUCCUGGAAAUUUCCUGGAGCUUUCGUAUACAUGAUUUGUCAAGUCAAGAAACAUAAUCAUGAUAGGAAAUGGGGCAGACCAGGUAGGAAAGAAAAUUUGAUCCAACCAAUAAAGGAAGGAAAAGUAAAGAAAGAAAAUUUGAAAGUAGAUUCAGAGAAUUAUAAAAAGCUAAAGGAAAUUGGAAUUUUGUACCAUUUCUCCAGCCAGGAACUUUCAUUGUCAUUACCUCACUGUUACAGUUUGGAUUAAGAUUUGACUUUUGAGCAAACAUUCGCCAAAAUUUUACCUCUGCCUGUAAAUUCUUAAGUUUUGAAAAUUAUGAGACCUUUAUAUUGGGAUAUAUUAUAAUCGAAUCAAAACAUAAAAUUUUAAUAUUGUUAAUCUUUAAUCUUUUUUUUAAAAAAUUGAACAACAGAGUAAUUUCUAACAUAGAAAAAGUUGUAUAAUUGUCCAAUUAUUUAUAAUUUUAAAUAAUCCGGAUUGGUUUGUUAGAAAAUCAUCUCUUUGAUUUUUGAGAAUUUUUCAUAAAGAAUAGGGAAUAUAAUGUUCAUAUUUAAAGUAAGUAAGUAACACAUCUCAAUUGUUGAAAUUAUUUUUCCAUUAAAUUCAACGAUGACGAAUUAAAGUCAGAAAAUGACAAAAUCAGUGGUGGCUUGCAAUAAUUGCAAGGUCGCUGGACCCUUGCAAAAUGUGUGAAAGUAAAUAAUUGAAUGCACAGAGCUCGCUUUCUUACUUUCGUUCCGGUUUCCUGGAAAUUUCUUGGAGCUUUCAUAUACAGGAUUUGCCAUGUUAAGAAACAGGGUCAUGAUAAUGGGGCAAACAUUUGAUUGAACCAAUAAAGGAAGGGAAAGCAAAGUAAGGAAAAUUUGAAAUUAUAAGAAGCUAAAGAAACAUCCAACGUCAUUACCUCACUGUUACAAUUUUUAUUGAGAUUUGAGCAAGCACUUACCUAAACAUUACCUCCGCCUGUAAAUUUAUAACUUUUGAAAAUUAUGAGAUCUUAGAUUGCGAGAUAUUAAAAUUUAGAAUUUCAAUAUUAUUAUUCUUUUAAAAUGAAAUUUGAGAUAACAGAGUGAUUGAUAAUAUAGGAGAACUUGACCACGGUAGGCCAAAAAUCUAGGCAAGCACAUGCAUACACAGAAAUGUGAUGGAUUCUGAAAGAAAUUAAAGUAAUAAUGUACGUAGGUCCUUAAAAUAAAAAGCAAAAUCGCUUGGUGGCCCAGUAUAAUAUAUAUAUAUUAUAAUACAAUAUAAUACAAUAUAAAUUCAAUCCUUACCUGAGGCAUGGAUGCACAACGAGUUACCUGCCACGCUGGAGCACCUUGAGGUCAAUUGUUGCUCGAAUCUUGCUUUCUUGUCACGGAAUGGAAAUCUACCUCAGGCUCUUAAGUACCUUCGUGUUGAAGACUGUUCAAAGCUGGAGUCGUUAGCAGAAAGGUUGGACAACACAUCCCUUGAAGAAAUUGAUAUUUCAGGGCUUGAAAAUCUUAAAUCAUUACCUGCCGGUUUGCAUAAUCUCCACGAUCUUCAAAAGAUUUGGAUAUCUGAAUGUCCAAAUCUUGAGUCAUUUCCCGAAGAAGGAUUGCCUUCUACGAAACUGACUCUGCUCACGAUAUGUGAUUGUGAGAAUCUGAAGGCUUUACCCAACUACAUGCACAAUCUCACUUCAUUGAAAACUCUGCGUCUCGGUAAUUGUCCGAAGCUCACAUACUUUCCAGAGCAGGGCCUGCCUAAAUCACUUUUGGAACUAAUUGUCUCUAAUUGCCCGUUGAUAGAAGAAAGGUGCAGAAAGGAUGAAGGAAAAUAUUGGCCCAUGAUUUCCCAUAUACCUUGUGUCCAAAUUAAUUUCAGAUCAGUUUUUAAAGGAAGAUCCAUCAAUUAGAUUGUGUAAUCAUAAUUUCUUUUUUUUUUCCACCUGUAAUUUAAUUGUAAUAUGAACUGACUUUAUCAAUAAAAGAAUAAAAUUAUGUUUAGGAUUGUCAGUGAAGUUGAUAAAGUAAGAAGAGCAGAGGAAAGAAGUAAUAAGAGAAGAAGAAACUCCAGUUCAAGGAGGGAUGUUAGUGAAACUGAUUAAAUGAGAAGGAACAGAGAAAUCGUGUACAUGCUGUUAUUGUGCUCUUGACAGCAGCUAAGCAGCUCACUUAAGCUGACGUGGAUUAGUUAGUUAUUUGGUUUAACAAAUUAUCAUUUUAUAUAUAUAAAUGAUAAAAAAUUGAAUUUAUAUUGUAUUAUAAUAUAUAUAUAUAUUAAACCAAACCAAACUUAUGUUAUAUGGUUUUUUAAAAAAAACUUAUUUUAUAUGGUUAAAAGAAAACCUUAUGUUAUACGGUUUCAAAAAAAUAAACUUAUAUUAUAUGGUUUCUUAUUAAUAAUCACACAAACCUUAAGGACUACCAUUUGUUUUUUGAAAAAAAAAAUUGAAUCUAAAGAUUUUUGAGAAAUGACCCAUUAUAAGUUGAACUUAUAUUAUAUAUAUUUUCUCCUUACAUGGACAACCACAGAAAAGACCGACCAGUUAUCUCCAUGAACUCGUAUAAAUUCAACCAAAAUAACAAUUCCAAUCUUACCAAAUUCUUGAGUUAAAUUUAUUCAAUGCUUUUUUUUUAUAGGAAAUUUUUUCCAAUGCUACUUUUCCUUUUUUGGGGAAAUUAGACCGCGGUAUGUGUAGAAGACAUUGAGGUGUAAAGCGACAUUAAUUUCAUGGGUUAUGCGUUAUAGGCAUAAUAUAUUUUCAGUCCAGAUUCAAUUAUGCAAAGAGGCUUGAGAACUUAAAAUUAACCACAAACUAAACAGACGAAGUAAAUACAUGAUUAUGCAACAUAACAUUAAUUCUCUCAAUUUAUAACUGUUUUUGCUACAUGAAUCUUGCACAGUUAGUCCUAAUUGAAGACUAAAAAAGAACAAUUGGAACAAGGUUUUGGAAUAGAAUGAUAUACAAUCAAUAUGAUCCAUUUCUAGUGGCCAAAGCUAAUUAACUGCAAUUUCUAGACUCCUAAGUAUACUAGUCAUAGGAAACUGUUUAGAAAACUAGUGAUCAGAUUAGAUUUUGAAAAGAAAUAAUGUUCAUUUCCCCUUCUCUACCUUUUUUUUUUUUUGUUUUAUUUUUAUAGCAAAGAAUUAUAUCAUGAAAAGAAUCAAUUUAAUCACCUUUUCCAGCAGCCCAAUUUUUCUUUUAUAAAAUUGGACCACGGAGACAAAGAAGAAUUAUUCAUACCUUCAUCACUAAGGAAAUACUUUUCGGUAUGGCUAAGGUGAGAAAAGGCUUUCCACAAACACUAGUAGUUUGUAUUCCUAUAAAUUUUCUUUGAAGUCAAUAAAAACCAUAAGUUUUUUACAAUAACCAUCUCUUUGAUCAAAAAGUGCCGUAUUCCUUUAGAAUUUAAAACCGGCAAAAACCGAAUCGAUCAGUGUCUUUGAAGAGACAUAAUGGUCGUAAUUCUUUAAAUGAGUUGGCUAUGGAAAUCCUUAUCCAAGAUUCUUUUACGCCAUAUUCUUUCGUAAACCAAAAUUCAUUUUGGAAUACUCCUCGUCCCAACAUACAGAGACAGUCUGUCAUAACUUUAGCCGAAUACUUAUGAUAAUGAUCAUUUGUGAUUUCAUCAGGCAUAGGCAAGAACUUGAACUUGUCUACUACCAACCAAAAGCCGAAAUUCGCCUGCCACCCCCAAUGAUUCCUAAUACUAUUUUAAUACCAAGUUUGAUCACAAGAUAAGAAUCAGAUUUAACACUUUUCCAAGUGUUGUUUCUCAAAGAGAAGUCAUACACAUUUUAUUUUCUACCAGGAACUGUUGUACUAUCUAGCCAAAUGUAAAUUUCCGGUCUUGGUAUUCUCUUACCUCUCUAGUGGAAGGAUUGUAUAUCUUAUAUAAAUAGUUAUUAUAAUUACGCUCCGAGUCUCUCUUUAGUCCUCAAGCACAAUAAGCCAUUACAAGAACCCAAUAUCAAAACCGAUUCAUAAAGCUAACCAUUGCUUUAAUUUGCAAGUUAAAGAAAAAAUCACUUCAGGUUUCAGGGAUACUGUACGUAAAAUCGAGGAAGGUAACUGGAAAACACUUGUAUAUAUGUCAAGCAAACUGCAGGAUUUGUGAUUAUAUGUGUAAAAUAGAUAAGACUGAUAAUAUAGCAAUCGCAUAUACAUGCCAAUCCUAGUGGAGUAAAAGCUCUAUUGCCACUAGAAUUCUGUUCGUGGAAUUUGUUCUCAAAUUUCAACCGUAUGUAAAGUUUGAACUCUAAUUGCUUAUAAUGUAUUGAUUAAGAAUAAUCCUAAGAGUUCCUGAUUGAAAUUUUUUAAUGACUUUUUUAUUGUUUUGGAUAUACAAAUUGCAUUAAGAAAAAAUAUUGUCAAUUUCAGAGGAUAACGGGAAAUGAUUAUGCUUCAAAAGGCCAGAGAUUAGAGAAUAAAGAAGCAUUCAUUACUGAUAUACAAAAGAGAAACACUCCAAAAUUGCUAGCAAACUAGUUUCAUUUACUAUUUGGAUUUUGGAAGGGGUGAAGUUUUGAGCUUCAGUUGUUCCUCUAAAAUCAAAAGUAGCAAUUAAGCGUUCUCAUUUAGAAAGAGCAAAGAAGACUUAUUCGUACCUUACUAAAGCUAACAUUAUGGCAUGGUUGUUCAUAUAUAACGGCUGCUCUGUUAUGCUAGCUUCUCUGUUUUUUUUUUUUUUAUAUUACAUGAGACUAUUGCUCAAAUUACAACUCAUAUUACAUGAGAGUAUAACUGAUAUUUACAAAUCAAACUAUCACUGGGACCAAUUUACAUCAAUGCUAAUGGAACUCUGCCCAGAUUUUAACCCUCACAAAUAUUCGAGGGAUGUCUACUCCUUACUUUUAGGUAAGGGAGAAGACUACCUUCACUCAAUUUUAAUUGAGGAAGAAAAUAACCCCACAAUGCAUUUGCUUCUAUUUUUGCUUGCAGUUUUGAACAUAAAUUCUUGCUCAAAUAACCCAUAAUUAAAUAACACUAAUAUGGCUCGUGAAAUCCCAUAAUAGCUAAUUACGCAACUUUCUCCUCCUCCUCAAUUCUGUCUUCCCCUGCUCGUACACUAAAUUCAAAAUUCAAUGCCCCUAAAAACAACACAAGAAAUCUUUGAGAUAAUUCAUGACCAGUUUAUACAUAGUAGCAAUUGAAAAAGGAAAAAGAAUGAAAGAGUUAAUUAUUAUUCAGACCUUCACGUAUUCGGAAGUUUGUUCUGCUAUUGGGUGAGAUCAAGCUCUCAGCAUAUACUUCCAUAUGAUACUUUCCAACAUUUUCUUGAAAGCCAUCAAUCAUAAAAUCUUCAUACUUUUUUUCAUCCUUUGGAUCAAUAAGUACAAAUUUCUCGUCUAAAACAUACAAAAUAAAAUCAUUGUCCUUCUUGGAACAUAAUGGCUGCAAUGCCUGAAUUGAAUUGGCUAAUGAAAUUUAAGUCCAGGAUUCUCUCAGCCCAUAUUCUUUCAUAAUCCAAAAUUCUUUCGACCAUAAUGUUGACUCUGAGAUUAAACAAAGGCAAUUUCCUAUAAUUGAAUAUGAAUAUUUGGAAUGAUAUGGGCAAACAUUUUUCAGGUAAGGCUAAGAAUUUGAACUUGUCUUUUGCCAAAACAAAUGCCGCAAUCAUGUAAUCAGAAUUGAGCUUACAAAAACCGAAGUGGACAGUUCCAUUGAGAUUGGUCACCCGAGAACAAUGAUGAAAAAACUUAAAAUCAGUUUCAAAGGUGUUCCAAAGUAUUUUUCCUUAAAGAGAAGACAUGCACACCUACUACUACUUUGGCAUUUCUAUAAGAGUGAGAAAACCCUAAAACCUUGAACUCAUCUAUUGAUUGAGCAUAACCUAAGCUAACUAACGGUGUAUCUCUAUUAGUGAAGGGUUCAUAGUCGUUUGGUAUUCUCUUGAACUCUCUAGUUGAACAAUUGUAUAUAAAUAAAGUUUCAGUUGCAGUUUCAUCUCGGAGGGAUAAGCACAACAAAGCAUUACAAGGGCAGCAUAUCCUAAGACAAUCAAAAGAGCUUUCUUUAAUUGGAAAAUCAAACUGAUCUUCCGUAAUAAUUUUGCUAUCGAGGUCUAUACGGAGAAGAGAGUUUCUUACCAAGCUCUUGACCAUAUCAACAAGAACCAGCGUUUGUCCUUGUUGGUUUUUAGUUUGGUUGAUCUUGACGAACCGAGGAUUAGUAAUUAAGGCCCUGAAUGACUUGGAUAAACACUUGAAUAGGCAGAGAGACUUGGCGGGGAGUUUUGCAAACACAUCGACGAUGAUAUCUGGAGGAAGAGCCACAUUGCUUCUUCACCAAGUUAAGCAAAGACUUUAGGGUUUCUUGAUCUCAAUUUGGUAGCCGUGAUGUUUGUAAAGAGCAGUCAUUCGCAUAAAAACUAUUAAAUAUAUUAUUUUUUUAUUCUAAAACAAUAUCAAAGCAUUUUUUAAAUACUGCUCCGUUAAUUUUGAAGUAAAGUUUUUGGGCUCCUUUCAAAAUAUUUUGCCUCUACUCCCAAAUGGGGGUUUUUAAUUAAAUACCCUUUAAUAGUUUUAAAAUUAUUUAAAUACCCCAUCCUUUUUUAGUUUUCAUGGAUACCCUAACAAAUGUGAGUAAAGUCAGAAAUACCCUUAAUGAAUGCAUCAAAUUCACUCAAUGAAUUGUCUUCAUAUUUCUUUCCUCAUUUCUUUCACCCAAAUCUAUUUUUGCUGCCGAUUCUCUCAAAGUCUCUUAGAAUCUCUCAAAAUCUCUCAUAACUUCUUACACAAAUACAAUUAUGUAUUCAUUUCUUUAACACCCACUCUUUCUUUAAAGGUGCAUUGCUUAUUAAACAACCCAAUAAGAGAUGUUAAUGUUGUUAGGUUUUAAAUUUUUUAAUUUUUAGGAAAAUUUAGAAAUUUUCCUCACAUUACAAUGUUUUAUUUUCACCAUUUUUUCUUAUAUGUAGAAAUUUAUGCAAUGUAGGUUGUUUGAUUAUUUUUUUCAGCAAUAUAGCUUAUUUAUGGCGAAAAUGUUUCGCGUUAUGCAUUCUUUUGAUAUCGUGUACGUCAUAUAGUUAGUCAUAUAGGUCAUGUAAAUAAUAUAGUCGUGUAAGUCGUGUAGGUCAUGUAAGAAAUAUAGUCAUGUAAGUCGUGUAAGUAAUAGAGUCGUGUAGGUCGUGUAGUUACUUGUAUAUGAAAUUUGAUAUUAUUAUUUUUAUUGUAUCAUCAGAUAUGGGAAGUGGCUCGUUCUCACUUCGAGGGGAGGUGUUAUGGGAUUAUGACAACUAACAUUGCAGAAAGUAUGAAUUCUCUCUUGAAAGAAGCACGAACCUUGCCUAUUCAUAAGUUAAUGGAUUGUAUCAUUGACAAAUUACAAGAAUAGUUUGCAAAAAGGCGAGAUAUGGAAAUGGAUGCAUGUACUCUAAUUUGUUGCAUUAUGAAAUAACUAAAUUUUUUUACAUUCCAAUUUAAUUUCACUUCUUUGUUUUUAUAAUUUCAGUUGACAUUUUCUACAUAGCAGCAAAUAUAAAUUCUUAGCACCAAUUAAGUCUUUAAAGAACUAAAUUAAUCUAAUGAUUAUUGGAAAAAGUCGUGUAAUACAAGAAGUCGUGUAAUACAUGAAGGUGGUGUAAUCGCAUAAUAUAUGAAGGUCGUGUAAUACACGAAUAUAUUACAUGACCUUACACAACCAAAUCGUGUGUUCAUAAAUUACAGCAAAAAAAUAAAUUUGCAUAUUCGACAGUUUGAGAAAUGAUUAGAUUAAUUAUUAUAAACAAACAAAGUUAUUAGUUUACAAUGUCAAUAUUUGGAUAGGAUACACUAAUGGGCAUCGCAAUUAAACAAAUUACAACCAUUUAAAAAGUUUUUUUUAUCUUCAAACUGUUUUCUUCCUCUGCCCAAGCAUACAUGAGGAAUGUCUGCAAAUAAUAAAUUCAUGAAAUCAAUUAGAAACAACUCUUAAUCAAAGGCUGCUUGAAAAAACCACUUUAGUUAAUUCUUCCUAUUAAUAGCCCAGGACCAUUGAUAGUGAUGGCCUAUAAAAUUUCAUUUUACUAAAUCAAACUAUUCCACCAGCAAUGACUUCAUUUAAAAAAACAAUACUCACAUGUUAGUUGUUCUCCGAAAGUAAUGACUGGUCAUAGAAAAGUCUUUCAGCAAGUUGCUUUCAUGAAGGUCGUGUAAUUGCAAUACAUGAAGGUCGUGUAAUCGUGCAAUACAUUAAGGUCGUGUAAUCGUGCAAUACAUGAAGGUCGUGUAAUACACAGCCUUAAAUCCUACAUAACCUUACACGACCAAAUCAUGUGUUACAUGACAAAAUUAUAAUCGGCACAAUCCAUCAAAUUUUCACAAUUUGCAUGCAGCAAGACAACUAGAAAUUUAUUUUUGAACAUGUAAUGAGAGACCCGCAACUAAUUAAUCUAUAUUUUCUAUAGAAACCCUAACUUUUUGUUUUUUUUCCCCGAAUAUCAACAAGAAAACUAAUUAUAGGGAAUUGCUUACCUCAACUAGUUACAUUAUGACCAUUUUAUAGUAAAAGAUCAACUCUCACCGAUGAUUAUGUAGCGACAAACUAGGCUUCUCUUUCUCAGUUGUGGCAGCUUCUCCUUCUCAGGCUCAGUUUGCUCGUGUUGAAGUUCGAUUUAGCAUGUAUGGAAAAUGAAUAUUUGUUUCGGUAGAGGUGAUGCCGGUGAGGGAAUUGCAGAUGUGAUGCUGGUUGAUAUUUGAUUUAACAUGUAUGAGAAUGGAGGAUGAGUGUUUGUUUGUUUGAGUAAAGGUAAUGAAAGGAAUUGCAGCAGAUAUGAGUGUUUGUUUACUUCAGUAGAGGGGGGAGAGGUGUUGUCCGUUGAGUUGAAAUGUUUUAAAAUGAGGAUAACUUAGUAAUUUCCUAUCAAUUUUUAAAAGAUAUUGAUGAAAAUUUUGACAAAAUCAAAUUUUAAGGUAUUGAGAUAAUUUUUGAAGUAUGGAGGUGUACUUGCCGCAAUUAACUUUCCCAAAUGCCCAGCUAAAUACCCAAUGAAUAGCUCCGCCUCGAAUAUCAGAUGAAUAUCUCCAAUGAAAAUCACGUUCAACUCUUUUUUUUUUUUUUUUCCUCCCCAAGAGCUGGUUUUCACAGAGAAAACGUCUACAAUUUUUUCACAAAAACCAAAUUUCACAAUUUUGUAGUCAUCAAUUUGCUCAGCAUAACAAAACCCAUAUAAACUUUUCACUAUUUUACAUAUAGUAUAAUAUAACUCUUCUCCUCAGUCCUCAGUUCCCUCUUAUGAGAAAACUAAAAUUCACGUCUCCUUCUUCGAUAACAAAUUCACGUUAAAACCCUCAAAAACAACAAGACUUGCCAAUAUUUUAUAAUAAAGAAGAGAGAAACAAUGCCUUCAUAUCCUCGAAGUAAAUGAGAACUUGCAAUAAUUAAAGUAAGUAGUAACAUACGGUUUGCGACCCUGUUGAUGAUAGGCGUCUAGGCUAGCAAGUGGCUUUAGUAUGUAAAACUAUCUAGAAUCAAAAUCUAUGUACAUUCGAUAAGCGGGUCGGUCAGCAGAGUAGUAACCUUGGAUCAGGGUAUCAACUUGGAAACCAAAUUUCUUGUAAAGAUUCACAGCGGGAGUUCUCAAAGGAUCAACAUGAAGCGUUAUGCGGAGCACAGUUCUGGUUCUGCAUUUCUUAAUUGUUGCUUCCAGCAGUGCCUCUCCGUGACCUUGUCCCCGAUAAUUCUCCUUCACUAAUUAAGUUCACCCCAAAACCCAUUAAUUUCAUGUCAAUUAAAAAAAGAAAAGAAAAUGAAUAACUAACAAAUAUUUCUUUGAGGACUUUUAUCAAACAGUUGAGAUUACGGGCAUGCAGUGGAAAUUUCAACAAUGUGGACAAAGAUAUGGGACCUGCAAGCUUGGUGAUAGAAGCAGACAAGGAAGUAGGCCACGCGUACAUGACGUAGCCAACGACUUGUCCAUGAAUAUGAAUGUAAAGCAGGCCUGAGUUCUUCUUUUUCAGCUCUUCAUCAAAAGAUCUUGCCAGUGAUUCGUGCUUGGGAAAAAUCUUCUUCUCCAUCUUCACAAUCUCGUCCACUACGACAGUCCAGUUCGUUGAGUUUCUCUGCAGCUCCGUGACGGUUCCAUUACUCCCCAUGGCACGUGGCUUGUUGCGACUUACAGUUGAUCCAGCACGUACAGAAAAUUAGAAAUGAAGCCUCCUAGCAUUCUUUCGAACAGGCAAAAAAGUCAAUGGACAUGGAGGCGCCAUGUGUGGAAAUGUUAAGAGGAUGAUGAAGCCCCCAAGAGGCCAGCGUGGCGUGGCAUUGCACCUCAUCAUUUUUUUAAUGCUAAUCUGUAGAGCGGCCCAAAAUGACGGCACAAUAUAUAGCUGGCAAAGCCCACCCAAGCCCAACUAUUUGGGCCAACAUAUCAUAAAUUAAAACAAAUAUAAAAUGCACUGUACAGCGCAGACAAAGAUGCUUUGUGCAGAGAUGUGUUUUCUUUAUGGGUCCAAUUAUAUUGGUACCGCUCUAAGGUAGAGUAUCAUUUCAUAACUACAUUAUCAAAAUCAUAAUUAUUUUUUUAUUAUUUAUUACUUUGCGUGUGUGACUGAGAUUCGUGAUCCAUCAUAGAUCAGCUCCAACGUAACAGAAGCCUUCUUUUAUUGCUCAUCAUCUUUAGCAAACAUUCAUUGGCUUUGGAUGUUGCUACAAUUUAUUUUGCAUAAUUGAAAAGUAUAGUAGAUGUGCAUAAUGUUAGAAAUUUUAUUAUAAUAUAACAAAAUACGUAAUAACUUAUACUAAGAUGUUAAGAAUUCAUUGUGCCAAAUUCCUAUAUUUGUCUAUAAUAAAUCAAAAUUUCAAAAUAUAAAAUAUGGAUAAAAUUAAAUAGAAAAUGAUUCAAUUUAUAAAAUUAAAAAUGAAAUUUGAUUAAAUCAUAUUUCUAAGUAUGAAUAUUUAGUUAAACAUUUUUGAAAUAAAGAAAAUUAUUAAAAUUGAAAAAACAAAUAAUUAAAAAAUAGAAUUUUAAAAUUGAAAUAAAACUAAUUUUAUUGAUUGAUAAUAUAUUACAAAGAGAGAUGAGAAAAAUAAAUUGAGGUGAAAGAAGAGAAGAGAAGGUGUGUAGAGAUGUGUUCCACCCUCUUCUAUUUAUACUAAUACAUGGUUAAUCCAGACUACGCAAAUAAAUAAAACUAAUUACACCUUAACCGUAUAUUUGUCACACUGAUAAAACACAAACUUAACUUAAUCCACUAAUGCAUAUCCAACACAUUCCGUUAACAAUUACCAUAAAGUAGUGUACUAGGGUAUAUACAUAAUCAUUUUACAUAACUAUACGCUGAAUGUAAUACAUCAGCAAACUUGGAAAUCAUACAUUCAUUACAAAACUGCACCAUAUAAUACCCAGAGGAAAUAAGUCUCAAUACUUACCGAGAUCAUCAUCGCAUGAAUAGAGGAUAGAAAACCUUUCAAUACCUAACAAAACUUAACUACAUCAUACAGGUAAAGUAAUUUAACUCUCAAUACACAAUGCACAUAGCUUAUAAAGAAGACUACAUAUAUGAUGAUUGGCAAUCACAUAUCAUGACUCAAUUAAAUAUAUAAUACGUGUAUAUAAAAUCAUAACAUGAUAUUAAAUCAUAUUAUCAAUCAUAAAUGCUUCAUAGAAUACAUAAUGGUAAUAAUUGUCUCUACUCACAGAUUUUGUUUCACUCGUGGGUUCGUUGGGGCUCCUGUGGGUUUCUAAAUUCUUGAAAUUCUCAUAAAAUGCAGGAUUCAAAAAUUAACUGUUAGAACUGAUAUAAAAAUUAAUACGUACGAUGUAAAUUAAAUCAUAAUUUCUUAUAUUUCACAAAUCUAUUACCCACUGACUCACUUAAUAUAGAUCUAACUGUCCAAUUCUAUUUCUUAUAAUAUUUCUCUCAAUUCCACUUUUCAAAUUCUUUUCCACUCACAACUUUUUAAUUUUCUUUUUCACUCUUUUCUUUCUUUUCCUCAUUUCCCACUCUCGGCUUCUUUCUUUUCUUUUUCUUCUCUUUUAUCUUCUCUACUUUCUUAUUUCUCUCAUGUUUCCUUUAUUCAUUCUCAGUGCUCAAAUUUGAUAAAAUGAAGCAGUGUCAAAAUUUUGCAUUUAUAUAGCCACCAAACAGCCACCGAAUUGAAGCAAGUAGCUCUCACUUUUUAAAUAUAUGUAGGCACCACUUGAAGCAAGUGAAUAUGUAGCUAGCUGCUUCCAAUUGCCUGCACUUGUGCUAUAUAAUUGUAAAAUUGGACUUGGGUUUGAGAGGCCUCUUCAAUGCUUUCUAUUCUCCCGUAAUUAUUGUUAUUAGAAUAUUCCAACCUAGCCUACGUACAACUGCAUUCUUCACUCGUGCUCAUCGUAGGCCUCUUUCAGCCAAUGGUUAAUACUAAAAAACUUAUCACCCAUAUAAUUUUUUAAUUUGUGUGUAGGGUAAUAAUAAAAUUGAAAAUAAUUAAAAAAUAGCACAAUAAUGAGUUUUCACAAUAAAACAAAUCAAAUGAAAAUUGAAAAUUUAGAAAAGUGUAUCUAAAAAAAAGGAGCAUUUUUGGAAAUAAAAUGAAUAUAACUAAAAAGGGGCUUUUAUGAGAAGAUCAUAGGGGUGUCAAUAGUCCAACUCUUAUAUUUAAAGUUAUUUUGACUUUGUAUUUCCGAUGAUAUAUUUAUUAGGUAAUUUUUAAUUGAGUCAUUAUUUGUAGAAAAUUUUUCUGAGACCAGAAGUUUAUAAAAUGAAUCAAUUAAAUCCCUCUAAGUAUAAAUUUAUGUCAUUCAAGUCUUUAACUUAAUUUCUUCGUUAAAAUUAUUAACAACAUCAAGGACAUUUUAGUUAAAAAACAAUUAAGCACCUUCUCAUUCUUUAUUUUUGACAGCCAACAAUAGUUUAAAGUAAACUCAAGUAACCUAAAUUAAUGUUCUUUAAAAAAAAAGAAAAAAGAAAGAAAGAAAAGGUUAGUUAAUGUGUAGGCAAGCAAUAUCACUUCAUCAACUGCACAGAUAUGAUUUCUUUUCAAGCAAGUGGAUUUCUUUUAUAUAUAUUCAUCAUGUUAUCAAAUGAAUUAAUAAAUUGGUGAUCCUAGUGAUGUGUAUGGAACCAAUAGGAUAUCACUAGCUAUACAUGUUUGAUUUGAUUGUGAAAUCCUAUUGAUUAAUUGUUUUUAAUAAAAAGAAAUUGAAGUCUCUUUUUUCUUUUUUCAUUUUUGGACGGCAUGGAAUUAGCCCACAAUCUCAAUAACUAGAUGUCAAUGAAUAAGCAAUUGACAAUAAUUCUAAACAUGCGAAUUAGACUUCAAUCAAUGUCACUCAACCUGUGGGACAACAUACACAACUUUUAUGGGCUGUAUCUCAACCUCAAAAUGAAGAACCAAUGUUAUUGACAAUGAGUAGAAUAGUACAAUAUUCACCUUGAGCUGGCAUUUAAUUCUCCAAAAUAGAAUCUAGAAGACAAUUAACUAUUUCUUGUACUUGAAUUUCAGUUUACCAUAAUGUUGUCAAGGUGUUUCUUAGUUUCAAUUUAAUUGACCUUCAUACUUUUAGUUUUAUUUUUAGACCGAAUGUUAUUGUGGUUUUUCUAAUAUUAUAUUCAAUACAUGUUAUUUAGUUUAACAAUCAUCGUAUAUUUUAUAAAUGUGACGGAAUUACAUUUUCAUGUGUAAUUCCAAGAGUUAUUAUGGUUAUGUUUUUUAGUGGUGCUCUCUUUAUUCGAAUUAGUUUAAAAACUAAAGAUUUUGUUUAAAUUGUUGCAGAAAUUUGUUCCCGAUUACUCAAAUUGGUAAAUAGGCUAUUAGGCUCUGAAAAAAAAAUUAAUGCAUAAGGGUAAAAUUGUACUUUAAAUCACUAAUAUGAUAUAUAUGGGAAUAUAGUUAUCUUUUUAUGUUUAAAUUAACGUUUUCACUAACUUUUAUGGCCAAAGAAUUAGGUGAAGAAUCUGAAAGACAUAAAUUUGUAUUUAAAAGGAUUUAAUUGAUUCAUUUUAUAAACUUUUGGUCUUUGAAUUUUUUUUCUAUAAAUAAUAAUGACUCAAUUAAAGAUCAUCCUAUUUAUUAUUGGCUGUUUAAAAAAACAAAAGAGAUGACUAGAGUUUAUCACUUUGACUAUAACGUGGGUCAUAUUGGUAGUUGCCAUGAUGGCAUGUCGAAUUUGGGAUGAUACGUUGAGGACUUGAGGUUGGAUUUCUUUCAGCUUAAAAAAAAAAAAAGUAUGCGGCCAAAAUUUUGCUUAAAAGGUUAAAUGUACCCCUGUCAAAGGACCAUCUCACCUCUGACCAUUUAACUUCUACCGUUAAAUCUGGUAUAUUUAACUAGUUUUGACCUAUGCAAUGAUUUUUUCUUGCAAGUUGUGUCAUGUGUGGAAGGGUAAAUUUGUUUUUUUUUGGGUGAACUUGUUCUUUUCUUAAAAGUUUCGGGGCUAUAAGUCUCUUAACUUAAAGUUAUAAUUAUAAUUGCACUAAUGAUACAAUAAAUUUUUGAUAAAUAAAUAUUUAAGAAAUUAAUAACUUUGGGUAAAUAACACACUUCUCCCGCCCCAACUUGCACUAUUUAAAUUAAUAAUUUCAUUUAAUGCAUAUGAUAAUAUUUUUUUUAAAUCCAUUAAGGCCCAAUGAAAAUAUAAAUUAAUAAUUAAUUAAAUAUAAAAAUUCAUAACUACUAAAAUAUAAAUUUGUAACAUUAAAGAAUUCUGUUUUUCUUACAACUUCAAUCAUCUAAAUUAAACUCUUUGCAAAUAAAUGCAUAUAGAGUUGUUUGCUUUUUUUUUUAAUAUUUAUUCCUAAAUUGAAUUCAAUCUCCUCUCUUAAUUUUUUUUUUUUUUUUUGUAGAGCAUGCACCACAUUUAUAACUUUUUUUUUCAUGUUUUAGAAAGUAGUUACUUAAUAUUAUUAUUGCUUGAAAGACCUCUUUUGCAGAAAUAUUUGGCAAACACAAUUAUCAUAUGAAUCGUAAUUGUCAUCAGCAUAGUUAUCUAAUACCCUUUUAAUAAUCUGGUUGAAUUAGUGAGUGAUUCCAUCACUACAGCUAUGCUAUUAAAUAUAGUAGUCAUCAGAGGAGAUAUUGUUGACAUGAGGAAGUACGAUAUGUGUUUAUACAUAAGUAAAAAUAUUGAUAAAACUCUUCCUAAAAACAAAAUAACAAAAUUAUGUUUCUAAAUUAAUAAAUAUUCAUUGAUCAAUAAAUUAAUAAAUUAUUAAAAUUUAUAAAUAAAUAAAUUCUCUAAAAUGAUAUUUUUUUCUUAGUCCUAGCAAGUAGCAAUAUUAUUUUAUAGAGGUUUUAUUUUAGUAAUAGCAAUAGUAUAAUUAUAAUUAUUAUUAUCAUUAUAUAUAAUAAUUAGUUAUAAUAUUUACUAUUAUGAUAGUUAUCAUUAUAAUUGUUAUUAUAAUUGUUAAUUAUCACUAUCAUUAUUAUUAGUUAUUUUACUAUUUAUUAUUAUCGUUAGCAUAGUAGUAAGAUAUUAUGUCGCUAUUAUUAUUACUAUUAAUUUUUUUAUUUUGUAAAUGGGGCAAAUUUCAAAUUUUAAAAACUAUAAGAAGAAUUUCAUUAUUUCCACUAGUUUCAUUCUCAUAUAUAUAGAUACACACACAUAAAGAAAUACGAUCAAUUAUUCACAUUUCUCUAUCCCACGAAUAAAUACUGUAAAUUAUUAUUUUUUAAAAGAAAAAUAUCAAAACGGUGUGGGUCCCAGCAUAAGCCUUCUAACCUACCUUCUCCCUGUAGAAAAAAAAGAAAAGAAAGAAAAACUCAACUUUUAGGAAAAUGUUUUGGAAAAUGAGAUUCUUCCCACGUUAAGCACCACAAUAAGCACCAAACGGUGCGUUUUGGGCAUAGUAUAAAAUGAGCCAACUCACGUGAUACACACAUAGCCACCAGUAAACACGCGCAGUAGAUCUCACGCGAUAUACACCUUUUCUCCAUUUGCUCUCACAAAAAUCUCACCGUUUCUCUCGCUGUGUCUCUCUUUGAUCUCCAUUCUCAAACUUUCUCAGGCAGUGGUGCUCGGCGUUGGUCUCUGGCCGUGGGUUUCCGGCUGUGGGUCUCCGGCCGUGGGUCUCUCACCGCUGGUCUCUCACCGUGGGUCUGCUCUCUCUCUUCUCUAUCAUCUCUAUUCUCAAACUUUCUUAGGCAGUGGUGCUCGGCGUUGGUCUCUCACCGUGGGUCUGCUCUCUCUCUUCUCUACCGUCUCUGUUCUCUCGAAUUGUAUAGGUAAUGGCAAAUUUCCGUGAGUUGAUUUUUAAUUUUUGAAAAUCCAGUUGAUAUUGUGAGCUUAAUUACACUUGGAUUGAUGUUGUAGUCGAAUUGUAUAGGUAAUGGCAAAUUUCCGUGAGUUGAUUUUUAAUUUUUGAAAAUCCAGUUGAUAUUGUGAGCAAAUGAGACAAUUAUUUUCAAUAGUCUUAGGAGAUGGCCUUGUGCUGGAGAUGGGAUUUUGAUAGCCUUAAGAGAUGGUCUUGUGCUGGAGAUGUCAUUUUGAUAGUUAUUUACAUGCAGUUUCUUGGUUACAAUUGGCAAUCCGUUAUAUCCUUUGAACUUGACUACUACAAAUAUUCCAAUUGAUGGAUGAGUUGAUUAUUCUUGUGUUCCUCUUAGACAUUUUUGAAAUGAGUGGCAAACAGACCAUAUUUUUCUUCUUUUUGUUUUCUUUGUAAUUGAAAUUGAAUAAUUUUAUUUGAGCUGAAUGAAAUUAGUGUAGACUUUUUGUUGUACUUUUGAGAUGAAUGCAGUAAGAUGUAUUUCUUUUUUUUUGGGGGAGAAAAAAAGAAAAUUAGACCUAGCACAUACUUAUGUAUUUCUUUUUUUUUGUCUUUGCCUAGGUGAAGUUGAAUUGGUGGUCAUUAGCAUAAAGAUGCAAUUGGUAAUUUUGAAGUUGGUUCAGUAAGCUGGUUUUUAAUAAAUUGACUACCAUUUUUUCUUUCUGGAAGGAAUCUGGGUUGUUGUGUAUAUUGAACAGAAUUUGUUCAAUCAUUAUGUCUUCAAGCACAAGCGAAAUGCAAACACAACUAAAAGCUUGUGAUAAAUGCUGCAACAACAAUAAGGUCUUGCAAACUUCACGUACAAAAGAAAAUCCGAAUCGUAGGUUUUGGAAGUGCAAAGGAUGUGGGGCUUUUGAAUGGGAUGAUGAUUGGAAGAGCAGUGAAUGUACUGAUUUUAGAGGGAUGGAAGAUCGUAUUAUAAAUUAGAAUAAAAUUGAGAUGUUGAUAGCAGAAGUCCGCAAGUUGGGCCAUCAAAUCGAAUGCUUAUCUCUUAAAUUUCAGUUGCUUGAGCAAGAACUUCAACGAAGACAACAACCAAGUGUUCUUGUAACAUACAUCCCGCAAAUAAUGAUAACUCUUUUAAUAUGUAUUAUAUUUAAGUUGUGCAAUUAAUUAAUGUAUUGUUAUUUUUCUUUUUCUUUUUGGCGAAUUGUAUCAUGAAUGCUUCAGUGGAUGUAAACAAAAACUAAUGUUUCUGUAAAGGGCAGGAAAGAUUAUGCUUAUGAUUGUUGCUGUCAUUUUAAUUUGCCUUAUCAUUUGCAUCUUUCUGUCAUUUGAUCCCCAUAACUAGUUUGUAAGGGAAUUGUUCCAUGCUUUUUCACAAAAUAUAGAUAAUUGCUGCACAUUAAAAACACAUUUAUUCUUUAGGAAAUAAUUAAAGAAUAACAAAUCUGCAGUUACAGAGGAUCAAUUCCAAUAGCAUACAAUUAAAAAAUAACAUAAUAUCAUUUAUCUCUCCACCAUUUCAGUAGCACACAAUCAAAGAAUAACAUAUUUGCAGCAUCUCCUCAAUUCCAAUAGCAUACAAUUAAAAAAUAUCAGAAUAUCAUAUAUCCUCUCACCAUUCCAGUAGCACACAAUUAAAGAAUAACACAUGCAGCAUAUCCCUCCACCAUUCCACCAGCAUAUAAUUCAAAAAUAACACAUGCAGCAUAUCCCUCCACCAUUCCACCAGCAUAUAAUUCAAAAAUAAAACAUGCAGCAUAUCCCUCCACCAUUCCACCAACAUAUAAUUCAAAAAUAACACAUGUAGCAUAUCCCUCCACCAUUCCAAUCCAAUAGCACACGGCCAAAUAAUAACACAGCUGCAGCAUAUAAAUCUAAUAAAGGAUCAUGCAUAGAUAAAAAACAAUUUCAUGUAUGAAAUCCACAAUCUUACAUAUCAUAGCCAAGGGCUUGUAUCCGAAUAUUAAUGAGAAUAAAACAAAAACAAUGCUAUUCUAGGAAAUCACUUCGAAACUCCUUAUCAACUUCAUAUUCACUAUCUUGCUGAAAGAGUAGCUGCUGAAAAUGUCCAUGCGGCUGGAAUUGUGGUUCCUAUUAAAAAUAAAUAAAUAUUUUGUUAUAAUAAAAGAAAAUAAAGUAGAUAAGAUGAAUAAAUACUAAAUUUAUCACCACUUACCGUACAAGAAUUUUGUGUAGGUGUUGGAUAAACAUUAUCCCCAACCAUAUGAUGUAAGCUCAUAAGACCCUAAAACAAACAUACAUUAAAUGAAGCGAUAAUAAAAAAAAUUCAUAACAUAUACUAUGAAAAACUUACAUUACAAUAGUCCAUAACUCCAUGUGGGUACAUAUUCAUAUCAACACAACUUCCUUCAGGAUUUUGAAAUGCCUAUAGAGGAUCAAUAAUAUAUUAGAAAAAUGUCUAUGAUUAAGUAAUAAAAAUCAACGACAUGCAUAUGAAUUCCAUAAAACCUACCGUAACAACAUUGUUCUCGUGUGUUGGGAUCACAGUCAGCACUUGCUCGUUCACCUGUCCAUCCUGCAAAGUCAACAAAACAUACAUUUGAACAUCAUUUAUCUCAUAAAUUUUUUAACUUUAAUUAAAUUGAAAAUACAUUUUAAAAGUACCUUUGCAUUAGAACGUGAGGAAUUCAUUUUAGAUUUUGAAAAUUUAUUAUAUUUUUUUCUUUGACAAGGUGGCCGACCUUUACGACGCCGAGCUACUGGAUCUCUAACUGUUUCUACUUCCACACUACAACUUCCUUGGCCUGUAACAAUAGUUACUUCAUUAUCUCCGCAAGGAAUUGCCUUUGAUCAAUCCUCCCGUACAUUCUCAAUCCAAUUGAAAACAAGAUUAGAGCUUUCAAUCUUAUGUGCAGCCAUAUUCGCAACCUCCGCGAAAGUAGCACACAUUUUCUCAUAUCGUUUUUGCUCAUCCGUACAGCUAUGAAGCUCAUAACUCGCUUUCACUCUACUAUGGCAUCUCCACACAUCUUUUCUCCAUCUUCGUAAAAUAUACUUUUCUGGAAGUACUUCUACGUCAUUGCGGAUCAUGAUUGUAAUGGCAUGCCUACAAAGAAUACCUCUAAAUUGGAACCUUGAGCAGCUGCAACGUAUUUCACCAUUUUCUUUUUCAAAAUAUACUUCAAAAAAGGUUCUCUUUUUACCCUCUCCAACUUUGACAUCCUCUCUAACUAUAUAUUCACAACCCAUAGAAUUGACAAAUUCGCAAUACAUUUUCCCAAUCAAUUCUUGCUGAAAUUCUUGAAAUUUUGAAAUAGUGUACACAUCUCGGACUUGCCUCUCCAUUGCAUAAGAUGUUACACGUGGCAUUUGUUGGGAAAGACACCUGACAUCUUCUUCAACUUCCUUCUGAACUUUAUUCUUCAACGCACAACUGUAUUGCUCUACAAACUGCUUCAAAGUAGUCUUUAAGUUAACAUAACCAUCAAAAAAUGCAUUCAUACUUUCACUGCGUUGAGUAGAUUACAUUCCUGCCCAAAAAGUAUUGUUUAGAUAACAAGGUACCCAAUGAUGCCUCUCAUCAUAUAAGCCUCGUAACCAUUCGUUAUCCCCCAAAUCAUAUUCUAUAAUCAUGUGGUGCUAAGUUUCCUCAAAUUUUGCAGCACUCUGGGAAUCAUAAACAGCACAAUGCAAGACAUUACUUAUGUUGCGAUAUUCUUUAUAACCCCCUAGCUUCUCUGGAAUUUUCUUCAUUAUAUGUCAUAAACACCACCGAUGUCGAGUAUUGGGGAAGACAUUCUGAAUUGCAACUUUCAUUGCCCUGUCUUGAUCUGUAAUGAUUCCAUUGGGAGCUGAAUUAGACAUGCAGGAUAGCCAUGUUCGAAAUAACCACGUGAAUGUCUCAAUAUCUUCGUGUGAAAUCAAUCCACACCCAAACAAAAUAGAAUGCCCAUGAUGAUUAACUCCUACAAAUGGAGCGAACGGCAUAUCAUACUUAUUUGUAAGAUACGUGGUGUCAAAUGUAACAACGUCUCCAAACUCCUUGUACGCUUCCCUAUUCCUUGGUUAUGCCCAAAAAACAUUUUUUAAUCGUCCCUCAUCAUCCACUUGCACACUAAAGUAAAACCUAUUAUCUUCUGCUUGCACUUUCAUAAAAUAGUUUUGAAGAGCAGCAGCAUCUCCAUCUCCAAGCCGUAAUCUUCUUUCUUUCUGAACAUGAUUUCUACAAUCUCUUUCUAUGAAUGUCACAUUUUCAUGACCGCUAGCCUCAAUAACAAGUGAUUGAUAAUUUUUACACAAUCUGAUUCCUGCUCGAUCAUUCACAUCAAGCAUCUUUUUUGCAUAUGUAUUGAGGCUAAGAUUGCACCGAAAAUACUUGGAUUUGGUUGGAGUUAACAGCACAUGGUUGUGUUCAAGAUUUAAGCUUCGAAUUGUCCACUUUCCAUCAUCCCCUAAACCAGCUCUCAAUCUAGCAUUGCAGCUUGUUUUUGCAUUAGGUUGGGGCUUUAAAAUUUUCACAGAUUUGCUUCUUGUUUCACCACUUCUCCCACAAGCAAAAGUCACAUUUCUAAAUAUCCCAUCACUAUCCUUUCUACUAGUUCUCCUCAAAACCGGAAACCCUUUUCUUUUACCGUACUCUUUUAAGUAAAUAAACAAAUCGACAUCACUAUCAAAUGACAUCCCAAUUAUUGGCUCAUCAUCCUCCUCAUUUUUCUCCAACUCUUCAACUUCGAUGUCCUUUUCCAUAUUAUUUAUUUCUACAAAAUUGAAAUAAUUCACAUUGACAAAAUGAAAGUAACAAAAUACAAAUAAUUCAGCACAACCUUACAAAACUAAACUAACUAAUGAUGCAAAUUGUGAACACAAAUUUAAUAUAUACCAGCUGAAUUUGCAGCAUAUAUUUAUUUAUUUCGUGCUUACUAUUAACUUUGUAAUAGACAAUUAAACAAAUAAGUAUGGAAUAAUUUAUGGCAGUGUAAAUUACUAGCUGAAUCUGCAGCAUAUACUAGAUAAAAUGCCGAUCACUGUCUUGAUUUUUUAUUUUUCCAUUUCAUUAAGUAAUUUGUUUAACUUAAUUUAAAUUAAAAUAAUGGGUUGCAAAUUGAAAUUUAAGUGAAAUGGGCUGCUGCCAUUUCCUGCCUUGAGUUGAUAGAAAGGUGCUUACGGUCUACAACAUAUGAUGCGGGUUUUUGCCCAUGCCUUUUUGUUUAUAGAGAUCGACUAGACAAGUUUUUUACAAGACAAUGCGUCAUUGGAGAGGAUGAAAUGGUUUAGGCUCCUAAGGGCUGCAUUCUUUUUUUUUUUUUCUUUUUCAAUGAAAUUAAAAAAAAAAAGUAUAUCCUGGAUCGCAAUUAGUGCGUCUACGAUUUAACUAGUCGUCUUGAACAAAGAUUCUAUAACUCCUAAUCUGUAGCAUAUACGCAUCCAAUGCAUACCUGCAGAAAUUGAUUGCCGCAAUCGACGAUGAGUGAAGUCAGUCACCAAGAUGCAACUCAAUUCUUCACACAGCUAAGAGGAUGAUAUACCGUGAGAGAGCCAACGGAUUUCACACCGUGAGGAACAGUCCACAAGUAAAACAGAAAAUGCCUUAGGAGAAUUAGUUGUUCAGAUUUCUAGCUUGAAUGAGGAGUGGGUUUGGUGUGAAUGAGAGUGAGAGUGAUGCGUGCGUGAGAUGCACGUGUAAUGUGUUUGUUUGUUCAAACAGUGGCCUUUUAUAUUGCACACAAAACGUACUGUUCGGGACUUAUUGUGGUACUUAUUGUGUGCUGAAUAUCGGUGCUGAAAUGUUUUUAUUAAGAAAAAAACAAAACAGAACGUAGAAAUAGGAGCAAGCAGGCCGCAGGCCAAAACCUUGGGGGUACCACCAUACGACUUCUGACCUCCCUGCGGGCUUGUCCUUUGCAGGGGUGGUGACAUGUCACAUGCGUACCAAAAAAUAAAAUUAUCUUUUUGUAUUUUUGUAUUAUUAUUUUCCUCCGCUCAUUCACAAGUAGUGGAUGUGAAAGAAGAUUUUAUAUAGGACCGCCGCACUAUUUCAGCAUGCCGUAUUGAAUAACAAUAAAUCUUAUAAGCGAAAUUAAUGAAGAAUCUUAUAAUCCUAUUUAUUUUAGAAUCUGCUUUUCUAUUAUAUGUCUUCUUUUUUGCCCCCCCGCCCCUCCCCUCUUUUUUUUUGCUAGUCCCAACGAUUUUGAAAUAUUAACUGAUUCCCACUGGUUGAGAUAAGGAUAAUUUUUAAAAACCUCCCUGAAGUUUGAGGUUGUUGCAAGUAGACCGUCAAAAUUAUUUUAUUUAUAAAAAAUCUCAAACCGUCAGUUAAAUUUUUCUUAACUAGUAGUUGACUUUGAAAAGAUAAAAUUAUCCUUAAUGACAGUGCAAUCCUUGGCGUGAAAAUCACCGUUCUAUUUUUUAACAUUUUUAGUUACAAUGUCUCAAGUAACUAAAAAAUUUAUUUUAUCCUAUUUAAAUUAUCAAGAUUUCCUUAAAAUCCUAAAAAAAAGAAAAAAAUUGAAGAAAUAGCAACUACUACCAAUCCCAUCAUCACCCAUUCAAUUUUUUUUUCUAGUCAAUUUCUUCAAAAUUGAUAAAAAAACAUUCUUCAUCAUAAUCUACAUUCAGCAACAUCAUCAAGCCUAUAACUAUACAUCGCCUAAUCCAAAGCAUUAAAGACGAACAAGAAAAGAGAGUUAUGUGAUAUGUGAUCGUAGAUCACAAUCUAAAGAUCAGAUCAGGCCACUCUCAAACUUCCACGUCAACGUCCUUCUUGACCGGAGAGCAAAUGAGCCAUGUGAAACCACAUGGAUCCUUGACCUUUUCCACGUGCCCAGCCGCCCACAACAAUACGCGCUGUUGCCUUUAGCAAGCUUACCCUCAUCAACAAUUCCAGCACUCACAGCCUUGGCGAGGGCAGCCUCAACAUCAUCAAUCUCCAAGCAGAGGACGCAUCCGAUUCCCAUAUUCUUAGCUGCAGCAGAAUCAUCGGAAAAGUCAGAGACAAGAAAAAUGGAGCCAGCAAUCUCGAGUUGAGCUCUUGUUCAGCCUUUCGUUUGGUUUCCAUGUUGCAGUUGAUCUCCACAGCACCAAACGCUGUCUUGUAGAACUGAACAGCGUCAGCAACCUUCGAUGCUUCCACAAGCAACUGCGGCUUCAUCCCAUGAAGUUGGCCAAGGUAGCAGGAGCAGUCAUCUUCACGGUGCAGUUCAGAACAUCAGCCAUUGAGAGAGUUUUGGUGUCUAGACAAAGGGAAAGAACCUGAACUUAGGAGAGAGAAAAUCAAAGAGAGAGAAGAAAGAUGAAACCAAAGAGACGAAAUAAAAGAAAAUGAACUUCACCCAUUUUGAUACAGUGUUAAAGGCAAUAAAACGAUAACUCUUUGAUAACAAUACAAAAUAUCAAUAAUGCCCUCAAUUAGUCAAACGGCAACCAAACGGAACUAAAAUGUAACGGAUCUUUUACAACUAAAACGAUUUUGGCCAUCUACUUAUAACAGCCUCAAAUUUCAAGAAAUAGGGAUGGCAAUGGGGCAGAUAUGGGUUGGAUCUACUCUGCUCCAGAUCCAAAUCCAUAAUAAAAAUCAAGAUCCGUAUCUGCUCCAGAUCCGUUAUGAAUCCAUAUUUUUCGCUCCAUAUCCAAAUCCAAAAAAGAAAUAAAUAUCUAUAUCUGCUCCAAAUCCGAAAAAAAAUUAAAAUCCAAAUAUGCUCUAGAUCCGUCAUGAAUUCUAAAAUUCCGUAAUAAAAAAGUAAUAAUUUUUUAGAUUGAAAAUUGAAGGCUAAAAUGUAUUGAUAACAAAUAAAUUAUAUAAUUUUUCUCAAAAAUAUAAUAAAUAUUGUAGCUUAUACUUCUAUACCAAAACAACAAACAAGAAUGAUAAUAAAAUAUCAUUCAGAAGUAAUUGCAGGAGUAAGAUCAAUCUAAUAUUCUAUUGUCUCCUUCAUCAUUCUAGUAUCCACGAUACACCUACCCUCAUUUCUACAACAUUAGAUAAUGACAUAUAAAUUAAAUAUGAUUUAUAUUCAGUCCUUUAUUAUUUUUAUUAUGACCAUAUUUGACUAAAUAUAUGAAUAACUAUAUUCCUUAAAAAUUAUUUGGCCAAUAAGAUAAAAUAAAUUACCAGGUUAUAUUACUUGGAUUGCAAUUUGAAUAUUGCAUGUACAUGCUUUGAGGCUGGUUGAUCUUUAAAUUUACAAAACUAACCUUUAAGUUUUAAGAGUUUAAAUUCAUGAUAAAUACUACUAAUAUGCUAUGAAUAAAAUUUAUUAUCAUUAUCAUUCCACAAUUAUUAAGAAACUUUUAAAAUAAAAUAAAAUUAAAAGAUGAGUGGAUAUGGAUAUGGAUUUAGAUAUUAAGAUAGAUCUAUAUCUGCUCCAGAUCCGUCUUAGAUCCGCACAUCGAUAUCCAAAUCCGAUCCAAAUCCAUUUUAAACCGAUCCAAAUCCGAUCCGAUUGGAUUUGGAUCACAUGAAUCUUGGAUCAAAUCCAAUCCAUUGCCAUCCCUAUCCAGAAAGAUUUUUAAAAAUUACCCGUUGAGAUAACGUUCAUUAAUGGUAUUAGAUUCGGAGCAGACUGCAGACUCAGAAUUUUUUUUUUAGAUAACGUUCAUUAAUGGUAUUAGAUUCGGAGCAGACUGCAGACUCAAUAACUUUUUUUAAAAAAAAAAAAAUUCUGGAGAUUAACAACUUUAUUAAUUAUUCUUCGUACAUAAAUUUUUAGCCUGGAUUAGAUUUAUUUCAAUGGAAUCAGCUUUUCAUUGAAGAAAAUAAAGAUUGACGCGGGGGCGGAGGCCAACCAAUUUUUGGCAUCAGGUUCAACAACUUUAUUCUUUAUGCAGAAACUUUUAGCCGUCUGAUUAAUUUUAUCAUACAUUGAUAUUCGGUCGUUGGAUUAGAUCUAUUUCAAUUACGUGAGACAUAAUUAGCUUUUAAUUAAAGAGAAUAGAGAGUGACGCCGGGACCACCAAUUUUCUUUCCUGACUUUUGUCUAAAAAUUAUUGUGAAGUGCUUAUCUUAACCGUUGACCUGAAUCUAAUCAGAGGGCUAAAAAUUUGUGACUAGGUAAACAAACAGGCACCCAAAGUUCCAUUUAAGAUCAAUCGGAAAGAAAGUGAGCGAGCAUAAUCACAGAGAGAAAAACCUUGUUGAUUUUCCUUAAUACCUUUUCUUCUAAACCCCCCCCCCCCCCCCCGCCCCGGGGGAAAAAAACAAUAACAACCAAAAAAUAAAAAAUAAAAUAAAAGACACGCACAAACACAUUUUUUUUUUUCUAUAGAUUUCAGUUUUCUGUAGAUUUAUCCUGCCAACAUUUUUUCAUAGUCAUUUUCUGUCAAUUCUUGUCGUCCUUCCCAAAAAAAAAAAAUGUCGAUCGUUGGAGAAACCAUUCUAACUGUCACCAUUGAGAUGUUGGUGAAAAGUUGAUAUCAGAUGUGAUUCAGCUGUUCGCACGCCAAGAACAGAUCCAAGCCGCUCUUAAGGAUUGGAAGAAGAAACUGGGGAUGAUCAGGGCGGUGCUCGACGACGCCGUUGAGCAGCAGACAACGAAGCAGUCAGUGAAGACGUGGCUGGGCGGACUUGAGAGCUUAGCUUAUGACGUGGAAGACAUAUUGGACGAGUUUGCAGCUGAGGCUUUGCGGAGGAAGUUGGUUUUCGAACCCGACGAUCUCGUUCAACCUCGUGCAGGUUACUUGCGGAAACUCAUUCCUACCUGCUGCACUAAAUUCAGUCCGCAAAAUGUGAGGUUCGAUUCCAAGAUGGCGGCGAGGAUAGAGGAGAUUACUGGCAGAUUCCAGGACAUCGUAGCGCAGAAAGACCUGCUGGAUUUGAAAGAAAAUUCAGGAGGAAAGUCCAACAAAUUAAGCAGUCGUCCAGAGACCACCAGUUUGGUGAUUGAAGCCGAAGUACAGGGCAGAGAAGAAGAGAAGAAAGCAAUAGUGGAGCUGUUAUUGAAAGAUGAUUUAAGUUCUGCUGGUAGAUUCUCCGUUAUUCCUAUUGUAGGCAUGGGAGGGCUGGGGAAGACAGCUCUUGCCCAACUUGUCUACAAUGACCCAACGGUGGAAAGCCAUUUUGACUUCCAAGCUUGGGUAUGUGUCUCAGAAGAUUUCGAUGCUGUCAGAGUGACAAGAGCCAUUCUCAACUCUCUGCAAAUUUGAAAUUGGAUGUAAAAAAGUGGUGUGGAGAAGAAGAAGUGCAAUGGUUCUCAGCCCACAGAAUUCACAGGUUACAAAUGAUAUGUCAAAUCGAGUGUUCCUAAGAGGGAUACUCCAGGAAGAGUUACCAAAUUUAGAAGAAGUGUCAAUUAAAAACAACGAAGAGCUAACAUGCUUAUGGCGGGCAGGACAUGGAUUACUGCAAGACAUUGGUUCCCUUCACCAAUUGAAGAUUGCGAGUUGUCCCCAACUUGUUUCCUUGGUGGAGGAGGAAGAAAAAGGCCAACAACAGCAAGGGUUGCCAUGCAGACUUCAGGUUCUGGAAUUAAGGAGCUGCCCAAGACUGGUGAAGCUACCACAAGCAUUUCUCAGCUUUAGUUCACUUCGGGACUUGAAGAUCUCAGACUGUGAUUCAAUGGAAGCUUUACCGGAUGCGCUGAUGCACAAAGGUAAAGCACCGCUUGAAAAGUUAAUCAUUUCUGGUUGUCAUACUCUGUAAUACAUCGCCAGGGCCCAGCUACCUCCUAGUCUUAAGAAGCUGAGGGUCUACUAUUGCAACAGUCUUAGGACGUUGGUAGAUGAAGAUCAAAUUUUAGACAUCAAUAGUUGCGGUGGGUACACCUCUGUUCUUGAGCAGUUACAGAUUAUUCAUUGUCCAUCUCUGACAUCCUUAUGGUCAAAAAGCGAGCUACCCGCCACGCUUGAAAAUAUUUAUGUUGAUCGUUGCUCGAAGCUUGCUUUCUUGUCAUUGAGAGGCAAUCUAUCGAAGGCUCUUAAGCACCUUUAUAUUGUUAGUUGCUCAAACCUGGAGUCAAUAGCAGAAGGGUUGGACGACAACACAUCUCUUGAAACUAUGGAAAUUUUUAUUUGUCAAAAUCUGAAAGUUUUACCCCAUAACUUGCACAAGGCCCGCCAUCUUCGACUAUUGAGGAUAAAUGAAUGUCCAAAUCUUGUUUCCUUUCCAGAAGGAGGGCUGGCGCCUUUUAGUAAACUGACUACGCUUGAGAUAUUUAAUUGUGAGAAACUGAAGGCCCUCCCCAACGGCCUCCGCAAUCUCACAUCUCUUCAAUACUUAUUAAUACAAGAUUGUCCAAGCAUAGGAUCUUUCACUGCGAAUUGCUUUCCCACCAACCUUACUUCAGUUCGUAUUGACUAUGAGAAGAUUUAUAAGCCAUUGAUAUUGGAGCGUGGCCUGGGAUUGCACAGAUUCACCUCUCUUAGACAACUCACGCUAUUUGGAGGAGAAUGUUGCAGCUUGGUAUCAUUUCCACUGGAGAAAGAUACAGGAAAGGCACUUCCUGCCUCUCUAAAGCAUCUGUCUAUUUGGAAUUUUCCUAAUUUGGAACGCAUAUCCUCAAUUGAAAACCUCACUUCAUUUGAAUCUCUUCAGCUCUGUUGUUGUCCAAAGCUCCAGGAGUUUCCAGACAAUGGCCUGCCUAUCUCACUUUUGAGACUAGAAAUCUAUGGAUGUCCGUUGAUUGAAGAAAGGUUCGAGAAGGAUAAAGGACAAUAUUGGUCCUUGAUAGCCGAUAUACCUUGUGUCCGGAUAGAUUGCCAUUAUGUGUGAUAGAUCCCAAAGCACAGAGACAACUGUAUCCUGUUUAAAUUCACAAAAUCCAAUCCCAGGUAUGUGUAGUUAGGGAUGGCAAAAAUUCUCACGGGACGGGUAGUCUCGGGGAUUUUUCCCAUUCGGGGAGGGUAUGAGGAUAAUUUCAUACCCAAUUUUUUAUUCGGGGAAGGGACAAGGAAAUUUAAUUUCUUAUUCGGGGAGAGGACGGGGAUGAGGUGGAAUCCCCAUCCCCUACCCAUUUCCCCAUUUUAAUUUUUAAUUUAAUUUUUAUUUUUUAAAAUUACUAGUAAAUAAAUAAUAAAAUUUGAAUUAUAAAAUUAUUAAAAUUGGUAAAAAUAACAAAUAGCAAAAUAUUUAUAUUAUUAAACUUUUAGGCCUAAUUAACUAAUUAAAGUCCUAAAUUUUUAUUUAGGACAUUAAAAAGACCAGAUAGAUUCUAUUAGCCCAAAAAUUUUGUUUUAAUUUUAAAAUUCAUUAAAUAUUUUAAACUUAAAUCUAUUUUUUUAUUUAUUUUUAGAUGUUAUAAUUGUCCACAGCGAAUCACAAUUUUAAUAUCUAAUCUAAUAUUUUCUCUUGAUUUGCUCCGACUUAACUAUUGUGUUGUAAAGGAAAUAGUCCACAUUUAUAAAGUGCCCACGCCACCAUUGAAAAAGUUAAUUUUGAAUCUAAAUUUGAUUUUAUUUGUAACAAUUUUGUAUUACACUGUUAAUUUGUUCAUGAUAGUUUGUAAAAGAAGUUUGUAUCCAUUGCAUGCUGCGUUACUUACUAAUUUAAUGUAUGUGACUUUUGUAAUGAAUAUUAAUGUAAGAUAUAUUUCGAACUUUACUUUUAUUUGAAUUUUUUUAUUUUAAUAUGAUUAACUUAAAAUCGAAAACAAAAAAAUGUAUUAGUUAUUCGGGGAUCGGGGACCUUCGGAGAUCCCCUGUUAUUAUUCAGGGAGGGGAUGGAGAUUCUCUCAAAUAAUUCUGACGGGACGAGGAGGGGACGAGGACAUACGCAAAAUAUCGGGGAUGGGUACGGGGAGAUUGAUCCCCUCCCCUCCCCUCCCCAUUGCCAUCCCUAUGUGUAGUUAAUAAAUAUCCAACCAAUUACAAUUAUGUUUUAAUUAUAUUUCUUUCUUUUUAAAAAAUUAAAUCUCAUGGAUUCUUCUUUUUCUUGAUGUUCUGAUCAAGAUCCAAACAGCUGAUUACACAAUUCCCCACCUGCUCGUUUCUUUCUAUAUCAGCUUAUCAAGGCAAUUUUUUAUUUUUCUCUUUUCAUGGUGAGAAAUACUUUUAUUUAUUAUUCUUAUUUUGUUUCUUUUCUUGACAAUUGACAAAGCUGAGCUACAUCUAAGUCAUUUUCCUUUAUGAUGCUGACCACUGAUGGUUGAUGUUAAGGAAGCUCACAUUUGCAAGAUUAUCAGCAAAGCAGAGGAUCACAGCAACAAUCAUAUGCAGUUACGAGUUGAUGACAUGGCAUGCCAGCUGGAGCCUGGUGGCUAUGUAAUCAGUUAUGCAUGUAUCAAUUAGCUAUAAGCUGUUAUAGUUAGUUGAAAGGAUUAGUUAAUAAUUUGUUGCUAAUUACAACUAUUUGUGCUGAGCUUCAGCUUAGUAUAAAUAACAACAGCUUUGUACAUAUCAUUAAUAAUGUGAUUAAUGAAAUUUAGUUUCUAGAAAACACUCAGAUCUAGUUCAUAUUUUCUUAGUUGCCAAACACGUUUUUCUCGUUCUUCAACUUGGUAUCAGAGCUAGUAACAAUGGCUUCAGUCCAUCUAGCUUCUUCUUCUUCUUCUCAAGCGCCAAUUAAUCAAACAACUGUUAAUUCAACAAAUAUGACAUUCACUUUCAAUACACCUAUCAAGUUAGAUCAAUCCAAUUAUUUGAUUUGGAGAUCUCAAGUUCUUGCUUCAAUUCGCGGCAACAGACUUGAGAAAUUCAUUGAUAACUCAACCACUCCACCUCCUUCACACAUUGCUCAGAGAAUUGAAGAUGAUCUAAGAUCUGUAGAAAAUCCAGAAUUUGCAACUCGGAGAUCACAAGAUCAGGUGCUGCUUGGCUGGUUACCUUCUUCAAUGAGUGAAGGAAUCAUCAGUCUAGUCUUCAAUCUAGAGACUUCUCGAGAGGUAUGGAAAGCUAUAGAAGUUCAAUUUGGAUCUCAAUCUAAAUUUAGACUUCUGCAUUUACGAUAUAUGAUGAAUUCAACUAGGAAAGAUGAUCUGAAAAUUACUGAUUACUUCAUUAAGAUGAAAAGUAUUGCUGAUAAUAUGGCUGCAGCUGGUAGUGCGUUAAGUGAUGAUGAUUUGAUUUUGCAUGUACUCUCUAGCUUAGGUCCAGAUUAUAACUCUGUUGCUACCUAUAUCACUGGACAAGUAGGAGUAGGAAAAAUGAAUGUAAAUGAAGCUUAUACUAUGCUUCUAACUCAAGAAGCUAGGAUUGAACAACAAACUCAUAUGCUAGCUAAUACUGAUGUGAUACAAAACUUUGAGGCUAAUCUUGCCUAUAACAAAGGUUAUAAAAUGGGAAAUAUGUCAGGAGGAAGAGGUUUUGGUAGCUUUGGAUAUAAUUCUGGUUAUGGAAACAGUGGAAACAGUAACAGUAAUGGUUACAAAGGAGGUUAUGGAGGCUCUGGAUUUAAUGCUAAUAGUGGAAAUGCUUAUGGAUCUAACAAUCAGUUCAAGGCUUAUCAAGGAGAUAAUCAGAGAGGUGGAGGAGGAGGUAACUAGAACCAGAAUGCUGGAAAUAGAGGAUUUAACAAUAGCAGACCACCUGGAAACACUAAGCCUCAAUGGAAUGUCUCUAAGCCAACCUGUCAAAUCUGUUGUAGAACAGGCCACACUGCAAAUAUUUGCUGGAAACUUGAGGAAUUCAUGGCAUUUGGAGCUUACAGACCACCACCAAACAGAAAUCCAAAAUCUGCAUAUUUGGCUAAUAUGGAAGGCCCCGCUGAUACUAACUGGUAUUUGGAUAGUGGUGCAACACACCAUCUGACUAAUGAUAUCAACAUGCAUGUUUCUGAAGCUUUUACAGGUAUAUCUAAACUUGUUGUUGGCAAUGGUGCUGGAUUGGAUAUAACACUUAUUGGAAGUGCUGCAUUGAAAUCACAUAACUCCAAUAAUGCCUCUUUAACUUUUAAACUAAAUGAUAUCCUUUUAGUGCCACAAAUUACUAAAAACCUUAUCAGCAUCUCUAAACUCACAAAGGAUAAUGAUGUUGUGAUUGAGUUUACUAAUAAUUUCUGUUUUGUGAAGGACAAUGUGAGAAAUUUGAUCAUAUUGCAGGGCAAAGCUGAAAAUGGUCUAUACAAAUUGCUAUUGGUAAUAGGAAUAGUGUACUGCUGAAGAAGAUUGUACUGAAAUUCAGAAGUUUUGGAUGGAGAAGAAGAACUGAAAAUUGAGGAAUAUGGAAAUGAAGUUUCAUAAAAAACAACAUGACUUGCUAUAUAGAUUUUUCCAAAAGAAUGGAGACAUUUAAAACCCUUAUGCAAAGGACUAUACCCCAGAAAAAUACAUUUGGAUGUAUGAGACUGAAAUUUGUGUUGAUUAUAACUUCUAAGGAAGGGAAAGCAUGAACAUCCAAAUGUUCUCAAGAAUUUGUAAUCUGGAGAGAUGUGAAAUAUAGACUCAUAAGGAGAUUUCAUUGACUGAACUGGUGUAGGCAAUCUGUUUAUAAGGUAUGUGGCUGUAUGAAAAGACUCCCACCAGAAUUUAAUGGGUAGGUUUGCUUGUGCAAGUAGAGUAAGACCAAGUUCUGUAAUAUGCCUAUGCUUUCUCUCUACAAUUCCAUUUUGAUUGUGAGUGUAUGGACAUGAAUGUCUGAAGUGUAUGCCCUCUGUGUGAAGGAGGUUAACAAAGGAUCGAAAUUCUCCCCCCCAGUCUGAUUGAAGACAUUUUAUGGGUUUGUCAAGUUGUUUUUCUAUCUGGUUUUUGAAAAUUUUAAAGACUGAUAGUGUUUCACUUUUGGUUUUCAAAGGAAAGAUCCAAGUAAAUCUUAUGAAAUCGUCAACAAAGCUUAUAUAAUAUAUGUAGCCUUGUGAUGAAAUCACAGGGGCUGGUCCCCAUAAAUUAGUAUGCAAUAUUUCCAGGGGAAACUUUGUUUUGAUAUCAGAAGCUGGAAAAUGAAGUUGGUGCAUUUUUCCUAUUUGACAAGCAUCACAGAAAUUAAAGGUUGUAUUCUUAUUGUCAAGAAUGAAAGAUGAACAUGUUUUGAUUACAUGAUUCAAAAUCUUAGAAGAUGGAUGUCCCAAUCUCUGAUGCAAUACAGAAGUACUUAACAAACACUCAGAGUUUUUACAAGUAGCUGCAGUAGGCAGACAGGAGGUUUUAUUUGAAAAAAUAGAAUUGACAACUGAAAACAUUAAAAGAGGAGAAGUUGAUACAACUGACUCAGCAACAAAGUUUUGACUAUAAGCAGAAGAGGCUGUCUUAUUAGGUGAAACCAAUAGCAAUUUGUAUACCUUUGAAGCUGAAACUGCAGGUAAUGAUUCACAUUCUAAUCACCUUGGUCCUAUAUCUUCACCACUCUCUCACAACACCAUCCCAACCCUCACCACCAGCUGUUGUAUCUCAGCAAUCUAUACCUUCUUCACCAACUCAGCUCAAUCUUCCUAUACUUCUACCUGAUACAACACAAAAUACAUUAUUCUCCCAACCUCCUAUAUCUCACUCUCUGAUUCAACCAACCCACUCAUCUCAACCUAAACCAAAUCUCUCCACACAUAAAAUGAUCACUAGAGCAAAGGCUGGCAUAUACAAACCAAAGGCCUACCUAACAGAUCAUAAUAGCCUGGAACCAUCUACAGUUUCAGAAGCAUUAUCUGAUCCCAAAUGGAAAGCAGCAAUGCAGACUGAAUACCCUUAUGCCUAUGUGCCCAUCCUACAAACUAGUUGGGUGCAAAUGGGUGUUCAGAACCAAGUACAACACAGAUGGCUCAGUUUCAAAACAUAAAGCCAGACUGGUAGCCAAGGGAUUUCAUCAAACUGCAGGUAUUAAUUAUUCUGAAACUUUUAGUCCUGUAGUGAAGUCUUCAACAGUAAGAUUGAUUCUUAGUCUAGCUGUCAUGAACUGUUGGAAGGUCAGACAAAUUGAUGUGAAUAAUGUCUUCUUAAAUGAGGAUUUGUCAGAGGAUGUGUAUAUGGUUUAGCCUGAGGGUUUUGUGUCCAAAGAAGGCUACAUAUGCAAGCUUACCAAGGCUCUAUAUGGAUUGAAACAAGCUCCAAGAGCUUGGUAUGAUAAACUGAAAGGCUGUCUUACUGCCUGGAAUUUCAUCAAUUCAAAGGCUGACACAUCUCUUUUUGUUAAACAUGAUGAUAAGGGCAUUAUUAUUAUCUUGGUCUAUGUUGAUGAUAUUCUGGUUACUGGUCCUGACUCAGCAUUACUUGAAGAAUUUAUCACUAAACUAAGUAAGGCUUUUGCUCUCAAGGAUCUGGGUUUGAUAGCUUAUUUUCUUGGAGUGGAAGUAUGUUACACAACUCAUGGAAUGCAUCUGUCACAGACAAAGUAUAUUAAAGAUCUGAUCAGCAAAGCUUCAAUGCAGAAUUGCAAAGGGUCAGAUACACCCUUCAGUACUGGAUUUAAACUAGAGAAAAAUGUUCAAGGUCCUCUGGGACAAGAAUUUGAAGAACCAGCACUUUAUAGGAGCAUUGUUGGAGGGCUUCAAUAUUUGAUUCUCACCAGGUCUGACAUUGCUUAUUCUGUACACAAACUCAGCCAAUAUCUCAAUACUCCUACACUUCAGCACUGGCUGGCAUGCAAGAAGGUUCUCAGAUAUCUUCAAGCCAUAACUACUCAUGGUUUAUACAUUCAAAAGGAAGGGACACUUGGACUUGCAGGUCUAACAGGAUACUCUGAUGCUGACUAGGCAUGUGAUGUUGAUGAUCGAAAGUCUAUUGGAGCUUACUGUAUUUACCUUGGUAAUAAUCUGAUCUCCUGGUCUUCAAAGAAGCAAGCUAUAGUAGCUAAGUCAAGCACUGAAAGUGAAUACAGGGCACUAUCUUCAGCAAGUUCAGAGCUUUCAUGGUUGCAAUCUCUGUUGUCAGAACUUAACAUUGUUCAGUUACCUACUCCAAUUCUUUGGUGUGACAAUCAAAGUGCUGGAGAGUUAGCUCGAAAUCCUAUUCUUCAUUCUAAAUCCAAACACAUUGAAUUGGAAAUUCAUUACAUUAGAGAUAAAGUGCUUGGAAAAGAAUUAGAAAUAAGAUAUAUUCCUACAGAAGAACAAGUUGCUGAUGUCCUUACUAAAGCUUUGUCAUUUCCCAAGUUUAACUAUUUUAGAUCCAAGCUCAAUGUCAUCAACAGGCCAUUGAGCUUGAGGGGGGAUGUUAAAGAAGCUCACAUUUACAAGAUUAUCAGCAAAGCAGAGGAUCACAGCAACAACCAUAUGCAGUUACGAGUUGAUGACAUGGCAUGCCAGCUGGAGCCUGGUGGUUAUGUAAUAAGUUAUGCAUGUAUCAAUUAGCUAUAAGCUGUUAUAGUUAGUUGAAAGGAUUAGUUAAUAAGUUGUUGCUAAUUACAACAGCUUUGUACAUAUCAUUAAUGAUGUGAUUAAUGAAAUUUAGUUUCUAGAAAACACUCAGAUCUAGUUCAUAUUUUCUUAGUUGCCAAACACGUUUUUCUCGUUCUUCAACUGUUGGAAGUCAACUAUUGUAUAGUAAGAUGAUUUGAAACUUCUUUUAAAACUUCUCUGUCAUCUAGCUUAGAGAACUUGACUGUCCACCAAGAGUCUGGAGUCACCUGUUGCAUCUCAAGUUGAUUUGGUAUUUGUUAUUUUUAAUGAGGAAAUACUUUGCUAGAACUUUCAGAUUGAACAUUGCAGGUAGGAUUAUUAUUCAAGUCGUGACCUUCGAGAACUUGUUGCAGUUGAAUGUUUUUUUUUUUUUUUUGGGGGGGGUGGGGGGGUAAUGACAAAAAUUAUUAAUGUUUAGGAACAACUCUUUAGGGGAGAAGCAUAUAUAUCUGGCUGGCAAUUUUGGCAUAUUCAACUGUUGAUAGUAGAAUGGAUGUAUGGAGGGUUGACUUCAGUGACCACAAUUAAUUAUGUCAUUGUACGGUUAAAUGGUUGCAUUAUGAAAAGCAGAGAUGCGUUAGAAAAUGACAUGGCCUUUGUCAUGCUUAAUCUGUGCCUAUGCAGCUAUUGUAUUAUCUUGGUUAACCUGUGCCUUUUUAAUUCUUGUACUAUGACUGCCUGGUCCUAAGCAAUAUUGAUGGAAAUGACAUCCAGCUUGAAGUUUAUGUAAAUCUUUCAAAAUAAAUUCUGAAUACCCUUGGAUUUGGUGUGUACAAAGUCAAAGAAUCCAUUUAGCUGGUCCUACAAGUUUUAGACUUUGCAGGGAGGCUUCAGAUUUAUAAAUAUGUAACAAAAAAGGUGUAGACUACAUAAAAAGACUUAAAAAAAAAGUGUAUAGAAUUAUUAGCUAUGCUUAGAUAAAUUCCCGGUAAUUACCUUUCUAGUAUUACUUUUUUUCUUGUUGUUUCUUUGAGAUAUUUCAAGAAAUAUACAAUAUAUGCAAACAUAUAACUUCUUGAAAUUUGUAAUUAUAGGAUUCUGUUGACUGGUUGGUUCUAUACCUCUUUGUGGGAAUGGGCGAAACAUCUUGAUACCUUUACCAAGAUCAGUUAGUGCUGAGGUUUUGGCUAUUACUGGAGCUGGCGUGUGACUGCAUGAUCAAGAUGCGUCAAACCUUCCACUGUUCUAUUGGUUUGCCUUUAUCAUUCGGAAUCCAAGUUUGAUAUUAACAGAGAUCACAUCAAUAAUAUCCUAUUUGGGUAGAUGUGGGUGAGGAUUUAAAAUCAAAUUUGAAAUUGAGAGGAAAGAAAAGGAGCCACAAUAAUUAAACAAAAUAAUUCUGAUGAGUUUUAAUCUCGAGGAACAAUUUUCAAAUGCAAAUUUAACUGCUAGAGAAAUUGUAGCUUUUUGUCAUUAGUUAAAAGGAAAAAGAAUAAGAACUAUCCGGCCCUUUCCUUCAUGAAUGUGUUGAGGUUGCUGUAUUAUUUAGUCAGUAUUUGUAAUUUUCUUCCCUGCAGUGCUCUCUGCUUCCUGAAUUUGCUACUGAGUCCAUAUUUUUCUUUGAGCUUUUGCUUCCUAUUGCUGUUACAGGUGCAAAUCUGGGCAAGCAAUAAGAUACACCGGGAGGAAAGGUCAUCAAUGCGAAAAUGGGAUGUCCGAUCCCUCAUCACAUCUUCUUCAGAUUUGUAUGGUCCAGAAAAGUCUGCUAGUGUUGAAAAAUUACCUAGGCAUGUAAAAUUUACUUUUAAGAAUCCUGUUAGGUGCUGCAUUAUUUGGAUCACAUUACAUCUUCAGAGACCUGGUUUGGGUUCAGUUAAUUUCGGGAAGGACUACAGCAUUUGCAGAUGAACCUUCAGAACAAGAUGAUUCAGGAUUGAGAGCUCCACUUGUGGCCACAGGUUUGUCUUUGUCAAACAGAAUCAAGUUAUAUUAUUAUUGUGAUCCUUAUGAGCUCGGAAAAUGGGCAAGCCUUUCUGGAGUUUGAUCGUUAUUUAUAUGUCAGAGAAAGAGUUUUGGGUUUGAUUUUGAUUUGUAAUUUUUGUCAGUUUAUUGAAAUUUUGUUGUUGUAUAAAAGCAGAAUGUAAAGGUAUAAAAAUUCAUUGAUGCUGUAAUGUCUGUACUUUUGAGAAAGAAGAAUUCAAUGUCUUUUCUAUGCCAUUGGAUUUUCCACUGCUGGUAAAACCUGAGCUGUCGAAUGCUCUGUGAACCUUAAGGGCUAGAAAGUAAUUUUCUUUUUUUUUUAAUUCUUUUAUAUACAUAUUAUUAUUGAUAUUACAUUAGACAUUACAAUUACAAUAUUUAUAAUCGUACUAAAUAACUGAGACCAACGUCAUACAUUAACUCACGCCAUACAUUAACUCACUGAAGCACUUGUCCAAAUACUUUAAACCUCUCUAAUAUUCGAGGAGUGUCUACUCUAUUCACAUUUUGUUAGGGAGAGACUGUCUCUACUCAAUUAGUUGAUAAUUAAGAAAGAAUUGAAACUAACCUCCAUAAUGUUCUUAUGAAAGCUCGAACUCUUGCACUCAACAUUAUAAGUGCAAGGUUUCUACCAUUGAACCAAAGACCCAUUGGUGGCUAUAAAGUAAUUUUCAAGAGUGAAGGAUUUAUUAAUCGAGUUCAAAAGAUUGCAAGCUGGUGAGCGUUGGCAUUUAAAAAUCAAUUGUUAUCCUCUCAAUAAUCUCUCUCUUCUGCCGACACCCGAAGCUCAGAAACCCGUUGUUCCGACGGACGUGUAACACUUCCAGAAAUUAGCCUUUUCUUCUAUAUGAAGGUUGAUCUCUCCUCCUGCAGUGUUUUCUUUUUCGAGUGAAGGUGGUUUUCUACUUACAUAUGUCGGGGGUCUUACAAUAUCUAAUGUGUGAAAUUUCUUUCUCAUUUUACCAUAAAGAAAAUGUCAGUAAUGAUUUAAAGCUCGAGUCUUAAAUUAUCUUAAAUUAAGAAUCUCUCAUUACAUUGUCAACCAAAAAGACACUUACAUAAGAAGAAGAAUUUGUCAGUUUGAUUUUAUUUGUAGAUCCAACAUUUCUCAUAUCCUGAGUGCCUUUCCGUAUCAAAUUAAAAUAGUAGUAGCAAAAUCGUAGUGCACAUUUAAUUAACCAACUAAUAGUCUAAGCAAAGAGAGGAUUACAAGUUCACAACACCAUUACAAAGGAUUCAAAAUCCCCGCACGAAAACAUCAAUGUACAGUUAUAAACAACCCGAAUUGGACACAAGAAAAACCCUUCAAUGGAUUGUUUGCCUUCCCAAUGCUAUAUACUGUGCAAACUGCGCACUGGCCAAGAAAAUGUUUUCAAUUUAGUGUACUUUCAAAAUGCUUAUUUUCUCAGAAUAUUAAAAAAAUAAAAAAAUAAAAAAAUAAAAAGAAUUCUUACAUGUUUCAUCAGCAUGAUUAAAAUCAAAGAAGAAAGCGAGACAUAAUGUCUCUGACAUAAUAAAAUUACAAAAAUUUCAAAAAAAAUGUUAAAACAUGUAAACAUGAAAGUAUUUUCAAAAGCAAAAUGGAAUACAUAGAUAAAACAUCAUCUUAAACAAAUCACAAUCUAGAAUUAGAGCAUUUUUGACAUACCUAAGGAAAAAGAAUACGUGAAAAUGGGUGACUCAUUUGCUAAGGAGUGUUGAUUUGAUUGGCUCUGCAAAUUCUCUUGGGGCUCAGUUCCAAUUCCUCUACAUCCAAAGUUCCACUCGCGCUUGGCAAAUCAUCCAAUUUCCAAACUUCGGUAGCAAAAUUGAUAGUAAAAGUGUUGUCUUUUGUUUCGCUGGGAUUUGCAUAUACUGGACAUAAUCCGCAACGUUUUAUCUUGUAAAACUUUCGCUCAGCGAAGAACUUAAAUGUGGCAAUUGUAUGAUGGUAACCAUCAGGAAACCCAACAUUCAAGCAAGGUUUAAAACCAAGUAUGACACGAUCUGAAUCAAUAAGGUCUUCAAUAUAGCGCGAAUUGUAACCCAGAUCAACAUGUUUGGUUUCAGAGAGAGUCUUUAUUUCUAAGUCGAAUUGAAAGCUGACGUAAAAAUAACGAAAACAAUCAGAAUCAACUUUCUUAGAAUCAAGAACAGCACAAAAAGCAAACCCGAUUAAGUUUCUGCAAGAAGAGUGCGGUGGCAGUUGAAUACAUAUCGAAGAUCCUGAACUUUGAUUGCUAAACCAGUCAGGAAUUUCGCUCCCAGGUAAAACAAUUAGGGAUCCCCUGAGUUCAGAAAGUUUCUGUGAAAGGACAUUUAAAAAAAGAAAAUUGUAAAAUGAAAACCAUUGAUUUCAGAUAUAAGAAAGAGGGACAGAGUAAACAAGAGAGGGAAUUUGAUACCUCGUUGAUUGCCAUUUCAUAGCCCAGUCUCAGUGAUGCAAUUGCCAUAUGCCGAAUUCUUAGUAGUGAAUCUGCCAAAAUCUUGUUGUUUGCUUUUCCAUUCAGUUUCAAGCAGUUAGUAAACUCAAAACAAAUUGCUGCUGACUUCAGAGAUUCUGGUGCCCAUUGAAGGUCAGGAGAGUGUUUGGAUAGCUUUUCGAGUACGGAUGCAUCUAGUUCUUGUAGACAUAACAGAAUCUCUGGCAAAGAUUGAAGCCGGUUGCAGUUCCUUACAGUUAGUAACUGUAGACACAAUGGAAGUUCUGGUAAUGACCGAAGCAUGUUACAAUCCUCCAAGUUAAGAUAUUGUAGACACAAUGGAAGUUCUGGUAAUGACCGAAGCAUGUUACAACCCGUCAAGUCAAGAGAUUCUAGACAAAAUGGAAGUACUGGUAAUGACUGAAGCAUCUUACAAUCAAUCAAGUGAAGAUAUUUUAGGCACAAUGGAAGUUCUGGUAAUGACUGAAGCAUAUUAAAAUCCUCUAAGUGAAUAAACCUCAGCUGCGACAUUUGCUUGAUAAUUGCAGGUAAACUCUCAAAGUUAUUUCCACUUAGAUACAAUAUUUCCAGUGAGGAUAGAUAGGCAAUCUCUUGUGGAAUUUCCCUUACAGCAUAGUCACUUAUAUGUAGAAGUCCCAUAGCAGAUAAACCUAAUAAAAAUGUUCGAGGAAAUGAUUCCAAACCUUUGCAGUGAGAGGAGUCAAGACUUCUAAGCAUGUUUGACAAUGCAACAGAGGAUGGUAGUUGACUAAUAGCUGAUGCAGCUGCUAAGAUGUAAUACAAAUAUUCUAAAGAGCCAAUGUUAUCCGGUAAAUUAUCAAGUUUAGAGCAAUCUUCUACGAACAAUACUUCAAGCCCCGGUAGAUUUUCAAAUGACGAUGGCAGCUCUGUAAUUGGCGUCCUGUCUGAAUAGAUGCGUUUUAAAUGUUCCAUUUUCUCCAAGAUUUCUGGGAAAUGCUCAAGGUUCAAGCAGCCAAGAAGAAUAAGCGUAACCAAAGAUCUCAAUUUACAAAAGCUUGUUGAAAUCCGCUUCAGCCGUUUGCAACCCCUCAAAUCCAACACUUCAAGAUCAGUUAGACACUCUAUUGAUGAUGGAACUUCUUCUAUUGCAGACUGGCCUAAGUAUAGCCGUGUAACUUUCCCAGAAAUUUGUGGAAACUCUAUGAGAUUAACACAAUAGGAGAAAUUAAUAGUUACUGGACAAACAAAAUGAAGAUUGCUUGGAAAAGACCUAAGACUUUGGCAGCCCUUAAAAGACAACGCACUGAGAUACUUGAAAUUCUGGAUAGAUGAGGGAACACAAGCCUUUUCUCCUUCCCAAGGUUGCUCAACUUUACUACAACGCAAAUUCAGUUCAACAAGGUUCUUUGGCUUGAAAUUUGAUGGCAGUGUCCUUAAUGGAUAUGUGUCCCAAUGAAGAUAUCUCAAUUUUUUAGGAAGAUAAUCUAGGCCAUUUGGAAGCUGCACUUUAGAGUAUGAAAGUUGCUCUUCAGUGCUCAUGCUUGGAAGCUUUUCAAUCUCAUAAAACUUAGGUACAUAAAAUUUGAACAAUCUCAGAUUAGACAUAUUUGUGAAGGCUCUGGGGUCUAAAUUGAUGCCUUUUAUUUUGGACAGAUCUAGAAAUAUGCCUUCAAUUGCAUCGGUCCCCUUAUAAAAAAAAAAACAAAAACAAAGAAUGGGUAAGCCUAAAACAGAAAAGAAACAUUCGUAAACUUUAUUAACUAAGAGCUCCUUAAACAAAACAAAUUCUACAAUCUUUGAUUUAUUUUUUAAAUAUAUUAAAUAUCUAUAUGCGAGAAAAGAAAAUUUUGGGGACCAUUGCAAAAUUAAACUAACCGAAAAAAAAAAAUCAAAAUUUCUCUAAUUUACAAACCUGUUAUCUUAAUAUUUAGAAGUUGAGAAGACAUGGCUUAUUUGAUUGGUAUAAGAUUUCGAAUUUUUUUAGAGUCCAUAGAAUCCAAAAUAUUAGUCCAAAAUUAGGGAAAAAAAUGAAAGAUUUUUUUACCACUAGCUAUAAUUGUAUUCAAGUCAAAUUGAGAUACGACCCUUUUCGAAAGAAUUUAUCCGUCUUACAGCCUCCUUAAGAUACAUUUAAGCUAAAAGGAGUGAUUGGAGGCAGAACUAGGUGGGCCAAUCAGUCCAUUUUAUUAGCGAUUGUUGCUUAAAAAAAAUGAUACUCUAAAACACACUUACUUUUUUUGAAAAAAAAAUAUAAUUAUAUUGAAAUAGAACCAGGUGGGCCAAUUCUCAUGGCACUCACUUUGUUCUUACACACUUCACUAAAUUUGAAGAAAAAUAAAAUUAUACUCUUCACACUCUUAUUCAACAUUUCAAAAUUGAUAAAAUCUGGAGUUUUCUUUAAAAUUUUAAAAUUUGAAGACUUGUUCUCUUGACACCCUCAGUCAUUAAUUUCACCUAAUUAUGGUUUUGAUGAUUUUGGUUGUUUUGUUCAUAAAAUAAUUUUACUAAAGGAUGUUCUCGUAAUAAUAAAAAUUAUAAAAAAAACAUAGGUGUGCUGGUGUGGUUGGGAAAAUACGAGUGCAGAACUCGAAACAAAUAAAAGAUGUAUAAAAUAAUGGAGGAUUCUUACCUUAUUAUGCUUUAGUACGCGGCUGAUUUCCUUAGGAUCCCACAACCUGCUGCGUUUGCCUGGCUCUUUCUCAGAUUCUUGGCGAACAAUCUGUCGCCCCAUUUCUUGCAAUAUAUCAUGCAUGUUCAAGAAAUUACCUGAUAUUGAUACGAGUGACUUAUCAAUAAGGAUAUCCAGCACAUCAGACUCAGAAUCAUCAAGAAUGCUUGCCACAAAAUCUUUAUCCUCUCCCUCAAAGAAACACGCAAUAUCUAGAAAUAUACUCUUCACCCUGGGCGUUAAUUUGUUAAAACUAAUCUUUAAUAUAUCAUAAAUAUCAUGAAUUUCAGAUUCACAAAUCCGAUUUAAGUCGUGCAAUACUUUUCCCCAAUGGCUUUUCCUCUUGAGGCACAGGGAGGAACCCAACACUUCAAGAACUAAUGGAUUGCCUUUGGUAUAUGAUACAACACUCCGUGAGUGCCAGUUGAGAUCUUCAGGACAAUGAUUUUCUUUAAAAGCGAAGUUACAAAAAUGCUCGAAAGCCUCUUCAAAUUCCAAUCCAUUAACCCUAUAUAUUUUCUUCUCCUCCCCUCUAAAUUUUUCGAGGACUCGUUUGUCUCUGGUGGUUACAACAAUUCUACUUCCUUGACCAAAUUGAUCAAGCUCUCCAAUCAGACGCUUUAAUUGUCCAACUUCAUUCACAUCAUCGAGUACUAUCAACAACUUCAUGCGUCGGACCCUCUCUUUAGUAAAAUGUGGAAUAUUGGGACCAGCUACUUCAAGUUUUUCGCUUAAUGUUGUUGAAAGCAUUUGCUUUUGGAGAUGUUCUAAUCCACCCGCCGUUUCUGAGUUUCCCCUAACAUCUGACACAAAGCAACUACCUUCAAAUUCAUGGGAGAAUUGGUCGAAAAUAGCUUUGGCAAGGGUGGUUUUGCCGAUACCACCCAUGCCCCAAAUUCCAACAAUUUGGACGGUAUCCGAUGAAUCCAUACACAGAAAUGGUUUAAUCUGCUCAAUUCGUGAAUUUAAUCCAACUAGGCCAUUGGAUGAGUCCGUUGAGACUGUUAUUUUUUCCAACUUCUUCAAAACAUCUUCGACAAUUUUGUUUACAAGUUGCGCAUCAUGCCUAAUACAAAGGUGCAAAGAUGCAAAAACAUUGAGUCAAAUCGGGCCAUGACAGAAACAGAGAAAAGAUGAAUUAGGAAAGAGAGUUACCUGAAUUUCGCGGAUUCGUGGCCGGCUAGAUGGGAUGUUUCUGUCAGUGCAUCCCUCCACUUCAGAACCAUUUCUGGUUUAUCUUGGAACUGUUUUUUGAGCUCAUCAAAACCGUCUCCAAAAGUUCCAUUUUGAUGCCGCACAUCAGAUGGACUUACUCCAUAGAAAACCGGAAUAAUGAUUUGGCCCUUCAUCUUCUUGCAUUCAAGAAUCUUGAGAAGUUCAUGCAGGCACCAUUUUGAAGAAGCGUAGUCCUUUGAGAAAAUGACCACCGAAAUUUUUGAACCUUGGAUUGCGUUCAAAAGGGCAGGUGAAAUCUCAUCUCCUCGCCUAAGCCCUUCAUCAUCAAUAAAUGUUCUGAUUUUCUUUCUUUCAUACAAAUUAUCAUAGAGAUGGCAAGUAAAGCUCGUACGAGUGUCCUCCCCUCUAAAGUUGAGGAAGACUUCAUAAUUGCCAGAAGAAGAAGAAGAGGAAGCCAUGAAGGAAAUUUUAGAAAUUUUGGUGACAGAAACAGAGAAUUAUUCUUGGAAGUUGAGAGAGGAGAUGUAAGAAUGAACAUGUGUGAAGAUUCUUGCGAGUACAUAGUAAAUAAUUGAAUGGCUGGAGCUUUCUUAGUUUCCUGGAAAUUUCCUGGAGCUUUCGUAUACAUGAUUUGUCAAGUCAUGAAAUAUAAUCAUGAUAAUGGGGCAGACCAGGAAGAAAAGCAACAAUUCAAAUAUUUGAUUCGACCAAUAAGGGAAGGAAAAGCAAAGAAAGGAAAUGUUGAAAGUAGAUGUAGGGAAUUAUAAAAAGCAAAAGGAAAAUGGAAUUUUGUGCAAUUUCAAUAUGAGAACCUAUAUUGGGAGAUAUUAUAAUCGAAUUAAAACUUAAAAUUUCAAUAUUAUUAUUCUUUUUUUAAAAAUUGAGAUAUCAGAGUAAUAUCACAUAGAAAAACUUGCCCACGGUAAGCCAAAAGUCUAGUCAACCACAUGCAUAAAGCUAACUAGAACAAGAGAACAGAGAAACGCGUGGGUCCCUAAAAGAAAAGGCAAGCACAUAAAUAAAUGAAAAAGCCAUGACGUUUCUAUUUUACAUGUCAUUCCUAAUUUUUGUAACACGGUGUGGCAGCAUAUGCACAAUCAAAUGAAGCAAAAGGGGUUCAACUAUCGUGGCAGAACAUGGACGAGGACGCGUGAUGAAUAAUUCCUUCGAUAAAACGAAAAACAAACGCAGAGAAAAGAAUUUCUUACAUGACAAGAAAUCAAAGUAAUGUGAAGGAACAUGAUGAAGAAAUUGCAGACCGAUCAAUUAUCCCCAUGGACUCCUAUAAAUUCAACCAAAAUAACAAUUCCAAUAUUACCAAAUUCUUGAGUUAAAUUUAUUCAAUGCUUUUAUUUUUGGGGGAAAUUAGAACCGCGGCAAGUAUAGAAGACAUUGAGGUGUAAAGCAACAUUAAUUUCAUGGGUUAUGCCUUAUACACAUAAUAUAUUUUCAGUCCAAAUUCAACUAUGCAAAGAGGCUUGAGAACUUAAAAUUAAGCACAAACUAAACAGACGAAGUAAAUACAUGAUUAUGCAACAUAACAUUAAUUCUCUCAAUUUAUAACUGUUUUUGCUACAUGAAUCUUGCACAGUUAAUCCUAAUUGAAUUCUAAAAAAGAACGAUUGGAACAAUGUUAUUUCAAAAACGUACGUUCAUAAGCGGGUCGGUCAGCAGAGUAGAAACCUUGGAUCAGGGUAUCAACUUGGAAACCAAAUUUCUUGUAAAGAUUCACAGCGGGAGUUCUCAAAGGAUCAACAUGAAGCGUUAUGCAGAGCACAGUUCUGGUUCUGCAUUUCUUAAUUGCUGCUUCUAGCAGUGCCUCUCCGUGACCUUGUCCCCGAUAAUUCUCCUUCACUAAUUAAGUUAACCCCAAAACCCAUUAAUUUCAUGUCAAUUAAAAAGAAAAAGAGAAUGAAUAACUAACAAAUAUUUCUUUGAGGACUUUUAUCAAACAGUUGAGAUGGCGGGCAUGCAGUGGAAAUUUCAACAAUGGGGACAAAGAUAUGGGACCUGCAAGCUUGGUGAUAGAAGCAGACAAGGAAGUAGGCCACGCGUACAUGACGUGGCCAACGACUUGUCCGUGAAUCUGAAUGUAAAGCAGGCCUGAGUUCUUCUUUUUCAGUUCCUCAUCAAAAGAUCUUGCCAGUGAUUCGUGCUUGGGAAAAAUCUUCUUCUCCAUCUUCACAAUCUCGUCCACUACGACAGUCCAGUUCGUUGAGUUUCUCUGCAGCUCCGUGACGGUUCCAUUACUCCCCAUGGCACGUGGCUUGUUGCAACUUACAGCUGAUCCAGCACGUAUAGAAAAUUAGAAAUGAAGCCUCCUAGCAUUCUUUCGAACAGGCAAAAAAAGUCAAUGGACAUAGUGGUGCCAUGUGUGGAAAUGUUAAGAAGAUGAUGAAGCCCCCAAGAGGCCAGCGUGGCGUGGCAUUGCACCUCAUCAUUUUUUUAAUGCUAAUCUGUAGAGCGGCCCAAAAUGCCGGCACAAUAUAUAGCUGGCAAAGCCCACCCAAGCCCAACUAUUUGGGCCAACAUAUCAUAAAUUAAUACAAAUAUAAAAUGCACGGUACAACGCAGACAAAGAUGAUUUGUGCAGAUAUGUGCUUCCUUUAUGGGUUUAAUUAUAUUGGUACCGCUCUAAGGUAGAGUAUUCUUUCAUAACUACAUGAUUAAAGUCAUAAUGAAUUUUUUAUUAUUUAUUAUUUUGCGUGUGUGAUUGAGAUUCGUGAUCCACCAUAGAUUAGCUCCAACAUAGCAGUAGCCUUCUUUUAUUGCUCAUCAUCUUUAGCAAACAGUCAUUGGCUUUGGAUGUUGCUACAAUUUAUUUUGCAUAAUUGACAAGGAUAGUCGAUGUGCAUAAUGUUGGAAAUUUUAUUAUAAUAUAUCAAAACACGUAAUAAUUGUUUAACUAUAUUAAUACUGGAUUAAUUUGACGAAUUAUGAAAUGACAGUAGGCAUUAUAUUUUAGAGGAAAAAUUAAAUAUAACAACCUAAAAAGUAGGGAUAAUCUCUUAACCAAACUAAAGAUGUAGGACAUCUAAAAGUAAAUUUAGCUAAUGUGUAGUACAAUUACAACAUCUUAGAAUAUGUCAAAACUUGAAGUGUUGUUGUGUUGAAAUAAGUUCCUAUACUAUUAUGGACAUGUAUGAGAUGUACUAAAAACAAAUUAAAUAACCCACAAUAGAUAUGACACGACCACCAAAAGAGACACACUAUUCUCACUAGGUAGUUGUAACAAGAGCGAAAUGUUUUAACCUAUAUCUACAUGCAUUACUAGAAAAAAAGGUCUUUAUUACAAGUAUUACCUACCAUCUAUCAUGUUGCACGAUAAUUGAGUGACCGUCAUUGAUUUCGGUGUCAAGAAAAUAAGAUGAUUGUUUACAUACGUCAUUUUAUGUAUGACAUAUUAUCUGAUACUAUUUUGGUCAUAACUGUUUUGAUGAAAAAUUUCGCGUAUGAUUAAUAUUUGUCAUAAUCACUUCCAUGCAUGACUAAUAUGUAUCAUAAGAUAAUGACAUAUACAAAUAAAUUUGGUGGGAUUCCAAAAUUUUAAAUGAAUUUUGUUGUGAAUUUCAAAAUUUAGUGGAUAUUCAUAUUUUUUUAUUCCAUUAUUAAUUUAUUCCAUUUGUUAUUAUUUGUAUUUAAUUAAACAAAUAGUUGAAGGAAGGUCCCACCCUAACAAAAAGUUGAUGGUUGUUAUACACUAUAAAUAAGAGCGAUAACGUCAUUAUCUGCGCAGACCAAAGAGAAUUUCAAUAACUAAGUUAAUUUUAUUUAAAUAAAAAAUCUCAAUUAUAUACACGAAAGCUCGGCACGUGUGUCAGUCGCAUAUCUGAUAAUAUAUAUACACACACAAACACAUACACACAUAUACAUAUACAUAUACAUAUAUAUCUAUAUAUAAAUUUUAUUUAUAAUCUUGUAAACUGAAUUUUAUAAAAUUAUAAAAUAGUAAAAGCAUUGUAAACACUUCUCAAAUUUUAAUUCUAAAUUUUAAUUUUAGACCUGAAUAUAUACCCACACAUAUGGCAUAGGUAAUUCCUCCAUAGACUCUAGAGUUUGGGUUAAUUUUACUUCCAAGAUUAUUCAAAAUAGUAUUUUUAAUUUAUAUAGUUUAAAUAUUCAAACAAAUCUAACAUAUAACAAAGAUACACACACACACACACACACACACACACACACACACACACACAACAUGUAAAUUAAUAUUAAAUGUAAAAUAAAAUAUAAGUGUGCAAAUGAAACAUAAGACUUGUGAAUGGAAGGUAAAACAAUUAAAUCAACAUAAGAGUGGUAAAUUGAUAUAUUACCGGUAAAUAAAAUAAAAGCUUAUAAAUAUAACAUCAAACUUAUAAAUCAAUAUUAAGUGUAAAAUAAAACAUAAAUGAUGUAAAUGGAAUAUAAGACUUGUGAAUAAAAGGUAAAAUAAGUAAAUUAAUAUAAGAGUGGUAAAUUGAUAUAUCAUUGGUGAAUAAAAUAAAAUUUUUUAUUAAUAUAACAUAAAACUUGUAAAUCAACAUUAAAUAUAAAAUAAAACAUAAAUUAAGUAAAUAAAACAUAAGACAUGUAAAUAGAAUAUAAAACAAGUAAAUUGAGAAAGGAGUGGUAAAACGAUAUAUUAGUAAAUAAAACAUAAACUUACAAAUGUUACAUAAAACUUGUAAAUCAACAUUAACUAUAAAAUAAAAUAAAAAGUAAGUAAAUAAAAUAUUAAACCUGCAAAUAGAAAGUAAAACAAAUAAACUAACAAAAGAGUGGUAAAAUUAUGUAUUAUUGAUAAACAAAAUAUAAACUUACAGAUGAAACAUAAAAAUUAUAAAUCACUAUUAAGUGUAAAAUAACAUAUGAAUUAUGUAAAUGAAAUAGAAGAUUUAUAAAUGAAAUGUGAAAUAAGUAAAUAUUAUAAGAAUUAUUAAGAAAAUAAAACUUACAAAUAUAAAAAUAAAAACUCACUACAAUAAUGAUUACCUUAUAUAUUUAUUGUUUUUAUUUCUAAAUUGAAUGAUGAUAAUUUUGGGUCUAUAUAAUACAUGUAAUGAUAUUUGUGAAAUUUUAUUAAGGAUAAAACUUAUUUCUAAAAUCAAAUUUUGAAAAAAAAAUUUCAUAUUUUUCAAAAUUGUUUGCAAGAGAAGUGAUUUUGCAUCCUAAACCUGCUUGACAACAACCCUAAAUAAGAUUUUUUUUUUUUUUUUUGGCUUGAUUCACAUUAAGAAAAAUAAUUUUACUUAAUUAACUUGUAUAUUUAACAAAUAAUAUGACGGAAAAAGAAAAAAAGGUUUAUAAGUGUCCUAGCAUGAACAUAGAAUUUAUGGUUAAACCAAUUUAAUGAAAUUUAUUCCAAUUGUCUUCAAUAUAAAUUAUUUGUUUUCAAUUGAACAGCAACUUUUUUCAUUACUUAAAUAAUUAAAAAAUAAUUUUUUUUAAAAUUAAAGUUUCAUGCUAAUUUACAAGCUUAUGUUAUUUUAUAAGUAACACUAAUUUACAGUUCUUAUAUUAAUUUACUUGUUUUACCUUUUAUUUACUAUCUUUAUAUGUAAUUUAUGAAAUUUAUAUUUAUCACGAUAUUGAUAUCGUAAUUUUAAUCACGGUAUUGUAGAAUUUUCCUUAACGACAAAUAUGAGCUUGAUAUCGUCUUUUCAUCUGCAACUUCCUUUAUUUAUUUAUUUAUUUAUUUAUUUUGAGAGAGAGAGGGCAACUUCCUUUGAUUCAAAAUUGGGAACUUUUUGGCCUUUCAACUUAGGCUAAUGUUAAUUGCUAAGUUACACACAUGUAACUUACAAUCAUCUCACAUGAAUAGUGAAUGGUGUGGGCUCACUCACUAUUUAUGUGAAAGAGUUGUAAGUUAUAUGCGUGUAACUUAGGGGGAUCCUUCAACUUAACCUUACUAAACAUCUUCGAUCCUUUCACUAAAUUAAAGUUUUCUCAGUCUCCUUGCCCAUGUCAAAAGACUAAAAUACCCUUUAGGCAUCAAAAUUUCUCAAUAAGACAUGGAGAUGAAAAGAAUUUAUUAUGUGACUGUUCUAAUGCUAUAUUGAUGGUGUGUAAGACAUUACAAUUGUAGGAAGAAGAGGAUGAAGUCAUGAAACACAGACGAAUGAAAUUAAAAAUCUACUUUUUUUAUUUUAAAUAUCUACUGUUGGGUUAUACAAGAUCAAUAGAUGAGAAUUUAUGUCAAUAUUUGAAAUUAAAAAUUUUAAUUAAAAUGGCUAGUCCUUUUUUAAUACUUUUUAAAUAAAUUCUUCAGUGUAAUAUGACAACUGAAAUUUGUACAAGGUAAUCUGAAAAUUAAACGAAUCUAAAAUCUAAAAAUAACUUUCAAAAACGGAUGAAAAUCACUGAUUAAGAAUAAUAUAUUAUGUGGUUGAAGCUUUCGUUUUAUCAAUCUUCUUUCUACCAUUGAUUUUCCCACGACUUUCCGGUUUCAUUUCUUGAAUCUCCAUGGAAACUUUCAAUAAACCAUAAAAUAAACUAGCGGUGUUUGGUUUUAAGAAAGGGAAUGAGAGGAAAAUAGUGAAAUGUAAGGAAAAUGAGAAAAGAGGAGUGAAAAAGGAUAGUGAAAUUAAAUUUCAUUAUUUAGUUUGACAUAAAAUUUGAUAGGGAAAAGAAUUGUAAUUUUUUUCUUUGGAUAAAUUUAUCCUUUGCCUUAAAUAUUAAAUUAUCUAUAUUAGUAAUAAAAUAUAAUUUAAUAUUAAUACCAAACUUUUUUAAUUUCAAAAAGUUCUAAAACAAUUCAUGAUUUAUAUUUAAUAUAAAAUAUAAAAAUAAUUUAAUAUAUUAAACUAUUUAAUAUAAUUUAAUAUAAAUAAAAGCUAGACAACAUAAGUCAACGCCGGUCAACAUAAGUCAUCACCGGUCAACAAAAGUCAACAUCGGCCAACACAGGUCAAUGGAAGUCAAACGCCGGCCGGAUAUUUUCUGACAAAAUUCCGGCGAGUUCCGGCUGAGAUCCGGUGUACCGACGGUGGUUCGGCGAAUUCCGGCGGUUGUCCGGUGACCUUCCGGAAAGGUCCACAUGGAAGUCCAUUUAUAAUGUUAAAUCAAUAAAAUAAAAUUAUAAAUAAUAAUUAUUAAUGACAUUAAAUAAAUUUAAAAAAUGAAAGGUUAUUUUGAAAAUUUUAGUUUCUAAUAUAAGAAAAUUUUAAAUUAUUCACUGCUAAGUCUGAAAUUCAAAUUCUACAUUAUAAUGAAUAUUAAAUUCAAAUGGAAAUUAAAUUCUUAUACAUUUUCUCAAAUUAAAUAAUAGAAAUAAAAGAAUUUUAAAUUAUUUUUCUCUCCUACAUUCUCUCCUCCCAACCAAACACCAUUUAAUGAAUCAUUUUCUGGAACACAACUAUAAUUUUAAUAAAUGGGCGGACCAUCUAGAAUAGUAUAUAUAAUUCUGUUUAAUUAAUAAGUUGAAAAAACCAUCAAGAGAAAUUCUAAUAUUAUGAGCUUGACACAAAUUCUUCACUAAUUCCAAAAUAAGGAGUUGUUUUAUAAGAACUGUGGUGUCUAUGUUUUCUAUACAUUUCGCUGCUAACUUUAACCAAUUACUUUAUUUCAACUUUAUUUUCUGGCGGGCACUAUAUGGUGGGUCCAAAAUGGGACCUACAAUAAUCAAUCAUAAGAUUUAGUACGGCUAUCAAAUAGCUAGUGCUAUUUUGGGUUUGAUGGAAGAGAUUGAAUAUUUAAUUUUAACUUAACCAUUCAACUAAUUAGAAAAUAAAUAAAAUUAAAUGAAAUAUUUAGAUAUUAAUUUAAAUAUUAAUAUCGGGAUAUAAAUUAAUUAUAAUAUAGUUCAUUACAUAAAAUUGAUUAAAUUAAUAAUUACACACGAACAUAGAUGUAUAUGCGUUCCAAUUUCCAAAGUGCUCAAAGCACUUUUCUCACCGAACUUUCCUCUGAAUUUCCCAUAGCUGACUCCUUUGUUUGCAUUUUUGGAAAUUUUUAGGAGCUUUUUCUAUUUAGUAUAUUGUACAUUUUUCUUUUCAGGUGAGAUUAAUUUAACUUAAAUUAGAAAAUCUUAUCUUUUUUUAAUAUUAUUUAAAUAAAAUCUGUCUAUCUUUCAUUUUAUCUGUCUACUUUCUACCCAUUAAUUAAGACUUUUCGAUUUCUUUUUGCCUAAGAUUUUCAUUGACUAUCUUUCAAUAAACCAUAAAAAUUACUGUGUCAUUUAUCGAUUAGAUGACCAUAUUUCAAAAUAUCAACAAUAAGUUGCUCUUAAAUAUUUCAUUAAUUGUUGAAGAAUUGUGAUCAGUGUGGACAUCUACAUAAAAAUUAUAUUGAAACACAGCUAAAAGAUAAAAAAAAAUAAAAUAAAUAGCAAUACACUAAAAUGUUUUAGUUGUCGUUAGUUUUCAGUUUCAUUACUUAAGUCCCACGUGCAUAAGUCACGUGACUGAGGUCAAAAAAAUGAUUGUCACAUUAAAGUUCGAGGUACCGAGAGGGGUAAUUAAGGAGUGGAGCUAUUGACACCCCUAGAUUAAUCUUACAAAACCCCACUUUAAAUAAAAUUACAAUUAAGGACAAUUGAAAAUUAAACAAUUAUAGAUUUUUUUUUACAGUAAAUUACUUAAUUCAUAAUCAAUCCUUUUUAAAAAAAAAAAAUUAUAUGUUACGUCCUAUCUAACUAAAAUAAAUUGUACAAAUUUAGAAUAAUCUAUUAUUCUCUUUUGAUUUCUUAUUGAUUAAAUAUUUUUAUACUUAAAAUUGCUUUGAAAUUAUAAUUUGAAAUAUGUGUUAUUUCAGCCAAUGAUUAAUACAAAAAAAUUAUCACCCAUAUAAUUUUUUAAUUUUUUUGUAGGGUAAUAAUAAAAUUGAAAAUAAUUAAAAAAAAUAGCACAAUAAUGAGUUUUUACAAUAAAACAAAUCAAAUAAAAAUUGAAAAUUUAGAAAAGUGUAUCUAAAAAAAGGGGCAUUUUUAAAAAUAAAAUGAAUAUAACUAAAAAGGAGGUUUUAUGAGGGGAUUAGAGGGGUGCCAAUAGUCCAACUCUUAUAUUUAAAGCUAUUUUGACUUUGUAUUUCCAAUGAUAUAUUUAUUAGGUAAUUUUUAAUUGAGUCAUUAUUUGUAGAAAAGUUUUCUGAGGCCAGAAGUUUAUAAAAUGAAUCAAUUAAAUCCCUCUAAGUAUAAAUUUAUGUCAUUCAAGUCUUUAACUUAAUUUCUUCAUUAAAAUUAUUAACAACAUCUAGGACAUUUUAGUUAAAAAACAAUUAAGCACCUUCUCAUUCUUUAUUUUUGACAAUUGACAAUAGUUUAAAGUAAAUUCAAGUAACCUAAAUUAAUGUUCUUUUAAAAAAAAAGGUUAGUUAAUGUGCAGGCAAGCAAUAUCACUUCAUGAACUGCACAUGUCUGAUUUCUUUUGAUACAAGUGGAUUUCUUUUAUAUAUAUUCAUUAUGUUAUCAAAUGAAUUAAUAAAUUGAUGAUCCUAGUGAUGUGUAGGCAACCAAUAGGACAUCACUAGUUAUACAUAUUUGAUUUGAUCGUGAAAUCCUAUAGAUUAAUUGUUUUUAAUAAAAAGAAAUUGAAGUCUUUUUUUUUUUCAUUUUUGGAAGGCAUGGAAUUAGCCCACAAUCUCAAUAAGUAGAUGUUAAUGAACAAGCAGUUGGCAAUAAUUCUGAACAUGCGAAUUAGACUUCAAUCAAUGUCGCUCAACCUGUGGGACAACAUACACAAAUUUUAUGGGUUGUACCUCAACCUCAAAAUGAAGAACCUAUGUUUUCGACAAGGAGUAGAAUAGUACAAUAUUUGCCUUGGGCUGGCAUUUAAUUCUCCAUCAUAGAAUCUAGAAGACAAUUAUCUAUUUCUUGUACUUGAAUUUCAGUUUACCUUAAUGUUGUCAAGGUGUUUGUUAGUUUCAAUUUAAUUGACUUUCAUACUUUUAGUUUCAUUUUUAGACCGAAUGUUAUUGUGGCUUUUCUAAUAUUAUAUUCAAUACAUGUUAUUUAGUUUAACAAUCAUCAUAUAUCUUAUAGACGUGAUGGAAUUAUAUGGAUAGGAAAUUACAUUUUCAUGUGUAAUUCCAAGAGUUAUGAUGGUUAUGUUUUUUAAUGGUGCUCUCUAUAUUUGAAUUAGUUUAAAAAAACUGACUAAAGAUUUUGUUUAAAUUGUUGCAGAGUUUUGUUCCCGGUUGCUCAAAUGGGUAAAACAGGCUGUUAGACUCGAAAAAAAAAAAAUUAAUGCCUAAAGGUAAAAUUGUACUUAAAGUCAUUAAUAUGAUAUAUAUGGGAAUAUAGUUAUCUUUUUAUGUUUAAAUUAACGUUUUCACUAACUUUUAUGACAAAAGAAUUAGCUGAAAAAUCUGAAAGAUAUAAAUUUAUAUUUAAAAAGGUUUAAUUGAUUCAUUUUAUGAACUUUUGGUCUUUGAAUUUUUUUUCUAUAAAUAAUAAGGACUCAAUUAAAGAUCACCCUAUUUAUUCUUGGCUGUUUAAAAAAACAAAAGAGAUGACUAGAGUUGAUCACUUUGACUAUAACGUGGGUCAUAUUGGUUGUUCUUAUAAUGGCAUGUCGAAUUUGGGAUGACUAUUACGUUGAGGGCUUGAGGUGGGAUUUCUUUCAGCUUAAAAAAAAAAAGUAUGCCGCCAAAAUUUUGCUUAGAAAGUUAAAUGUACCACUGUCAAAGGACAAUCUCACCUCUUACCAUUAACUUCGACCGUUAAAUCUGCUAUAUUUAACUAGUUUUGACCUAUGCAAUAAUUUUUUCUUAUAAGUUGUGUCAUGUGUGGAAGCUCUUUUCUAAAAAUAGAAAGGUAAAUUUGUUUUUUUUUUUUUCGGUAAGAGAUGGAAGUGGUUUUCUAAAAGUAAAGAGAUGAACUUGUUCUUUUCUUAAAAGUUUCGGGGCUAUAAGUCUCUUAACCUAAAGUUAUAAUUAUAAUUGCACUAAUAAUACAAUAAAUUUUUUAUAAAUAAAUAUUUAAGAAAUUAAUAACUUUGGGUGAAUAACAAACUUCUCCUCCCCCCCCCCCCCCGGAACUUGCACUAUAUUAAAUUAGUAAAUUUAUUAAAUGCAUAUGAUAAUAUAUUUUUUAAAUUCAUUAAGGCCCAAUGAAAAUAUAAAUUAAUAAUUAAUCAAAUACAAAAAUUAAUAACUACUAAAAUAUAAAAUUUAUAACAUUAAAGAAAUUUUUGUUUUUCUUACAACUUCAAUCAUCUAAAUUAAACUCUUUGCAAAUAUAUGCAUAUAGAGUUGUUUUUUUUUAAUCCUAAAUUGAAUUCAAUCUCCUUUCUUAAUUUUUCUUUUUUUUUUCUAGAGCAUACACCACAUUUAGUAUAUAUAAAACUUUUUUUUUCAUGUUUUAGAAAGUAGUUAUUUAAGAUUAUUAUUGCUUGAAAGACAUCUUUUGUAUAAACAUUUGGUAAAACAUAAUUAUCAUUUGAAUCAUGAUUGUCAUCAACAGAGUUAUCCAAUACCCUUUUAAUAAUCUGUUGAAUCAGUGAGUGAUUCCAUCACUACAUCUAUGCUAUUAUGGAUAGUAGUCAUCGGAGGAGAUGUCGUUGACAUGAGGAAGUACGAUUUGUGUUUAUUUAAAAGUAAAAAUAUUGAUAAAACUCUUCCUAAAAAUAAAAUAACACAGUUCUGUUUCUAAAUUAAUAAAUAUUCAUUUAUCAACAAAUUAAUAAAUUAUUAAAAUUUAUAAAUAAAUAACUUCUCUAAAAUAAUUUUUUUUCUUAGUCCUAGCAAGUAGCAAUGUUAUUUUAUAGAGGUUUUAUUUUAGUAAUAACAAUAAUAUAAUAAUAAUAAUUAUCAUUAUAUAUAAUAUUUACUAUUAUGAUAGUUAUCAUUAUAAUCAUGAGAAGAAUUUCAUUAUUUUAAAAGGGGCAAAUUUUAAUUUUUAAAAACUAUGAGAAGAAUUUCAUUAUUUCCAUUAGUUUCAUUCUCAUACACACACACACACACACAUAAAGAAAUCAAUUAUUCACAUUUCCCUAUCCAACAAAUAAAUACUGUAAAUUAUUAUUUUUUUAAAAGAAAAAUAUCAAAACGGUGUGGGUCCCAGCAUAAUCCUUCUAACCUACCGGCUCCCUGUCGGAAAAAAAAAAAGAGAAAAUGUUUUUAUUAAGAAAAAAACAAAACAGAACGUAGAAGUAGGAGCAAGCAGGCCGCGUGGCAAACCCCUGUGGGUACCACCAUACGACUUCUAAGUUCUCACCUCCCUGCUUUUCCUCCCGGGCUUGUCCUUCCCUGGGGCGGUGACAUGCGUACCCACAAAAAAAAAAUUAUCUUUCUGUAUUUUUGUAUUAUUCUUUUUCUCCGCUCAUUUUGAAUUACACUGGCAAGUAUAAAAACGACACGCGUCCCACCUAAAGUCGUGAAUGUGAAAGAAGAUUUUGUAGGACUGCCGCACUAUUUGAGCAUGCCGUAUUGAAUAACGAAGCAGUCAGUGAAGACGUAGCUGAGCGGACUUGAGAACUAAGCUUGUGACGUGGAAGACAUAUUGCAUGAGUUUGCAGCUGAGGCUUUGCGGAGGAAGUUGGUUUUUGAACCAGCCGAUCUCGUUCAACCUCGUGCAAGUAAGUUGUGGAAGCUCGUUCCUACCUGCUGCACUAAAUAAUGUGAGGUUUGUCGUUGUCAAACAGAAUCAAGUUAUAUUAUUAUUGUGAUCCUUAUGAGCUUGGAAAAUGGGCAAGCCUUUCUGCAGUUUGACCGUUAUUUAUAUGUCAGAGAAAGAGUUUUGGGUUUGAUUUUGAUUUUGAUUUGUAUUUUUUGUCAGUUUAUUGAAAUUUUUUUGUUGUAUAAAAAUUUUAAUUGUCCAAUGAAAACCUAUCCAUUUUUGUCAAAUUCAGAUACAAAUACAGUUUUAAUUGUCCAAUGAAAAUGUGUCAUCAUCAGUGCAACCAGUUAAACAAUCCUUGCGUUGACAUUUUGACCGGAGGGGACAUGUUUUCUGAUCCUCUUUCUGAGUUAGUGACCAGAAAUAUUGUACCUGAAGGGGCUACUUGCUUGAUUUCUUGGACCAACCUGUUGUCGAACAUCAUGGUGGGUCGAAGCUGAUAAAAAAUCUUCUUCUACACAGGAUGGAAUAUUUCCAGCUAGCAGUGCCCUGCAGUACGUAAACUGUCUAGAGUGGCAUGGUAUAGUACUGCUCUUCUUGUGUUGUUUUCAACUUUAAUGUCAUACCAGGUUCAUCGUGUUUAUGGAGUAAAUUCUAGAAGUUCAACAAAUUUUGCUUUGCAAAAUGUAUAACUUAUUAAUCAGAGUCCUGUUAUGAUGAUUUGACGCUGACUGAACAUAUUCUGUUGGUAAUUUAUUUGCACUUUUCUUGGUUGAAUUAUUUGCUGGCUCCACGCGGUUACUAGGCCAGUAUUUUUAUGAUUUAUCGAUGGAAAGGUCUUCACAUAUUAAAUUCAACCUCAUAAGUGUAAGACUGACUGAUUCUGUGCAAAUUUUCAGGAAAAGAAACUAGACUUUAUGGAAGCAAUGAAGCUGAAAAGGAUAGACCUUUAUUGUCAAUUGGAACUGAUCCUGCCUCUAUAAAUCCAAAUGGAUUGCUUGAUGAAUCUUAAAUAGGAAGACCAUGUAGAGUAGCAAGCAAUCUUGCUUUACUUGGCCAAGUUUUCCUACAAAUAUUGUCAGUGCAAUUGGCGUUGAGAAUAGUGAUGAUAGUGUUUUAGACUUCUGGAAUAUUACUAGAAUCAGAGAGGGUUGUUCUGGUGCCAGGUGCGAUGUUUGUGCAGAAACUAAGGUGCCUGCUCGUGCCUCCUUUACUGUGUCUUCAGUUGGAGCUUCACAAUCCCCUUUGUUGUAUUCUCAAUGCAGAAGAAAGGUUUGCAGAGUUUGUUGUGCAGGAAGAGGAUCUCUACUGUUUUCAAAUUAUAAAUCAAGGGGUGUAAAAUGGCUUCUCAAGUCAGGGUGGACCAAGCCAUGGCAGCCAAGUUGAUGUAUUUACCAGUCGUUCACUAUCACUGGAUGGCAUAAUCUGUAGACAAUGCUGCCAUGAGAUUGUGCUUGAUGCAUGUUGGGCUAUGUUAGGUUCUUGACUAGCUUGGGAAGAAGUGCCGUUGCAGAAAAUGCAGCUUAUAAUGCUUGGAACGAGGUUGUUGGAUCUUUCUUAAAGGAUAAUCUUUCUGAAAGGAUUCAGUCUUAUGAUAAUGAGCAAGCUGUCAAAGUCCUUCACCAAUUAUAUGGAGAGUCAUUUUGUAUCAGUGAAAUCCAAUAAAUGAAGGAAUCACUUGCUGAAUUUCCAUUUGCUAGCUUUUUGCACUCGGUAUGUUCUUGGUUUGUACUCGGUUCUCAUCAAAUUAUGUUUUCCCUUUGCCUCUUUAGGUUAAAUUUAUUUUCCUGGUUAGAAUCUGUAGAAAUAUAUUUUAGCAUUUAAGCUUUAUGAUAUAUGCCCAGAACAUUCCUCUCACUUAUCCAUGGAAAUCCCUGUCUGGUUUAAUUUUCAAUUGAGAUAUUUUUGUGGACCCUGAGUGGGUUCCAUAUGCUAAUCAUCUUUAAGGUAAGGCGAUGGAGAAUGCCUUGAGAAGCUAAAAACCUAUUACAAGGAAAAGCUCUUGCAUUGUUUUGUGCAAUCUGUGUGCUACCGAGUCACGUCUCUAAUAAUUUCAAAGUUUGCUUGAUUGGAAUUUUUUAUCUUGGUAUGAUUGUUUAUUUUAGAUUCCUUGGUGCCACUGUAGGU
rnacentral:lncRNA from 1 species